rnacentral:lncRNA from 1 species
UUUUUUUAUUUUUUUAUUUGGUGGGCUCUUUGGCCUCUUUUUUUUGUGUGGGCUUCUUUGGCCUCUUUUAUUUCCUCACAUGGGACAAUGCUCCAUAAAUGAUGAUCAUCACACUUUCAACUCAAAACUUAGAGUAACGAUGACUCUAUAUGGAAUGCCUUCGGUAGUGUAUCGUGGCAAUGAUCUAGCAUGGCAUAGACAUCAAUGGAAACAUCAUGCUAGCUAUCUUACGAUCGUGCAAAGGCAAAGUAGACGUGGUGGAACAUGUCAUGGUGGUAGUUGCAUGGCAAUAUAUCUCGGAAUGACUUUAAAAAAGCCAUAGUAGGCAGGUAUGGUGGCAGUUUUGAGGGAGGCUAAUGGUGGGUUUUUUGCACCAGCGAAAGUUGCACGACACUAAGAAGAUAGUGAUGGUGGAAGGUGAAAGUGCAUCUAAGCCUUGGACUCAACAUUAGUCAUGAAGAACUCAUAUACUUGUUGCAAAAGUAUUAUUAGUAAUCGAAACAAAGCAUUCAACGCAUACUCCUAGGGGAAGGGUUGGUAGGUAUAAACCAUCGCGCGAUCCCGACUGCCACGCAAAGGAUGACAAUCAAUAUACUAAUCAUGCUCAGAUUUCAUCACAUAGCGGUUCACCAUACGUGCAUGCUAUGGGAAUAACUAACUUCAACACAAGUAUUUCUAGAUCCACAACACCUUACUAGCAUGACUUCAAUAUUACCAUAACCACAACUCAAAACUAAUUGAGAUGAAUCAAACUUCUCUAACUAUUCAAUGCACAUGAAGGUGGAAGUUUUCAUAUCCCUUUGGAUAACUACCACUUUUGAGAUUACUUUCAAAGAAUAGAUCAACUACCAAGCCACGCACCGCUGUGCUCUAAAAGAUAUAAGUGAAGUACAUAGAGCAAAAGUAUCUAGCUCAAAAGAUAUAAGUGAAGCACAUGUGGGCUGAAUUGUCUACCAAAAGAUAUAAGUGAAGCUCGACAAAAUCACAGUGUGUGCAUGUGUCUCUCUCUAGGUGUGCAACAAGGAUGAUUGUGAUACAACAAAAAUAAAAGACUCCAACGAUACAAGACGCUCCAAGCAAAUACACAUAACAUGUGGUGAAUAAAAAUAUAGCCCCAAGUAACGUUACCGAUGGAUUGAAGACGAGAGAGGGGAUGCCUUCCCGGGGCAUCCCCAAGCUUAGGCUUUUAUGGCAUCCUUGAAUCUCUUGGGGUGCCUUGGGCAUCCCCAAGCUUGAGAUCUUGCCACUCUUUAUCUCUUUGUCCAUAAGAACUUCACCCAAAACUUGAAAACUUCACAACACGAAACUUAAACAGAAACUCGUGAUAACAUUAGUACAAGAAAGCAAACCACCACUUCCUUAGGUACUGUAGCAAACUUAAAUUAUACUUGUGCUGAUGUUGGAUUACUGUACUUUCAAUCUUCCAUGGCUAAUACCCCCCGAUACUAUCCAUAGUUUCAUCAAAAUAAGCAACCAACACAACAAAAACAGAAUCAGUUAAUAGCAGACCAGUUUGUAGCAAUCUGUAUAUUUCGUAUACCUCUCGUACUUCAAAAAUUCUUAAAACUUACGAUAGUCUGAAGAAUUUGCGUAGCAAUCAGCAGAAAAAAUAAUCAACUCAAAAGCUCUUACGGAAAAAAAAUGAAAAUUCUUUUCGUGAGCAGAAAGUUUCUGUCUUUUCCAGCAUGACCAAACGAUCACCCCCAAGACUAAUCAUAACGGUUUUGCUUGGCACAAACGCAAAAAGAAACACAAAAACACAAUCAUAACAUAAUUAUGAAAGUGUGGAAAACACAAAACAGAAAGAAAAAUUAUAGAUUCGUUGGGUUGCCUCCCAACAAGCAGUUUUGUUUAACGCCCUUAGCUAGGCGAAAGUGAUGGAAUCACGUAUAGUCAUCUUUGGUGCUCAAACCAUAGGUAGCCCUCAUCAUAGAUUCAUAAGGAAAUCUUAUUUUCUUUCUAGGAAAGUGCUCCAUGCCCUUCUUUAAAGGAAAUUGAAAUCUAAUAUUCCCUUCCUUCAUAUCGAUGAUAGCACCAAUAGUCCUUAGGAAAGGUCUACCAAGAAUAAUGGGACAUGAAGGAUUGCAAUCUAUGUCAAGUACAAUGAAAUCCACGGGUACAUAGUUCUUAUAUGCAACAAUAAGAACAUCAUCAAUCCUCCCCAUGGGUUUCUUGACAGUAGAAUCCGCAAGAUGCAAAUUAAGAGAACACUCUUCAAUCUCAUGAAAACCAAGAAUAUCACAUAAAGACUUUGGAAUCGCGGAAACACUAGCACCGAAAUCACACAAAGCAUUGCACUCAUAGUUUUUGAUCUUGAUUUUGAUAGUAGGUUCCCACUCAUCAUGAAAUUUUCUAGGUAUAGAGACUUCUAGUUCGAGCUUCUCUUCAAGAGAUUUCAUCAUAGCAUCUACGAUAUGCGCAGUAAAGGCUUUGCUUUGGCUAUAAGCAUGUGGAGAGUUUGCAAUGGAUUGCAUCAAAGAAAUGCAUUCAAACAAGGAGCAAUUAUCAUAACUGAAUUCCUUGAAAUCCAAAGUGGGAGUUUCAUUACUACCCAAAAUUUUGACUUCUUCUACUCCACUCUCCACACCUUUAUCAUCAAGAUAGGUGGACUCCGAAUCAUUGGGGUGUUUUUCAACCAAAGUGGAUUCAUAUCCAGCCCCUCCAUAAGUAGGUUUGACACGCGAAAACAAAGAUUCAAGAGGAGACACACCAAACACUUUAAGAUCUUCGUGAUUUGCAUCACUAGAAUGCACCCUUUUAAACCAUUCAUGUCUAAAGCGAAUUUGGGCGGUUCUUUCUUUGCUCUCAUUCAUGGAGAUACGCAUAGCUUUCAAAGUUUCAUCCAAGUUGACCUUGGGAGGAGCGCAUCUAACUUUAAAAGCAUCAAUAUCACAAGACAUCCUAUCAACGCUCUUAGCCAAAUCGUCUAUUUUGAGUAGUUUUUCCUCUAUGGACGCAUUGCAAAUCUUUUGAGAGUUCAUAAACUCUUUGAUAUUACUCUCAAAAUCAAAGGGUAAUUUGUUGUGAUUUCCAUAAGUGAUGUUGUAGGAAUUUCCAUAAUUGUUAGAUGAGUUACUAGGAAAAGGCCUAGGAACAUAGUUUCCUCUAAAAGCAUUGUUGUUGCCAAAAUUGUUCCUAUCAACAAAAUUCACGUCCAAACUAGUGUUGCUACUCUCAAGCAAAGAAGAUAGUGGCAUGUCAUUAGGAUCUACGGUAGCGUUUCUACUAGCAACCAAAUUCAUCAACUCGUCCAUCUUAGCACUAAGUGAGUUAAUCUCCUCUAUAUCGUGCACCUUUUGCUAGCAGGCGACCUUUCAGUGUGCCAGUGAGAGUAGUUGGUCAUGAUAUUGUCUAGGAGUUUUGUAGCGUCUCCUAACGUGAUUUCCAUGAAUGUUCCACCUGAGGCGGAGUCCAAGAUAUUGCGAGAAGCGAAAUUCAAGCCAGCGUAAAAGAUUUGUAUAAUCAUCCACAAACUCAAGCCAUGAGCGGGACAAUUUCUAAUCAUAAGCUUCAUCCUCUCCCAAGAUUGUGCAACGUGUUCAUGAUCAAGUUGCUUGAAAUUCAUGAUAUCGUUACGUAAGGAGAUGAUCUUAGCCGGCGGAAAAUACUUGGAUAUGUAAGCAUCUUUGCACUUAUCCCAAGAAUCGAUACUAUUUUUAGGCAAAGAAGAAAACCGAGUUUUUGCGCGAUCUCGCAACGAGAAAGGAAAAAGUUUCAACUUAAUCACGUCAUUAUCCACAUCUCUUUUAUUUUGCAUAUCGCAAAACUCAAUGAAGGUAUUGAGAUGGGAUGCGACAUCUUCACUAGGAAGGCCAGAGAAUUGCUCUUUCAUAACAAGAUUCAACAAAGCUGCGUUGAUUUCAUAUGAUUCCGCACUAGUGGCGGGAGCAAUCGGAGUACUAAUAAAAUCAUUAUUAUUAGUGCUCGAGAAGUCGCAAAGUUUGGUGUUUUCAGACAUGAUGACUUCAACAACCAAACAAGCACACAAGCAAGCAAGAAAACCGACAAAGGCAAAAGAAAACGACGAAAGCGAAAGGCGAAUGAAAACGGCAAAUGUGAAGUGGGGGAGAGGAAAAUGAGAGGCAACUGGCAACAAAAGUAAAUACAAGAGAAGAGUUUGUGAGACCUACUAGGAUAGAUCUUGAUUUCUCCUCCCCGGCAACGGCGCCAGAAAUACUUCUGAUGUUUGCUGUGUAUCCCUUGCAACGGCGCCCGAAAUAGUUAUGUCGACGGCACCAGGAAUCCUUCAGCUGCGGCUACGCCUUAAGGGACUUCCUAGGCAAGUAUGCAAAGGAUUUCCCCCGUGGCCUUGGAGCCUCGCGUUGGUGUUCCCUCGAAGCGGAAAGGGUGAUGUAGCACAGCGACGGUAAGUAUUUCCCUCAGUUUGAGAACCAAGGUAUCAAUCCGGUGGAAGAGUAUCUCAAGAUCCUGCACAAACACAAAAGCUUGCACCCAACGCUAUGAAGGGGUUGUCAAUCCCUUAUAGAUUGUUUGCCAAGUGAGAACUGAAAGCAACAAAGUAACAAAGCAAAGUAAAAGCGGAGGUGUAAACGAUGGAUGUGAAUAGACCCGGGGGCCGUAGUGUUUACUAGUGGCUUCUCUCAUGAAAGCAAGUAGAUGGUGGGUGAACAAAUUACUGUCGAGCAAUUGAUAGAAUCGCGCAAAGUCGUGACGAUAUCUAUGCAUUGAUUAUAUCUAUAGGCAUCAUGUCCGAAACAAGUAGACCGAUACUUUCUGCAUCUACUACUAUUGCUCCACACGUCGAGCGCUAUCCAGCAUGCAUCUAGUGUAUUAAGUCCAUAAGAANNNNNNNNNNNNNNNNNNNNNNNNNNNNNNNNNNNNNNNNNNNNNNNNNNNNNNNNNNNNNNNNNNNNNNNNNNNNNNNNNNNNNNNNNNNNNNNNNNNNNNNNNNNNNNNNNNNNNNNNNNNNNNNNNNNNNNNNNNNNNNNNNNNNNNNNNNNNNNNNNNNNNNNNNNNNNNNNNNNNNNNNNNNNNNNNNNNNNNNNNNNNNNNNNNNNNNNNNNNNNNNNNNNNUGUGCCUUGCUGCCCGUACUGUCACUGGGAAAGGUCACCACAUGGCACGACCCAAAACCAAGCACUUCUCCCAUUGCAAGAAUCAUAGAUCUAGUUGGCCAAACAAAACCCAAGACUCAGAGAGACUUACAAGGAUAUCAGAUCAUGCAUAUAAGAAAUCAGCAGUGACUCAAAUAUAUAUCAUAGAUAAUAUGAUCACAAAUCCACAAUUCAUCGGAUCUCGACAAACACACCGCCAAAGAAGAUUACAUCGGAUAGAUCUCCAUGAAGAUCAUGGAGAACUUUGUAUUGAAGAUCCAAGAGAGAGAAGAAGCCAUCUAGCUACUAACUACGGACCCGUAGGUCUGAAGUGAACUACUCACGAGUCAUUGGAGGGGCGAUGAUGAUGAUGAAGAAGCCCUCCAACUCCAAAGUCCCCUCUGGCAAGGCGCCGGGAAGGGUCUCCAGAUGAGAUCUCGCGGAAACGAAAGCUUGCGGCGGCGGAAAAGUAUUUUUGAGGCUCCCGUGAUUUUUUUGCGGAAUAUUUGGGAAUAUAUAGGCCAAAGACCUAGGUCACGGGGCAGCCAGGGAGGCCACAAGCCUGCCCAUUGCCGCCUCCCCUGGUGGCGGAGUGGGGGCUUGUGGGCUCCCUGGAGCCCACCUGGCUUGGCCCAAAAGCCCCCUGGUCUUCUUCCGUUCGGGAAAAAAUCAUUUCAGGGUUUUUCUUCCGUUUGGACUCCGUUCCAAAAUCAGAUCUGAAAAGAGUCAAAAACUCGGAAAAAACAGGAACUGACACUUGGCACUGAAUUAAUAAGUUAGUCCCAAAAAAGAUAUAAAAGGUACAUAAAACAACCAAAGAAGACAAGAUAACAGCGUGAAACCAUCAAAAAUUAUAGAUACGUUUGAGACGUAUCAACAAGCAAGGCUUUAAGCUUGGGGGAGUUGAUACGUCUCCGUCGUAUCUACUUUUCCAAACUCUUUUGCCCUUGUUUUGGACUCUAAUUUGCAUGACUAGAAUGGAACUAACCUGGACUAACGCUGUUUUCAGCAGAAUUGCCAUGGUGUUGUUUUUGCGCAUAAAUAAAAUUUCUCGGAAUGACCUGGAAAUUUACGAGGAUUUUUUGUGGAAUAUAUAAAAAAUACUGGCGCAAGAAUCAACUCGAGGGGUGGAGCGAGGAGCCCACAAGCCCACCAGGCGCGGCCCCCCUGGUCGCGCCUAGCAGGCUUGUGGGGCCCUCGGAGCUCCGCCGCCUCCAACUCUUGCUCUAUUUAGUCCGUUUCGUCCGGAAAAAAAAUCAAGGAGGAGAGUUCAUCGCAUUUUACGAUACGGAGGCACCGCCACCACCUGGUCUUCCUCUAGAGGGUGGAUCUCGAGUCCAUUUUGGGUUCCGGAGAGGGGAGAUCGUCACCAUCGUCAUCACCAACCUUCCUUCAUCGCCAAUUCCAUGAUGCUCUUCACCGUUCGUGAGUAAUCUCAUCGUAGGCUUGCUGGACGGUGAUGGCUUGGAUGAGAUCUAUCAUGUAAUCGAGUUAGUUUUGAUGGGGAUCGAUCCCUAGUAUCCACUAUGUUCUGAGAUUGAUGUUGCUACUACUUUGCCAUGCUUAAUGCUUGUCACUAGGGCCCGAGUGCCAUGAUUUGAGAUCUGAACUUAUUAUAUUCUCGUCAAUAUAUGUGUGUUCUUUAUCCUAUCUUGCAAGUUGUAGUCACCUACUAUGUGUUAUGACCCGGCAACCCCGGAGUGACAAUAACCGGAACCACUCCCAGAGAUGACCAUAGUAUGAGGAGUUCAUGUAUUCACUAAGUGCUAAUGCUUUGUUCCGGUUCUCUAUUAAAAGGAGAACCUUAAUAUCCCGUAGUUUCCAUUAGGACCCCGCUGCCACGGGAGGGAUGGGCAAUAGAUGUCAUGCAAGUUCUUUUCCCUAAGCACGUAUGACUAUAUACGGAAUGCAUGCCUACAUUACAUUGACGAACUGGAGCUAGUUACAUAUCUCUCCGUGUUAUAACUGUUGCAUGAUGAAUGUCAUCCGGCAUAAUUAUCCAUCACCGAUCCAAUGCCUACGAGUAUUUUCCUACUGGUCCUUGCUAUGUUACUUUGCCGCUACUGCUGUCACUGCUGCUACUGUUACUCUAUCGCUACUGCUCUCACUCUGCUACUGUUACUCUGUCGCUAUUGCUGUAGCUGCUGCUACUGUUACCGUUGCUACUGUUGCUAUCACACUACUUUGCUACUGAUACUUUGCUGCAGGUACUAAGUCUUUCAGGUGUGGUUGAAUUGACAACUCAACUGCUAAUACUCGAGAAUAUUCUUUGGCUUCCCCUUGUGUCGAAUCAACAAAUUUGGGUUGAAUGCACGCCACGGUGAGUCACCGGCGCUCUCGAAUCGGCUCACCAUCACGGGCCUAUAUAUAGCCCUUCCCCUCGCUCCAGCACCCCUCAGACAGCUUCGCCAUGACCACUAGCACCUCCCUAGCCACCCGAGCAAGCCAGCAGAGCCCCGGUGCUCGAUAUCGACCGAGGCCCCUCUGCCACGGAGCUCCGGUCGAUCUCUGGCCACACGACGGCUCCUGCGUUCCUCGACCCACCAAACCGAUCCCCUCGACCUCAGGAAGCUUUCCCCCAACUUUCCCAAGCAUUUUCGUGCCCCUAGCUACCGUCUUGACCACCUCCCGAAACUCCUCCGCCGCGGCUUCCUCCUCGCCGGCGAACCCGUGCCUCUCCGUCGUUGUUCCAACCACCAGCAGGUAGGCGGCAAUGAGCCGAACCCAUUUCUGUCUUCGUUGGGGCUUGAGAACGUCGGCAGCCUCGCCGGCGAGACCCUCCUCUUCUCUGGCGAGAGGUAGGAGACGACCCCGACAUGUGUGCCCCACCUGUCGGUGGGCCAUCUCCCUCUCCCUUGCUGCCCGCAACCGCUGACCGCAGGGCCUCGCACGUCAGGUUCAAACCGGACGGCGCGCGCGCCUGGGCAGGCUGUCGGCUGGCCUUUGGGCCGGCCCAGUUCAAGGCCGAGCUAGGCCAGGAACUGCUGCCCAUUUUUCUUUUGUUUUAAAAAUGUUUUUUCAAAGAUUUUUAUAAAAAUAUUUAAGCAGUGUAAAAACAUAAUUUUUCCACUAAUACUAUUCUAAAAAUAUGUAGUAUUUAAUAAGGCCAUUGGUUGAAUUUUUCAGCAACUAUGCUGUUUUACAGUAAUGAAAAGGGUUAAGUUGGAAUAGUUUUGCUUCUGUUUAGUUAAUUUUAAAAAUGUUCCUUCAUUGGGAUCAGAGGCAAAUAUUUUUCAAAAUAACAACUUAGAUUUAUCAGUAAUAAUCAACAUUUCUAAAAUGACUGUGUGAUCUGUUUUUGAGUGAGCUAUUUCUUAUUUAUUCUUUUGACGACGAUAGAAAAUCCGUGUGACAAGGGGAUCGGAGCGGAAGACCUCGAAGACCCCGGAUACCUAGUUGACCAAGGCAAGCAGUCCUUUGACCAUGACUGAGCAUAUGUUAUAUUGCAUGUUAUGGUAGCAAGUAUUUCCGUUGAAUAUGAUCAUAAGUGCCAGUAAAUCACUUAGGUGAUGUUACCGAUGACUCCUCCGGAGCACAUGCAUUGAGCUUGAUCCUACCCCCUUUUGAGGAUCAUGCUAGUAUCAUGUUGACAAGUAAUGCUAGAGUAAAUAGCAUGAGCAUGUUGUUGGUAUAAAUCAAAGAUUUAUGAAAACCCCGUUGGGUGCCACUAAUGCCCGAGGGUGAUGAUGAGUUAGGUGGCGACUUUUGGUGAAGUGGUGCACCGGGUAUUUUGAGUGAGUAUGGUUUCGAAAAUGGGAUUAGAUUUAUGAUUUUUCGACCGUCCCAACCUUACAUGUACGACCACGUUACCCCUUAUGGGAUGGGGCUAUGUUGAUUACUUUGGUCGGUGCUAGCAAAGAGCCACAUUACUAGUGGCGGGAGUGAUGUGUGGUCACUCUCAUGAUGGGGUCGUGCUAGGUAGGGCGACUAUGCCAUUUUUAUGUGUUCCAGGAACACCAUUAGUCCCCGCAUGGUUGAUAUUGUCCAGAGUUGGUGCUCGUAAGACGUACACCAUGUGGGUUGGGUACCAAUCGAGUGGACCUCUUUGUGUAGUAUCGAGUGGCAUUGAUCGGGUACUUACCUCGAGUAUGCUAUUUACCGCGAGUCGUGGAUGACACGGAAGUUUCCCGGAUCUCGUGGGUCCAGCGUACUACCUCUGCAGAGUGUAAAACUAUUCGAAUAGGCGUGUCCACGGUCAAGGACAGUUGGGUAAUCCUGCUUAAACUACGUCCAGUUAUUUCCGCAUUAACCUAGUGUGUGUGUGUGUGUAUGUGUUACAUGGAGUUAUUAUGGAAGAAGUGAUAUGACCAAGUUCGGUGACUUGGCAUAUAGGGUGAACCCAGAUGGUUCAGCCCUCGACAGAUAUAUUGAUAUUUGUAACAUGUUCUUCAAAAGUAAUUCGUUAACUUGAUGCAUAUUCAUGAUCAUCCCACCAAGAUGAAUUACACCAAAGAUGCAUGUUAUUGUUAUCCUUCAAUUUCAUUGUUCAUAUCAUGGGUUGUUUGCGAGUACAUUCAAAAGUACUCAUUGGCUUGAUAGUGGUUAUAUUAUUGACCAGACAUGGAAGGGCCGGUGUUUGGAGAUGAGUACGUCUUCGGAGACGCCCCUGCGAACUAGGACGCUUCCGAGUCAGAAUGCCUGUCGGUGUAGGCUUGAUGGCAUGGGCGCCUGCUUAGCCCCUAUGAUUUCCGCUAUUAGUUGUAUUCAUAUGAUUUGGCCUUAGGCACAACCUUGUGAACUUGACCUUUGCUACAGCAAUAGAAGUCCUUCCCCGGCAAUGCCUAGAAUUCUUCUUGCUACUUCUCUUGUUUGCGUCGGUUUUUCCCUUGAAGAGGAAAGGGUGAAGCAGCACAGGAGCAGUAAGUAUUCCCCUCAGUUUGAGAACCAAGGUAUCAAUCCAGUAAGAGAAUCUCGUCAAGUCCAGAGUACCUGCGCAAACACAAAAGAGCUUGCACCCAACGCUAUAAAGGGGUUGUCAAUCCCUUCAAGAUUGAUUCCAAAGUGAUAUCUGAAGGCGGAAAGUGCAACGAAGAAAAAGUGUAAGGUUGAAAAUAUGGUGUGGAGUAGACCCGGGGGCCAUAGUGUUCACUAGAGGCUUCUCUCAAAAUAGCAAGUAUUACGGUGGGUGAACAAAUUACCGUCGAGCAAUUGAUAGAACCGCGCAAAGUCAUGACGAUAUCUAAGGCAAUGAUCAUACAUAUAGGCAUCACGUCCGAGACAAGUAGACCAAUACUUUCAACAUCUACUACUAUUACUCCACACAUCGACCGCUAUCCAGCAUGCAUCUAGUGUAUUGAGUUCAUGACGAACAGAGUAACGCCUUAAGCAAGAUGACAUGAUGUAGAGGGAUAAUCUCAAACCAAUGAUGAAAACCCCAUGUUUUUACCCUGGAUGGCAAGAACACGAUACGUGCCUCGCCACCCCUUCUAUCACUGGGUGAGGUCACCACAAGGUAUGAACCCAAAACAAAGCACUUCUCCCAUUGCAAGAAUCAUAGAUCUAGUUGGCCAUACAAAACCCACAACUCGAAGAGAAUUACAAGGAUAUGAAAUCAUGCAUAAGAGAGAUCAAAAGAAACUCAAAUAAGAUUCAUAGAUAAUCUGAUCAUAAUCCACAAUUCAUCGGAUCUCGACAAACACAACGCAAAAGAAGAUUACAUUGGAUAGAUCUCCAUGAAGAUCAUGGAGAACUUUGUAUUGAAGAUCCAAGAGAGAGAAGAAGCCAUCUAGUUACUAGCUAUGGACCCGUGGGUCUAUGGUGAACUACUCACGCAUCAUCGGAGAGGUCAUGGUGUUGAUGAAGAAGCCCUCCGUAUCCGAAUCCCCCCUCCGACAGGGCACCAGAACGUGCCCUAGAUGGGAUCUUGCGGAGACAGAAGCUUGCGGCGGCGGAAAAGUACUUUCGAUAAUCUCCUAAUUUUUAUGGGAUUUUAGGGAAUAUAUAGGCGCAAAACCUAGGGCAAAGGAGGCUCAGGGAGCCCACAAGCCAGGGGGCGCGGGCCCCCUUGCCGCGCCAUGAGGGCUUAUGGGGACCCUUGUGCCCCCUGCCGUGAUUCUCCGGCUUCCCGAUCUUUUUCUGUUCCGGAAAAAAUCUUUUUGGCAGUUUCAUUCCGUUUGGACUCCAUUCAAAAUCCUCCUCUGAAAGGGGUAAAAAACAUGGAAAAAACAGGAACUGGCACUUGGCACUAAGUUAAUAAGUUAGUCCCAAAAAAUAUAUAAAAGGCCUGCAAAACAUCCAAAGUUUGACAAGAUAAUAGCAUGAAACCAUAAAAAAUUAUAGAUACGUUGGAGACGUAUCAAGCANNNNNNNNNNNNNNNNNNNNNNNNNNNNNNNNNNNNNNNNNNNNNNNNNNNNNNNNNNNNNNNNNNNNNNNNNNNNNNNNNNNNNNNNNNNNNNNNNNNNNNNNNNNNNNNNNNNNNNNNNNNNNNNNNNNNNNNNCCCCAAGCUUAACUCCUGCUCGUCCUCGAGUAGGGAAGUGAUAAAGACUGAAUUUUUGAUGUGGAAUGCUACCUAGCAUAGGUGUCCUUUGCAGCUUCUUUCACGUGACAUGAAUGUUCAGAUCUGUAAGAUUCAAAACAAUAGUUUGCUAUUGACAUGAAAAAAUAACACUUCAAGCAAACUAGCAAGGUAAGCAUGAACUUUCAAAAUAACAAGGCCAAUGAAAGUUCUCCCUACAAAAUCAUAUAGUCUGGCUAUGCUCCAUCAUCCUCACACAACUAAUGCAAAUCAUGCACAACCCCGGUAUUGGCCAAGUAAUUGUUUUCGCACUCUUACUUUCUCAAACUUUUUAUAACUAUCACGCAAUACAUGAGCGUGAGCCAUGGAUAUAACACUAUAGGUGGAAUAGAGUGUGGUGGUGGUUGUGAGACAAAAAGGAGGAGAUGGUCACAUUGACUCGGCGUAUCAAUGGGCUAUGGAGAUGCCCAUUAAUAGAUAUCAAUGUGAAUGAGUAGGGAUUGCCAUACAAGGGAUGCACUAGAGCUAUAAGUAUGUGAAAGCUCAAAAGGAGAACUAGUGGGUGUGCAUCCAACUUGCUUGCUCACGAAGACCUAGGGCAAUUUUGAGGAAGCCCAUCAUUGGAAUAUACAAGCCAAGUUAUAUAAUGAAUAUUCCCACUAGCAUAUGGUAGUGACAAAGUAAGAAGCUCUCAAUCAUGAAGAACAUGGUGCUAUUAUGAAGAACAAGUGUGGAAAAAGAUAGUAGCAUUGUCCCUUCUCUCUUUUUCUCUCUCUUUUUUUUAUUUGGGCUCUUGGGCCUAUUUUCUUUCUCUCUCCCUUUUUUUGUUUGGGCUCUUUGGCCUAUUUUUUUAUUUCCUCACAUGGGACAUUUCUCUAAUAAUGAUGAUCAUCACCCUUUUAUUUACUCACAGCCCAAAGCUCAAAAUGAUGAUCACUCUAUAGGAAAUGCCUCUGGUAGUGUACGAGGAUGUGCAACGAUCUAGCAUGGCGUAUGACGUUGAAACAUCUCGCUAGCUAUCUUACGAUCAUGCAAUGGCAAUAUGAGAGUGACGGCACAAGUCAUGAGAUGGAACGGUGGGAGUUGCAUGGCAAUAUAUCUCGGAAUGGCUAUGAAAAUGCCAUAGUAGGUAGGUAUGGUUGCUGUUUUGAGGAAGGCAUAUGGUGGGUUUGUGCACCGGCGAGAAUUGCGCGGCACAAGAGAGGCUAGCAAUGGUGAAAAGUGAAAGUGCAUCUAUACCAUGGACUCACAUUAGUCAUGAAGAACUCACAUACUUGUUGCGAAAGUUUUUAUUAGUAAUCAAAAAAAAGUGCUAAACGCAUACUCCUAGGGGAAGGGUUGGUAGGUGUUAACCAUCGCGCGAUCCCGACCUCAACACAAAGGAUGACAAUCAAUAGAUCAAUUAUGCUCCGACUUCCUAACAUAGCGGUUCACCAUACGUGCAUGCUACGGGAAUCACUAACUUCAACACAAGUAUUUCUUGAUUCACAACACCCUACUAACAUAACUCUUAAUAUUACCGAAUCCACGUCUCAAAACUAAUUGAGGUGAAUCAAGAAUUCUCUUUCUACUCAAUGCACAUGAAGAUGGAGGUUUUUGUAUCCUCUUUGGGUACCUAUCACCUUUGGGACUACUUUCAUAGCAUAAGCCAACUACCAAGUCACACACCGCCGUGCUCUAAAAGAUAUAAGUGAAGCACAUAGAGCAAAAUUAUCUAGCUCAAAAGAUAUAAGUGAAGCACUAUGAGCAUUCUAGCAAAAUCACGAUGAGUGCAUGUCUGUCUCUCUCAAAAAGGUGUGCAGCAAGGAUGAUUGUGACACAACAAAAUGAAAAUACUCCUAUGAUACAAGACGCUCCAAGCAAAACACAUAUCAUGUGGUGAAUAAAAAUAUAGCUCCAAAUAAUAUUACCGAUGGAUUGGAGACGAAAGAGGGGAUGCCUUCCCGGGGCAUCCCCAAGCUUAGGCUUUUUGGUGUCCUUGAAUUUGGCUUGGGAUGCCUUGGGCAUCCCCAAGCUUGAGCUCUUUCCACUCCUUAUCUCUUUGUCCAUGAGAACAUCACUCAAAACUUCAAAACUUCACAACACAAAACUUAAACGGAAACUCGUGAAAAUCUUUUUGGCGGUUUCAUUCCAUUUGGACUCCAUUCAAAAUCCUCCUCUGAAAGGGGUCAAAAACAUGGAAAAAACAGGAACUGGCACUUGGCACUGAGUUAAUAAGUUAGUCCCAAAAAAUAUAUAAAAGGCAUGCAAAACAUCCAAAGUUUGACAAGAUAAUAGCAUGAAACCAUAAAAAAUUAUAGAUACGUUGGAGACAUAUCAACCAUUCGGUCAUGUGAUGUAAUAAUUCGGUACUUGGAUGUAAGACUCUUAUUAUUCAGUAUCUGUGUGUUUGGUGAGCAUUGAUCUCUGGGAUCACUGAGCACGUUCAUUCGCCAAUCUCGACUUGUAAGUCGGGGUCCCCACACUAGCACAACUGAUGGCCGUUGUCGAUGAGUACGCUGUGGCUGAGCCUUCCAUGAAUCUCUCGUUGCUCGUCGAUGCGGCCGGCAAGCCAACCGUGGCCAAGCCGGCUGCCGCCCCGGUAGCCGAACAAUCAGAGACGGAUCAGGGCAAGCGCAAGACUGACCAGCCGGACGCCCAUCAUAGCAACCGGCAGGUCGCUGUCGUCGAGGACGGUCGGAUGGCCGACGGCCCGGGCUCCAGCGGGCGUCAACACACCAACGAGGGCAAUCAGCCCUGUGAGGCCAAAUACACCUUCGAGGCCAUGCUCGAUGGGCCCUGUAAGUUCCACACCGGGGGCAAGACGGCUACGCACAUGACCUGCUAGUGCAGCUGGUUCACCAAGAUCGUGCGGGACGAUGCUCUGCCGCCCGGCCCGCCACCACCAAGAUCGUGCCCAUGACGACUACCCCACAAGGAUGCGACCUAUGUCGUCUUCAUAAGUGAGGACGAGAAGAAGCAUAGCCAACGCAUGAGUGCACUGGAGGUCAACGCCACCGUCCCUCCGGUCCCCCAGUCCAUGCACUGGUCAGAUAAACCAAUCUCCUUGGGACGAGAUGAUCACCGGGCCGUAAUGCCCACGCCAGGCGGUUAUGCUGGUCCUCGACCCCACCUUGGUCUCCAGACAGAGCACGUGUCGCUUCAUGCGGGUGCUCGUCGAUGGCGGUAGUAGCAUCAACAUCCUAUACCGUGACACCAUGGACAAGCUCGGCAUCCUCAAGUCUGAGCUCCAGCCGCCCGAGAUGGUAUUCCAUAGCAUCAUUCCCGACCACUCUUGCUCCCCAAUCGGCAAGGUCCGGCUGGACGUGAUGUUCAGCUUGCCGAAGAACUUCCACCGAGAGCCCAUCUAGUUCGAGGUUCUCAAUCUCUCCAGCUCGUACCAGACCAUCUUGGGCUGGCCCGCCCUAGCCAAGUUCAUGGCGAUCCCCCACUAUGCCUAUCUGAAGGUAAAGUUGCCAGACCCGCACGACAUCAUCACCAUCACUAGCGACUACAAGAAGUCAACAGAGUGCGCUCUGGCUGACUCUAAGGAACGACGACAGAUCGACCGGCUAGUGGCCCUCGCCCGCGAGCCUGUGGCCCUCGCUCGCGAGCCGGUGGCCGUCUCUGAGCCCAAGCUGAAGCAGCCAGCUGCGAAAGCCUACUUCCAGCUAGCGCCGGCAAGGACACCAAGAGGGUCCCCUUGGACCUAGCUGACCUUACCAACAAGUACGUCAUGGUGGGGGCCGACCUCAGUGACAAAUAGGAAAGCGAGCUCGUCGAAUUCCUGCAUGAGAAUCACGAUAUCUUCGCGUGGACCCCAAAGGACAUGCCAGGAGUCCCGAGGAAGUAUGCUGAGAACUUCUUACACGUCCGACCGGACGCAAAGCCGGUCAAGCAAUCGCUGCGCCGCUUCUCCAAGGAUAAGCAAAAGACCAUCGGUGAAGAAAUCGCCCGGCUGCUCGUAGUCGGCUUCAUCAUGGAAAUCUUCCACCCGGACUAGUUGGUGAACCCGGUCCUAGUGCUGAAGAAGAAGAAGAUUUGGCACAUGUGUAUCGACAACACAAGCCUGAAUAAGGCAUGCCCCAAGGAUCCAUUUGCUCCGCCCCGUAUCGAUCAAGUGAUCGACUCGACAGCCGGCUGUGAGCUAUUGUCCUUCUUGGAUGCCUACUCAAGCUACCACCAGAUCAAGCUUAAUCUAGUCAAUCGGAUUAAAACAACUUUCAUAACCCCCUUCGUGGCAUUUUGCUACAUCACCAUGGCGUUCGGGCUAGAAACACCGGCACCACAUUCAGGUGUUGCAUGUAGUGAUGCCUCUACAGGUAGCUUGGCCGCAACAUGCAUGCCUACGUGGACAACUUCGUGGCCAAGACCAAGGAGAGACGCACCCUCCUCGACAAUCUCAAAGUGACGUUCGCGAACCUCGCGAGUUUGAGAUCCGUCUGAACCCAGAGAAGUGCGUGUUCGGCGUCCCUACUGGCCAGCUCCUCGGUUUCCUCAUUUUCAAAUGAGGAAUCGAGGCCAACCCAAAGAAGAUCUGGGCCAUCGAGUGGAUGGCUCGGCCGACCAACUUGGUCGGCGUCAAGAAGAUCACUGGUUGCCUCACCUCACUCAACCGCUUCAUAAGCCGGCUGGGAGAAAAGGCCCUCCCGCUCUAUAGUCUGCUCGAAAAAGCGGACAACUUCAUCUGGAGCGACCAGGCGGACGAGGCCAUGCGCAAUCUCAAGCGCGUGCUGACCACCGUGCCUGAGCUGGCCGCGCCGGCUGACAAGGAGCCGAUGCUGCUCUACAUCGCAACAACCAGCCACAUGAUCAACGUCAUGGACGUUGAGCGCUUGGAGCUGGGAUGGGCCUAGCCGGUCCAGCGACCGGUCUACUAUCUGAGCGAGGUGUCGUCCGCCUCCAAGCAAAACUACCCUCACUACCAGAAGAUGUGUUACAACAUGUUCAUGGCAGCCCAGAAGCUUAAGCCCUACUUCCAAGAGCAUCCGAUCACGAUGGUGAGCACCGCUCCCCUUGGAGAGAUCAUGGGCAACCGAGACGCGGCCAGCCACAUCACUAAGUGGGCCAUCUAACUAGCCGACCAACACAUCGCCUAUGAGUCAUGUACAACUGUCAAGUCCCAGGCCUUGGCGGACUUCCUCGUCGACUGGGCGGAGACGGAGUACCUUACACCGCCUCCCGACUCCACUAAUUGGCGCAAGCACUUCGACGGAUCAAAGACGCGUACCCGCCUCGAGGCCGGCAUCGUCCUCUCUUCCUUGAAGGGGGACCGACUGCAGUACGUCCUGCAGACCCACUUAGCCGCAUUGAGAAACAUGGUGGAGUAUGAAGCACUCACCCACAGCCUCCGGCUGGUCAGGGAGAUCGGCGUCCAAUGCAUCCUGUGUUUCAGUGACUCCGACCUGAUGGUGCAGCAAGUCACUGGUGAGUGGAACGCCAAAGACGUAAACAUGCUAGCUAUCGUUUCCUGGUCCAGUAGCUCACCGGUAGCUUCGAAGGUUGCGAGUUCCACCACAUCCUUCAAGCCAGCAACGAGGCCGCCGACACACUCACGAAGAUCGGCUCCACCCGACAGCGCAUCCCAACUGGCGUAUCCCUGGAGCAUCUGCGUAAGCCCUCCAUUACGCCUAUUGGAAAUAUGCCCUAGAGGCAAUAAUAAAGUAGUGAUAAUUGUCUAUUACUCAUGCUAUAAUUGUAUUAACCGGAAACCGUAAUACAUGUGUGAAUAUAUAGAUCACAAUGUGUCCCUAGUGAGCCUCUAGUUGGCUAGCUCAUUGAUCAAUAGAUGAUCAUGGUCUCCUUAUCAUGGACAUUGGAUGUCAUAGAUAACGGGAUCACAUCAUUGGGGAAUGGUGUGAUGGAGAAGACCCAAUCCUAAGCAUAGCACUAGAUCGUGUUGUUCGUCUGCUAAAGCUUUUCUAAUGUCAAGUAUCAUUUCCUUAGACCAUGAGAUUGUGCAACUCCCGGAUGCCGUAGGACUGCUUUGGGUGUAUCAAACGUCAGAACAUAACUGGGUGAUUAUAAGGGUGCACUACAGGUAUCUCCGAAAGUGUCUGUUGGGUUGUACGAAUCGAGACUAGGAUUUGUCACUCCGUGUUACGGAGAGGUAUCUCUGGGCCCACUCGGUAAUCCAUCAACAUAAUGAGCUCAAUGUGACUGAGGAGUUAGCCACGGGAUGAUCUUUUACGGAAUGAGUAAAGAGACUUGCGAGUAAUGAGAUUGAACAAGGUAUAGGGAUACCGACGAUCGAAUCUCGGGCAAGUAUCAUACUGGUAGACAAAGGGAAUUGCAUACGGGUUUGAUUGAAUCCCCGGCAUUGUGGUUCAUCCGAUGAGAUCAUCGAGGAACAUGCGGGAACCAACAUGGAUAUCCAGACCCGGCUGUUGGUUAUUGACCGGAGAGGUGUCUCCGUCAUGUCUGCAUACUUCCCGAACCUGCAGGGUCUACACACUUAAGGUUCGAUGACGCUAGGGUUGUUAUGGGAAUUGUAUAUGUGGUUACCGAAGUUUCUUCAAAGUCCCAGAUGAGAUUCCAUACGUCACGAGGAGUUCCGAAAUGGUCCGGAGGUAAAGAUUUAUAUAUGGGAAGUUCAGUUUCGGUCGCCGAAAAAGUUUUGGGGUUUAUCAGUAUUGUACCGGGACCACUGAAAGGGUACCGGGGGGUCCAUCGGGAGGGUCCACCUGUCCCGGAGGGCCACAUGGGCUGAAAGGGGAGGAGGCCCAAGGCGCAAGGGAGGCAAACCCUAGGCGUGGGGGCUGCCUUGGGUGGCAAGCCACCCACCUAGGGCAACGCCCCUCCUCCUAGGGAUGCCGCACCUCCUAGGGUUUCCCUAGGGGUGGCACACCCCCUCUCCCUCCCUUCUAUAUAUAGUGGAGGAUUUGGAGGGAUGCACACACCUGAUUUGAUCACCCUAUGGCGCAACCCUACUUCUCCUAUUCUCCUCCUCCGCGGUGCUUGGCGAAGCCCUGCCGGAGAAGCACAUAGUUCCCCUGCCACCACGCCGUCGUGCUGCCGGAGUUAUCCCUCAACUUCUCCUCCCUCCUUGUUGGAUCAAGAAGGAGGAGACGUCCUCGGGCUGUAGGUGUGUUGAACACGGAGACACCGUACGUUCGGUGUUCGGAUCGGAUCUUCCGCGAUUUGAAUCGCCAUGAGUAUGACUCCAUCGACCGCGUUCAUAGUAACGCUUCGGCUUUGCGAUCUUCAAUGGUAUGAAGAUCCUCUACCUCACUUGUUGCUGGUUUCUCCUAGAUGAUCUUGGUGUGACGUAGGAUUUUUUUUCGAAAUACUACUACGCUCCCCAAUAGUGGCAUCCGAGCCAGGUCUAUGCGUAGAUUCUAUGCACGAGUAGAACACAAAAGUUGUGGGCGAUGAUAUUGUCAAUUGCUUGUCGUUACUAGUCCAAUCUUUUUUCGGUGGUAUUGUGGGAUGAAGUGGCCCGGACUGACUUUACACGUACUCUUACGUGAGACUGUUUCCACCUCCCGACAUGCACUUGUUGCAUAAGGUGGCUAGCGGGUGUGUGUCUCACCCACUUUAGUCGGAUCGGAUUUGAUGAAGAGGGUCCUUAUGAAGGGUAAAUAGCAUUGGCAUAUCAACAUUGUGGGUGUCACGUAGGUAAGAAGCGUUCUUGCUAGAAACGCAAAUCAGCCACAUAAAACUUGCAACAACAAUUAGAGGACGUCUAACUUGUUUUUGCAGGGUAUGCUAUGUGAUGUGAUAUGGCCAAAAAGAUGUGAUGUUAUAUAUGUCAUGUAUGAGAUUGAUCAUGUUCUUGUAAUAGGAUUCAUGACUUGCAUGUUGAUGAGUAUGAGAACUGGCAGGAGGCAUAGGAAUUGUCUUAAUUUAUUGUAUGAGAUGCAACGCAUGAUUACUUUACUUUAUUGCUAACUAUUAGCCAUAGUAGUAGAAGUAAUAGUUGGCGAGACGACUUCACGGAGACACAAUGGUGGAGAUCAUGAUGAUGGAUAUCAUGGUGUCAUGCCGGUGACAAUGAUGAUCAUGUCAUGCCCCAAAGAUGGAAGUCAAAGGAGCAAGAUGAUAAUGGCCAUAUCAUGUCACUAUAUGAUUUGCAUGUGAUGUUUAUCAUGUUUCUAUAUCUUAUUAGCUUAGAACGACGGUAGUGAAUAAGUUGAUUGUCGGUGCGCCAUAGACUGGGGUCCCUCGUGCGCCAUACUUGUGCACGGGCAUCGGCGACGCCCCUGGCGGCAGUGCCCUGGGAAGAACAACACAAAGGUAAUCCAAGACCCACUAAGGCCACGCCCUUCCCUCUCUUCGUGGGACGCGGAAUACAAAGGCUCCAGAUGCAAGGCCCCGACAAGCCCUCCUUGCCGGUAAGAUUCCCAAGGCCCCGGCAACCCCUCAUUGCCGGGAAGACUCCCGAAGAUUAGCAAGCACCCGGCAAGCCUCCCUUGCUGGCAAGGCUCGCGCAGACUAGCGAAGCCCCCGGCAAGCGCUCCUUGCGGGGAAAGUGUUCAAAGCCCCCAGAAAGCCCUCCUUGCUGGGAAGGUGACCAAGUUACCCGACAGAGACUCCAGGCCAGCAAGCUCCUUUCGCUCGCCAAGUGUCCUCCCCCGUUUUCUACCACAAUCCGAACGCUCCAGCACAUCCCUUGUGUGCCAGCACAAGACCCAGGUGUCGAUUCACCUGGAUACGUGUCGCGACUACCUUGCGGCAAGUUUCUACUGCAACAAAAGACCUUCCAACGGUGCCAGAAAUAGGCGUGUUGACGGGAGACUGUUCUUGUCUUGGUACUCCUCAGCAACGGCACCAGGAAUCCUUCUGCUACAACUACGCCUUAAGGGACUUCCUAGGCAAAUAUGCAAACGGUUCCCCCGUGGCCUUGGAGCCUUCCGUUGGUGUUCCCUCGAAGCGGAAAGGGUGAUGUAGCGCAGCGGUGGUAAGUAUUUCCCUCAGUUUGAGAACCAAGGUAUCGAUCCAAUGAAGGAGUAUCACAAGUGCCUACACAAACACAAAAAGCUUGCUCCCAACUCUAUGAAGGGGUUGUCAAUCCCUUAUAGAUUGUUCAUCAAGUGAGAACUGAAAGCAACAAAGUAACAAAGCAAAGUAAAAGCAAAAGUGGAAACGAUAGGUGUGAAUAGACCCGGGGGCUGUAGUGUUUACUAGUGGCUUCUCUCAUGAAAGCAAGGAGACGGUGGGUGAACAAAUUACUGUCGAGCAACUGAUAGAACCGCGCAAAGUCGUGACAUCAUCUAUGGCAAUGAUUAUAACUAUAUGCAUCACGUCCAAAACAAGUAGACCGAUACUUUCUGCAUCUACUACUAUUACUCCACAUGUCGACCGCUAUCCAACAUGCAUCUAGUGUAUUAAGUCCAAAAGAACAGAGUAACGCCUUAAGCAAGAUGACAUGAUGUAGAUGGACAAUCUCAUAUCUACUACAAAGCCCACCUUAUUACCCUUGAUGCCAACUACAUGAUGUGUGCCUUGCUGCCCCUACUGUCACUGGGAAAGGUCACCACGCGGUAAGAACCCAAAACCAAGCACNNCUCCCAUUGCAAGAAUCAUAGGUCUAGUUGGCCAAACAAAACCCAAGACUCGGAGAGACUUACAAGGAUAUCAAAUCAUGCAUAUAAGAAAUCAACAAAGACUCAAAUAUAUAUCAUAGAUAAUCUGAUCACAAAUCCACAAUUCAUCGGAUCUCGACAAACACACCGCCAAAGAGGAUUACAUCGGAUAGANNNNNNNNNNNNNNNNNNNNNNNNNNNNNNNNNNNNNNNNNNNNNNNNNNNNNNNNNNNNNNNNNNNNNNNNNNNNNNNNNNNNNNNNNNNNNNNNNNNNNNNNNNNNNNNNNNNNNNNNNNNNNNNNNNNNNNNNNNNNNNNNNNNNNNNNNNNNNNNNNNNNNNNNNNNNNNNNNNNNNNNNNNNNNNNNNNNNNNNNNNNNNNNNNNNNNNNNNNNNNNNNNNNNNNNNNNNNNNNNNNNNNNNNNNNNNNNNNNNNNNNNNNNNNNNNNNNNNNNNNNNNNNNNNNNNNNNNNNNNNNNNNNNNNNNNNNNNNNNNNNNNNNNNNNNNNNNNNNNNNNNNNNNNNNNNNNNNNNNNNNNNNNNNNNNNNNNNNNNNNNNNNNNNNNNNNNNNNNNNNNNNNNNNNNNNNNNNNNNNNNNNNNNNNNNNNNNNNNNNNNNNNNNNNNNNNNNNNNNNNNNNNNNNNNNNNNNNNNNNNNNNNNNNNNNNNNNNNNNNNNNNNNNNNNNNNNNNNNNNNNNNNNNNNNNNNNNNNNNNNNNNNNNNNNNNNNNNNNNNNNNNNNNNNNNNNNNNNNNNNNNNNNNNNNNNNNNNNNNNNNNNNNNNNNNNNNNNNNNNNNNNNNNNNNNNNNNNNNNNNNNNNNNNNNNNNNNNNNNNNNNNNNNNNNNNNNNNNNNNNNNNNNNNNNNNNNNNNNNNNNNNNNNNNNNNNNNNNNNNNNNNNNNNNNNNNNNNNNNNNNNNNNNNNNNNNNNNNNNNNNNNNNNNNNNNNNNNNNNNNNNNNNNNNNNNNNNNNNNNNNNNNNNNNNNNNNNNNNNNNNNNNNNNNNNNNNNNNNNNNNNNNNNNNNNNNNNNNNNNNNNNNNNNNNNNNNNNNNNNNNNNNNNNNNNNNNNNNNNNNNNNNNNNNNNNNNNNNNNNNNNNNNNNNNNNNNNNNNNNNNNNNNNNNNNNNNNNNNNNNNNNNNNNNNNNNNNNNNNNNNNNNNNNNNNNNNNNNNNNNNNNNNNNNNNNNNNNNNNNNNNNNNNNNNNNNNNNNNNNNNNNNNNNNNNNCUCGCCGAGGACAACCAGCCCAACCAUGUGCAUGUGCUGUGCGGUGGCCGAUUCUUUGGCCCAUGAGGCACCUUUUUACUUCUUUUUUCUAGUUUCCCUACAUUACGUAUAUGUUUAGUCUCACAUUGUUUAUCUAUGGACCUUUACACCUCCCUUUCAUCUAUAAAUNNNNNNNNNNNNNNNNNNNNNNNNAUCAUCUAUUUCGGGUUAAAUCNNNNNNNNNNNNNNUCUAGAUUUAUUAAAUAAAAAUAUUCUUUUCUCUUCGGCGGGAUUUCUCGAAGUCGUCUCCUCAUUGGAAUUAAUUCUUACUAUGCAUUCUAAAGGUAUUUCUCUUCGUAUUUUUUUAUAUACUCCGUAGUUUAUUAUUUCUAGACUAGUAUUUCUACACUAGUAUAAGGUAGAGUAAUUAGAUAUAUUAAUUAGUCUUCGUAUUACACAUUAGUACUAGAAUUCUUUUAGACAUAGCACUUUUCUUCCGUAAAACAGCUUGGCCCUGAUUUUUCAAGUAGCCAUAACUUUUUACUCGUUUAUCCGAAUUAGAUGAAACCAACGCCUAGAGUUUCGUCUUGAUCCCACCUAUCCGGUGAACCUAUCAUAUCAACUUUUUGAAAUUUUCAAAUUUCGAAAUUUGUUCAUAUUCAUAUUCAAACUUCUUUUGAUCAUAUCUUUUUAUCCGUAGCUCCGUUUUAGAUGAAUCCAAUUGCGUCGGAUUCGUAUCAAAGCAAUCUUCCUGUUUGUAUCAUUAGUUCUAACUUUUCAACUUAUAAUUUUGAUCAAAUCAGAUUUAUCUAUUAGUGCCCAAAAGUGUUCACAUCGUUCUAAGCCGAUUAAAUGUUAUAUUGAAGUAUUUGUAUCUUUUGAUCCGCUAUUUCAAAUCUAGUAAUUCUUUUUUCUACACGCUCAUAUUGAUCUACUAUAUUCAAUAGCAUCGUUAGUUUCGACCUUUGAACCUUAUAAAUUUGAGCGAUUCAAAUUUGUAUUCGAACAUUCAUUUGAUCUUACCUUGCAAAUCGUACCACCUUUUCAAUUGAUUCCUUUUACCCCUAAACACUCAUGUCAUAUAUUUUUGUACAUAACCAUCGUACUUCAGUUCAACUUCUCUUGACCUUUUGAAUGAUAAUUCAAUUCAUACUUCAAUUCGCUAUAACUUGCGUUGUAGUGCUCCAUUUCAAGAAAUUCUUUCUACAAAUAAAUUCUUAUGUCUUAUACUAUUUGUCAAACAACAUUCAUGUUGUUCUCCCAAUAUUUUCGAUCAUCUCCCAUAGUGUAUGCAAGUCGAGCUUAUAUAGCGAUAGUUGAUCAUCCUUUGACUCUUUUGAGUUGACCCCUUUCAUCGUACCUUUUACAACACCAUAAGGCCCUAUUUUUUUUUAUUAAACCUUAGUACGUUGUUAUUUUGUACCAAGACAUGCUUUGUUCUUAUGUUCUCUUGGUUCUUCCUUUUUGGCAUGAAUGUUUAUUGAAUGCUAUUUGUUUACGAUAGAUUGCUCGGAGUGUGGCGAGUAGAAUUAUCAGGAUUAUGAGAGCGACUAUCUUCAUCAAGUAAUACCAGGCAAGUCACUUUGAUCAUACUAUCACCUAUGUUUUAUGCAUCGUAGUUCUACCAUCCUAUGCCCAAUUGCAUGCUGAGUAGGUACUUGGAAAUUUUAGUAUAGUUUGUAGUGUCAUGUGGUAGGCACCCAACAACCCCGAUACUUGGCUCCGGGACGACAAAUUUCAUAUUGCUAUGCUUGAGUAGACGGGAUUUCGGUUGAGUGCAUAACACGAGUGAUGCGAGGUUGAUUAAUAAUCAAGACCGGUUAAGACAAGAUUUUCAAGACCUCGGACGCAAAUGCAACUCUGGGUGAAGGGCGGUUGAUCGGCUCCCUGGAGAACCCAGUGGAUGACCCGGGAUGCUGGAGAGGCCAUGACAUCCUGCGGAAAGCUUCACCCAGGCUCAAAGAGACGGACGGAUAUUUUCAAGACCCAAGGCUUACCUGCACAGCCACAAGUCAUUAUGGGCUCUGGCUUGGUUGGACAACGCGGCGACUCUGGAUAGGCGGUGCUAGCAGAUAUAGAAGAACGGUAGGAAUGGAUGGGCGCCGACAGGGAUUCAGAGGGACCCGUUGAAAGACCAUGUUUUGAUCAUCCGGUCUUCAAACACCCUGAAGUGCGAGGACAUACUCGAGGGCGAUCAAAUCUUGUGGGGAACGUGUGCAAAACUCUGCAGAGUACUCAAACCUAAUCGAUUAGCCGUGUCCACGGUCAUGGACAACUUGAGCCAAAGGAACUGAAGUUAUCUGAAAUUCUCAACACCAUUAUAAAUACUUGAUGAGGGUAAUAUUGAUAACUUGGGUAUGAGAACUGGUUGGCGGAACCAUCUCAUUAACAACCAACAGCGUAGUAAUAUUUUGCUUUUAGCCCCUCUCUUGUUGUAGGAUAAAACUGGCUUUAUGCAAAACUUAUAGCCCCACCUGCCAAAUAUGCAUGUAGAGAUAGUUGUUUAUUAUUUUACCCCUCUCUUUGAUGACUUGCUGGCAUAUUCAAUAUGCUGACCUACACGGCUGCAACGUCUUAUGUUGCAGAUAUUUUCUUCGACGAGUAAGAGUACGAUUCAGGGUUACGGUCCGCACUCAACUUGCCGUUGGUGUUUAUUGGGACUCCACUCCCUUGACUGCUUCCGCUGAAAUAUUUAAGGUAUAUAUCAGUUUUACGCUAUUUACAUGUGAUUGCACUUUGAUAUAUACAUUGAUGUACUGUGUGUGCCAGCAUACUGAUCCAGGGAUGGCACAGAAACACAGAGGCUUGACUCGUUUUGAGUCUGGUCGCUACACCGGUGUUGAUCGCUAGUUUUGCUCUCGAUGCCGUACCUCUCUCUCCCUGCCGAACGAUCAAGGGACUCCUCGAGUUUCCCAUAGGUGUUGGUUUCCCCGACAUCUUUGGCACGCGAGGUAGGGGGAGUGGUGGUUGAGAGCUUUUUCGCUGACUCAAGCAAGUUCCGCGUCAGAUGUUGGGAGGUUGAGCGCACCACUGCGGUCCCUCAAAGCAGGGCGAAGCGGUGGUCGCUCUACUUCGUCAUGGCCUCCUGACGCCUGCGUGGGUGCCCUGCUGCGUGUACGUAGGCUAGGGAGACGGUGACCUUGAGCUCGAAGGCAUCAUGCUGAUGCGUCGCUCCGGGGUAGUGCGCUGCUGUCGAGGGUGUGCCUGGGGUUCCGAUGAGGCCUCCGGCGCAUACUCUGGCCGACGCACCUCCAUGGAGAGGUGCAUAGUCGUAAAGGAUGCGCCUACGGGCCCCGGAGCCCAAGCGCACACUCCAGCCGAAGGGCUUCCCCCCAGGAGCACCACGUCGUUGCCAAAGGUGCGCUCGGGGGCUCCGUCAGCACGGUCUGGCAAAACAGGAAAAGGAGUUAUGCUCCGGCAACCGCCCUUCUGUACGAUAGUCAAGAACUGUCGGCAAGUACCUUGCCGGAGGGGAAGUUGCCGGGAAAGCGUAGUCUCCUGCUUGCCGGGAAGCCGAGGCCCCGACAAAGGACCCAAGCGCCGUGGGGAGAAGUGCCGCGACACGACAGAUAAGUGAUAAAUACUUCAGAUGAAAUUUCAGAGUAGAUAGGUUGUUUCCUUUCUGGAAGAUCCCAAACCUUGUUUGAGAAACUUGCGCGUAGAUGGAAUCUUGUCAGGAAUAGUGCGCCUUAGUUCUGUUUCGAACUAGUUCAACGACCUAAACGGCCAUAGAGCGCUUUCACACUGUUUUGAACCUGUUCAACAGACUAAGCGGCUACCCAACACAUAAUUUCACCUCGAGCCGCACUCGACGAUCUAAUGGUUGCACCGAGUGCGGCAAGGAGCCUUGCCGGUAACGACCCUCAAGCAAACUGCUAAGGAUCCGUUCCUCAAAGCACUAGCGGCACGACCAAUCGCGCCGGCAAGCUUCCGGAAAAUGCAAAAGGCGUAUCAUACAAGGGAAAGGAUCAGACGCAAGGGAAACAACAUUUCAUUCAUUUGUAUGAAACAAAGUCAGACAUAUUACAUGAAUGAUUUUUGCUACUCUAACCUAUGGUACUGUCUUUUGGCGAGGGACAUGCUCGCCGGAAAGAAGUUCAAGAAGACAAAAAGGCGGAGCACGUGGUGUGGUUAGGGCUGGCUCCCCUAGGGCCAUCACUAUGCCGACGAGAAUGGGACCAGCCCCAACAAGUACCACUCGGCCCCUUCUGGCUUGAUACCAUAAGGUAGGGGACACGAAGGGGCGAAGGAUCCAAAGCCCGCAAGCGUGCCUCCUCCUGGGGCCGGGGGGCCAAGACCCACUCCGAUGAGGUGGCCCAAGUAGGGGGGCUGGAGAAGUUAGAGCUUGCGGAGGUGCCUCCCUCUUGAACACGAGGCACCGACGCCAGCUCCAGCAAGAUAACCCCGCCGGGCGGGGGAGAGGCAUGAGCGAACCUCGGCGACAGGGCCGACAGUCAGUCGGAGCUCGGGGAGUCGUACUCAGACUUGACCCCCCGAGGUCCUGACCUGCCAAGAGCGCCACCGUUGCUGUUAUCCUCCUCGUCGCUAUCGCUUGAGGAGGGACAUUCGGCGCUGCUCGAGUUCUCUUCGCAGCAGCCGAGAUGCUCACCUGAGCUCCCAUAAAACUUGAUGGAUAGCAUAUUUUCGUCCGCUAGCUUAAAGCAGAGGAUAUGCCCAUCCUCGAGGUUGUGGGCGCGGGCGAAGGCUUUCCAGCCCCACCCGAGUAGCAUGGAGUGGCGUUUCGGGUACUCCACGUGCACCUGCAUAGCACCGUGGGAGAAACCGUAUGCCCGCAACCACAAGACAGGGGGCUUGGCGGCCUCCAUCGCCCUAGAAAAGGGGUGAGGGAGGUGCAAGUGGCCCUGAGGGAUGCCGUGCAGUUCCACAAUGAACUCCAACACCGUCACAUCCGAGUGCCCACCCCGUAGAGGAUAAGACGGAGGUGCUAGAUUAGCACUUCGCCUCCCCCGGCCACGGCCUCCGCGUCGACCGCGGCCCCUCGCCCCUCCGCCACCACGAGCGCUCGUGCCGCCCUCCACAGCUGUGGCCCCUGAAGCUGUGGCAUGAUCCGAGUGGGAUCCCCUUGCCGCCCUGGCGGCCGAUGGUGGCCUCCCUCGUACCCUAGCCAUGGUUAGGGGCGAGGGCCACCUGGUGCUAGAAAAGAUUCCGCAGAUGCAAGUUGGAGGUGGUGGAUGUUUCAGGAGUUCGUGGAUGAGCAAAAACCCCUCGCAAACUCCCUAAUUUAUAGGGAGAGGCGCGGAGGGCUAUCUCCCCUCACUCCAGAAACCGCCGCGCCUCUCGCCCAAUCACUCAAGAUGACGGGCAAAUAGGGAACCGCCCUGCUGCACCAAUGCAUGCGGGGGCGGACCCUGCCACGACUGCCCCUUUAUGGCCACGAACGCCACUUGCCUGACCAUUACUACGCAUGCUUUACGCGUGGCAUUAAUGCUUUGGGAGGUGGGGAGGCUCCUGUGUGCGCACUUCUCCACCUCUCGCACUUGAUGGCGACGUGGGGAAAGGUCAUUUGCAACGGCUCCAAAGCUACAAAGUCCCCUACCAAGGAAUCCCAUGCACUACUUUGGGCCCAGCCGAGUAACGCCCCCAGCGCAUGCGUGUCCCAAGCCAGGGGGCUCCUAUUAGUGCAUUAGAGACUGGGGUCCCUCGUGCCCCAGACUUGUGCAUGGGCAUCGGCGACGCCCCUGGUGGCAGUGCCCCGGGAAGAAUAGCAGAAAGGCAAUCCAAGACCCACUAAGGCCACGCCCUUCCCUCUCUUCAUGUGGCGAGGAAUACAAAGGCUCUAGAUGCAAGGCCCUGACAAGCCCACCCUGCCGGGAAGAUUCCCAAGGGCUCGACAACCCCUCAUUGCCGAGAAGACUCCCGAAGAUUAGCAAGCCCCCGGCAAGCCUCCCUUGUCGGGAAGGCUCGCGUAGACUGGCGAAGCCCCCGGCAAGUGCUCCUUGCCGGGAAAGUGUUCAAAUGCCCCGGCAAGCCCUCCUUGCCGGGAAGGUGACCAAGUCACCCGACAAAGACUCCAGGCCAGCAAGCCCCUUUCGCUCGCCAGGUGUCUGCUACCUCUUGAGCUUGCGUUGGUUUUUCCCUUGAAGAGGAAAGGGUGAUGCAGCACAGUAGCAGUAAGUAUUUCCCUCAGUUUGAGAACCAAGGUAUCAAACCAGUAGGAGUAUCAAGGCAAGUCUCCAAAGUACCUGCACAAAAACAAGCAAACUUGCACCCAACGCUACAAAGGGGUUGCCAAUCCCUUCACGGUUAACUGCAAGGUGAGAUCUAAAGGCCGAAAGUGCAACAAAGUAAAAGUGUAGAGCUGAAAAUAUGAUGUGAAGUAGACCCCGGGGCCAUAGUGUUCACUAGAGGCUUCUCUCAUGAUAGCAAAUAUUACGGUGGGUGAACGAAUUACUGUCGAGCAAUUGAUAGAACCGCGCAAAGUCAUGAUGAUAUCUAAGGCAAUGAUCAUACAUAUAGGCAUCACGUCUGAGACAAGUAGACCGAUACUUUGUGCAUCUACUACUAUUACUCCACACAUCGACCGCUAUCCAGCAUGCAUCUAGUGUAUGUACUUCAUAACAAACAGAGUAACGCCUUAAGCAAGAUGACAUGAUGUAGAGGGAUAAAUUCAUGCAAUAGAUAUAAACCCCAUCUUUUUACCCUUGGUGGCAACAACAUGAUGCGUGCCUCGCUACCCCUUCUAUCACUGGGUGAGGACACCGCGCGGUAUGAACCUAAAACCAAGCACUUCUCCCAUUGCAAGAAUUGUAGAUCAAGUUGGCCAAACGAAACUCACAACUCGAAGAGAAUUACAAGGAUAUGAAAUCAUGCAUAUAAGAGAUCAGAGGAAACUCAAAUAAUAUUCAUAGAUAAUCUGAUCAUAAAUCCACAAUUCAUCGGAUCUCGACAAACACACCGCAAAAGAAGAUUACAUNNNNNNNNNNNNNNNNNNNNNNNNNNNNNNNNNNNNNNNNNNNNNNNNNNNNNNNNNNNNNNNNNNNNNNNNNNNNNNNNNNNNNNNNNNNNNNNNNNNNNNNNNNNNNNNNNNGAUUACAUCGGAUAGAUCUCCAUGAAGAUCAUGGAGAACUUUGUAUUGAAGAUCCAAGAGAGAGAAGACGCCUUCUAGCUACUAGCUAUGGACCCGAAGGUAUGUGGUGAACUACUCACACAUCAUCGGAGAGGCAAUGGUGUUGAUGUAGAAGCCCUCCGUGUCCGAAUCCCCCCUCCGACAGGGCACCAAAAUGUGCCUCAGAUGGGAUCUUGCGGAGACAUAAGCUUGCGGCGGCGGAAAAGUAUUUUCGUGGCUCUCUCCCGUGGUUUCAUAUUUUUAGGGAUAUAGGCGGAAGAAGUAGGGCAAAGGAGCCACAAGGGGGCCCACAAGCCUGCUAGGCGCGCCCCCCAGGCCGCGGCUAGGGGGCUUGUGGCCUCCUGCGGGAGCCUUUGCCUUGGUUCUCAAGUUCCCUGCGUAUCUUCUAUUCCGGAAAAAAUCUUUCCGGAGGUUUUAUUCCGUUUGGACUCCGUUUGAUAUUCUCCUCUAAAAAAGGUCAAAAACACGAAAAAAACAGGAAGUGGCACUUGGCACUGAGUUAAUAGGUUAGUACCAAAAAAAGAUAUAAAAUGCAUACAAAACAUCCAAAGUUGACAAGAUAAUAGCAUGGAACCAUAAAAAAAUAUAGAUACGUUGGAGACGUAUCAAGCACCCCAAGCUUAACUCCUGCUCGUCCUCGAGUAGGGAAGUGAUAAAGACUGAAUUUUUGAUGUGGAAUGCUACCUAACAUAUUUGUCCUUUGUAACUUCUUUCAUGUGACAUGAAUGUUCAGAUCCGUAAGACUCAAAACAAUAGUUUGCUAUUGACAUGGAAACAAUAAUACUUCAAGCAAACUAGCAAGGUAAUCAUGAACUUUCGAAAUAACAAGGCCAAAGAAAGUUAUCCCUACAAAAUCAUAUAGUCUGGCUAUGCUCCAUCAUCCCCACACAACGAAUUUAAAUCAUGCACAACCCCGGUAUUGGCCUAGUAAUUUUUUUCGCACUCUUACUUUCUCAAACUUUUUCAACUUUCACGCAAUACAUGAGCGUGAGCCAUGGAUAUAGCACGAAAGGUGAAAUAGAGUGUGGUGGAGGUUGUGAGGCAAAAAAGGAGGAGAUGGUCACAUCGACUCGGCGUAUCAACGGGCUAUGGAGAUGCCCAUCAAUAGAUAUCAAUGUGAAUGAGUAGGGAUUACCAUGCAACGGAUGCACUUAGAGCUAUAAGUGUGUGAAAGCUCAAAAGGAGAACUAGUGGGUGUGCACCCAACUUGCUUGCUCACGAAGACCUAGGGAAAUUUUGAGGAAGCCCAUCAUUGGAAUAUACAAGCCAAGUUAUAUAAUGAAAAUUCCCCCUAGUAUAUGGAAGUGUCAAAACAAGAGACUCUCUAUCAUGAAUAACAUGGUGCUAUUAUGAAGCACAAGUGUGGAAAAAGAUAGUAGCAUUGUCCCUUCUCUCUUUUUCUCUAAUUUUUUUGUUUGGGCUCUUUGGCCUCUUUUCAUUUUUCCUCACAUGGGACAAUGCUCUAAUAAUGAUGAUCAUCACACUUUUAUUUACUCACCACUCAACACUUAGAGCAAUGAUGACUCUAUAGGAAAUACCUCCGGUAGUGUACCGGGAUGUGCAACAAUCUAGCGUAGCGUAUGCCAUUGAAACAUCUCGCUAGCUAUCUCACGAUCAUGCAAUGGCAAUAUGAAAGUGAUGGCACAUGUCAUGAGACGGAACGAUGGGAGUUGCAUGGCAAUAUAUCUCGGAAUGGCUAUGAAAAUGCCAUAAUAGGUAGGUAUGGUGGCUGUUUUGAGGAAGGUAUAUGCUGGGUUUGUGCACCGGCUAAAGUUGCGCGGCACUAGAGAAGCUAGCAAUGGUGGAAGGUGAAAGUGCAUCUAUACCAUGGACUCACAUUAGUCAUGAAGAACUCAUAUACUUAUUGCGAAAGUUUUAUUAGUAAUCGAAACAAAGUGCUAAACGCAUACUCCUAGGGGAAGGGUUGGUAGGUGUUAACCAUCGCGCGAUCCCGACCGCCGCACAAAGGAUGACAAUCAAUAAAUCAAUUAUGCUCCGACUUCCUAACAUAGCGGUUGACCAUACGUGCAUGCUACGGGAAUCACUAACUUCAACACAAGUAUUUUUAGAUUCACAACACCCUACUAACAUGACUCUAAUAUUACCAAAUCCAUGUCUCAAAACUAAUUGAGAGGAAUCAAACUUCUCUUACUAAUCAAUGCACAUGAAUAUGGAAGUUUUUAUUAUAUCCUCUUUGGAUGCCUAUCAUCUUUAGGACUACUUUCGUAGCACAAGCCAAUUACCAAGUUACUCGGAGAGAGCACUCUCAAAAAGAUAUAAGUGAAGAUCGAGAGUUAUCAUUUCUACAAAAUAUAACACCGCCUUGCUCUAAAAAGAUCUAAGUGAAGCACUAGAGCAAAGUUAUCUAGCUCAAAAGAUAUAAGUGAAGCACAUGCGAGCUAAAUUGCCUAACUCAAAAGAUAUAAGCGAAGCUCAAUGAGUAUUCUAGCAAAUUCACGAUGAGUGCAUGUCUCUCUCAAAAAGGUGUGCAGCAAGGAUGAUUUUGACACAACAAAAGAAAAGACUCCUAUAAUACACGACGCUCCAAGCAAAACACAUAUCAUGUGGAGAAUAAAAAUAAAGCUCCAAGUAACGUUACCGAUGGUUGAAGACGAAAGAGGGGAUGACUUCCCGGGGCAUCCCCAAGCUUAGGAUUUUUGGUGUCCUUGAAUUUGGCUUGGGAUGCCUUGGGCAUCCCCAAUCUUGAGCUCUUUCCACUCUUUAUCCCAUUGUCCAUGAGAACAUCACCCAAAACUUGAAAACUUCACAACACAAAACUUAAACAGAAACUCGUGAUAUCAUUAGCAUAAGAAAACAAACCACCACCUCUUUAGGUACUGUAGAAAACUUGAUUUCUAUUUAUAUUGGUGUUAGAUUACUGUAUUCUCACUAUUCCAUGGCUACUACCCCCCGAUACUGUCCAUAGUUUCAUCAAAAUAAGCAAUCAACACAACAAAAACAGAAUCUGUCAAAAACAGACCAGUCUGUAGCAAUCUGUAUACUUCGUAUAUUUAUGGUAUCUAUAAAAUUCUGAAAAAUUAUGAAAAUUGGGGAAUUGGCAUAUAAACCAGCAGCAAAAAGAAUCAACUCAAAAUCUCUUUAUGCAUAGGAACUAAAAAUCAUUUCUUGAGCGCAAAGUUUUUGUCUUUUUCAGCAAGAUCAAACAACCAUCACCAAAACUAGUCAUAAAGGUUUUACUUGGCACAAACACAAAAAGAAACACAAAAAACACAAUCAUAACAGAAUUAUGAUGGUGUGGACACAAAAAAAACAGAAAGCAAAAAGCAAAGAUAAAUUCAUUGGGUUGCCUCCCAACAAGCGCUAUUGUUUAACGCCCUUAGCUAGGCAUUGAUAAUUCAAUGAUGCUCACAUAAAAGACAAGGAUUGAAGCACAAUGAGAGCAUCAUAAAGCAUGUGAAAAUCACAUCUAAGUCUAACAUACUUCCUAUGCAUAGGCAUUUUAUAGGAAAACAGAUUGUCAAGACAACCAAUAGUUGCCAUAUGCAAGGAAGAAGAAAGAGACAAUAGCAAUCUCGACAUAACAAGAAGUGAUUUAGUGAUAUGAAAGUUUCUACCACAAUAUUUUCCUCUCCCAUAACAAUUACAUGUGGGAUCAUAUUCAAAUUCAAAAAUAUAGCUAUCACAUAUGAUAUUCUUUUCAUGAUCCACAUGCAUGCAAAGUUGACGCUCUUCAAAAAUAGUGGGAUUAUCAUCCACUAAAGUCAUGACUUCUCCAAACCCACUUUCAAUAUUAUUGCAAAUAUAGUCUUCAUCAUGAGGCUUAAACAAAUUUUGAAGAUCAUAAGAAAAAUCAUUACCCCAAUCAUGAUCAUUGCAACAAGUAGUGGACACAGCAAAACUAGCAUCCCCAAGCUUAGGGUUUUGCAUAUUUUUAGCAUGAUUUCCAUUAAUAGAAUUCAUAAUGAAACCAUUGCAAUCAUACUUUUCAUUCAAGGAGCCCUCAAGAAAAACUUCAUAAAUUUCUUCAUCACGAUUUUCAGAUUCACGCAUCUCAAGCAAAACUUCAUAAAGAAAAUCUUGUGCAGAAAACUCACAAGCAAUUGGUUCCACAUAAUUGGAUCUCUUAAAGAGAUUAGCAAGUGGAUGAGGAUCCAUAUCAAUAGAUUUUCAGCAAGCGAAGAUGCAAGCAUAUUGAAGGCACAUAGCACACAAGCAAAGGAAAGGCAAACGAAAAAGGCAAAUAUUUUUGUAAAUUUUUGUUUUUCAGAAGUGGGGGAGAGGAAAACGAGAGGCAAAAAAGUAAAUGCAAGAGAUGAGUUUGCAACAUUUACUUGCAUAAGCUUCACUUAGAAUAGUCCCAGGUGCCAGAAAUUGACACGUUGAAGGAAGACUAUUCUUGACUUGAUACUCCCCGACAACGGCGCCAGAAAUUCUUCUUGCUACCUCUUGAGCUUGUGUUAGUUUUUCCCUUGAAGAGGAAAGGGUGAUGCAGCACAGUAGCAGUAAGUAUUCCCCGCAGUUUGAGAACCAAGGUAUCAAUCCAGUAGGAGUAUCAUGGCAAUUCUCCAAAGUACCUGCGCAAAAACAAGCAAACAUGCACCCAACGCUACAAAGGGGUUUUCAAUCCUUUCAUGGUUAACUGCAAGGUGAGAUCUAAAGGCGGAAAGUGCAACAAAGUAAAAGUGUAGAGCUGAAAAUAUGAUGUGAAGUAGACCUGGGGGCCAUAGUGUUCACUAGACGCUUCUCUCAUGAUAGCAAAUAUUAUGGUGGGUGAAUGAAUUAAUGUCGAGCAAUUGAUAGAACCGCGCAAAGUCAUGAUGAUAUCUAAGGCAAUGAUCAUACAUAUAGGCAUCACGUCCGAGACAAGUAGGCCGAUACUUUCUGCAUCUACUACCGUUACUCCACACAUCGACCGCUAUCCAGCAUGCAUCUAGUGUAUUGAGUUCAUAACAAACAGAGUAACGCCUUAAGCAAGAUGACAUGAUGUAGAGGGAUAAAUUCAUGCAAUAGAUAUAAACCCCAUCUUUUUACCCUUGAUGGCAACAACACGAGGCGUGCCUCGCUACCCCUUCUGUCACUGGGUGAGGACACCGCACGGUAUGAACCCAAAACCAAGCACUUCUCCCAUUGCAAGAAUUAUAGAUCAAGUUGGCCAAACAAAACCCACAACUCGAAGAUAUCAGAGGAAACUCAAAAAAUAUUCAUAGAUAAUCUGAUCAUAAAUCCACAAUUCAUCGGAUCUCGACAAACAAACCGCAAAAGAAGAUUACAUCGGAUAGAUCUCCAUGAAGAUCAUGGAGAACUUUGUAUUGAACAUCCAAGAGAGAGAAAAAGACAUCUAGCUACUAGCUAUGGACCCGAAGGUCUGUUGUGAACUACUCACGCAUCAUCGAAGAGGCAAUGGUGUUGAUGAAGAAGCCCUCCGUGUCGAAUCCCCCUUCCGGCAGGGCACCAGAACGUGCCCCAGAUGGGAUCUUGCGGAGGCAGAAGCUUGCGGCGGCGGAAAAGUAUUUUCGUGGCUCUCUCCCGUGGUUUCAGAUUUUAGGGAAUUUAUAGGCGGAAGAAGUAGGGCAAAGGAGCCACGGGGGGGCCACAAGCCUGCUAGGCGCCCCCAGACCGCGACUAGGGGGCUUGUAGCCUCCCCCGGGAGCCUUUGCCUUGGUUCUCAAGUUCCCUGCAUAUCUUUUGUUCCGGAAAAAAAAUCUUUCCAGAGGUUUUAUUCCAUUUGGACUCCGUUUGAUAUUCUCCUCUGAAAAAACACAGAAAAACAGGAACUAUCACUUGGCACUGAGUUAAUAGGUUAGUCCCCAAAAAAGAUAUAAAAUGCAUACAAAACAUCCAAUGUUGACAAGAUAAUAGCAUAGAACCAUAAAAAAUUAUAGAUAAGUUGGAGACGUAUCACUGUCCUCCCCCGUUUUCUACCAUAAUCCGACCGCUCCAGCACAUCCCUCGUGUGCCAGCACAAGACCGAGGUGUCGAUUCACCUGGAUACGUGUCGCGACCACCUUGCGGCGGGUCAAGGGUCACACAAGGCAUUUACUACCCCUGACACCAUGGAAGAAGUAGAACGGUGAACACUGUCCACUAUUCACCCCGUGAGCACCCUGUUGGUGACCCCUUUGUCAAUAAAAGGAGGCUCAAAGCUCAUUCUUAGAGGUUGGACCUUUUGGGAUCGUAGACUCCCUAAUCACCUACUAAGUUACUGUAGCAAAAUCACCCUACAGUAAGCACAUAAUACAAACUAAGCAGGAGUAGGGUUUUACGCGCCAACCGGCCCGAACCUGGGUAAAAAAAUCUUGCCCGUGUUGAUCGCUAGUUCCGCUCUCGACGCUGUACCUCUCUCCCCGUCGAACGAUCAAGGGAUCCUCGAGUUUCCCAUAGGUGUUGGUUUCCCCGAUAAUGAUUGUCGUGGUUUUGUCACGGCAGAUGUCCUCGUGAAAGGACUUAGUAUUGGAGCCAUCACACUUUGGUGGCGACUCAAAGGGGUUGAACGGGAGUGAGACGGUGAUUUACCCAGGUUCGGCCCCUCGUGAGGAGGUAAAUGCUUACGUCCUGCUUUGAGUUGUAUUGAUGGAGUUUCGAUUACAAGGAGGGCGUAACUCGCCAGACCUAGUACUCGAUGAUNNNNNNNNNNNNNNNNNNNNNNNNNNNNNNNNNNNNNNNNNNNNNNNNNNNNNNNNNNNNNNNNNNNNNNNNNNNNNNNNNNNNNNNNNNNNNNNNNNNNNNNNNNNNNNNNNNNNNNNNNNNNNNNNNNNNNNNNNNNNNNNNNNNNNNNNNNNNNNNNNNNNNNNNNNNNNNNNNNNNNNNNNNNNNNNNNNNNNNNNNNNNNNNNNNNNNNNNNNNNNNGACUCUUACAAUCUCUAAGUCGCCAUCUUUCCAAAGCUUGGAAACCUUCCGGCGGUUGUAAACCGCCAUACAACCUUCGGUCUUGCCAGGCCAAAUCCCGAACCAUGCUUAGACGAAUCGCCAGAUUGGGUGACCCGGCCCAACUAGGGCGGGUUAUCAAUAGAUAAUAUCCCCAACAUUAGGCCCCAGAUUGACUUGAAUUUUCUUCACGCCAAUAUCCUUACUCAAUUAAGGGCGAUUCAUUUUUCGUCCUCUUUUAUAUGCCAUGAACUUAACCCGCCAUCUGUCGUAGAAAAACUUAAGUCGCCAGACCAUUUCUCGUCGGUACCUUCUUAUCCCUUGAAUUCCAGAAAAGAUAAUGACGCAAUCCCAAUGGAUCCUUCGGUAUCAUUAUCCCAAAAUUUUGGGAGCGCCAUCAUAGCGAAUCUUUAUCUUUUGGCGGUUCCCGCUCGAGGCGCCUCGAUUCCAGCGCCUGCCCUGUUAAAUAGGUGGGGAAAAGGACUGGGCGCAUUCCACCCACCAGUCUUGUCGCCCUUCUCCCCAUUAUCACAGCGAAACCCUCAUCGUCUUCCGUGAGCUCCGCCACCAACCGCGGUUCUCGCCGUCGUCCGAAAGUUUUGGUGCCGCUCGAAGAUCUUGUCGCUGCCAAGCACUUCGCCGCGGCUGAGCUGUUCGCCGUCACCGACCGUCUCGUCGUCGUUGAACACCUCAUCGUCGCCGAACACUUCGUCGCCGCCGAAUACUUCGACGCCGCCUGAGGUUUCCGCGCCCGUCCGGAAGCCUUCAUCGCCGUCGACCAUCUCCAGCCGAAUCCACCAGGUUAGGUUUCCAUUGUUCAAGAGCAGAUCCCAAUUUCCUUUCGAGGUUCAUCACUGCCACAUUACUUGGUGCUUCCCGAAUAGUUGUUGCGUGUUCCUAAUUAAUCGAUGGCGUCGAUGACGAGAAAAUCAAGGUCUUUGAUACUUUUACCUGUCCGCUCUUGAUUUGCACACUUAGAGUAGGACUUCACCAAAUCAACAGUAGUAUCCCAUCUUAGUCGAAGGUUGCCAUAUCCGGUCAUUUCCACGUUUAUUUUCGUCUGUCCAGUAGAUCCAUAAUCUACUGCUUUGUUAUGCGAAAAUUGUUUGUACUCUUCAUACUUCGCCAUUUUUUGGAUAAAUACCUCUGAUGCCUUGAAACACCGCUCCCUUAAGUAGCCAAAGUUUCGCAAGUCGCCCUAGCAACCUGACCCAGGCCUUCAUUGGCGGAUCAAAAAAUUUCCUCGGCCAGCGGACAAAUUACUUGGCGAGUCAAAUGAAAACGUUUCACCUCUUACUGUAGAUGUUUUGGCGUGUCAAUUUACCCGUACUUUAUCCCUUUGUAGCAUGGGCGCCAUCUUCAAAAGUGACUGGCUCCCUACCAAGGUUAAUGACGCCAUACUAGCGGAUUAUGUGAAAACGGGAAAUUUGGACCCUCGGGAUGUUAUCGGUUGGCGCACCGGGUUCGGAGAAGAAAUCCCCAAUCCCAAAGAAGGGGAAAUAGUUGUUUUCGUUGAACACCUUGAGCGAGGUUUUAAGCCACCUGGAUCGAAGUUCCUCAGAGACGCCAUGGCUUUCAUGAAUGUCCGCCUCCAAGAUCUAGGGCCCAACUCGAUAAGUAACCUAUGCCAGUUCCAAGUGUUUUGUGAGGCUUAUUUGCGGAUGGAACCCUCAGUUCCCUUAUUUUGGUACUUCUUCCACUUAAAUCGCCAAACAGAAUUUCACAAUGGCCCCAACCUGGAGCUCGACGGUGUAAACGUUCAACGCCGCAGGGAUAGCCCAUUUCCAUCACUCGCCAUGCCAAGCCACCCCAAAGGCUGGGGCGAGUCUUGGUUCUACUGUCAAGAAACCUCGCCUAUAGGUGAAAACAAACUUCUGGGUUAUAGGGAAGAUCGCCUCCCAACGAAUUUCAAGCCCCCGGACAAGCUCACCGAGGAGGAGUCAGAUUUUAUCCCAGUAUUGUCCAUGUUAAGAUCUUUGACAAACAACGGCCUUACUGGAGUUGACUUAAUCCGCUGCUGGGUCGAAUGGUGCAUCCUCCCUUUAAGUCACCGGGACGGGUUAAUGUGUGAAUUCGACGGCACUCUAGAUCAUCCUCAAUGCUACUUCCACACGGCCCUAACGGAAAGUGAUAUUGUCACCAUCAUCAAGAAGCUGACCGGCGAGCCCGUGGGAAAAUGCGGCCAAACAGGUCUCAAACCUUUCUGCAAUAUUAAUCCGGCACCCAAGGUAACCAACUUUAACCCGCCUUUUGUCUUUUACUUCUUAUGUAUCAUUCUAACUAUGGCCUCUUAUAGAAUAUACCAUUUCAGAAAGGUGAUAAAUUUUGGUCCAAGAGGCCAAAGAAGUCAGCCAUGAAGCAAGCUAGGCCGCCUCCAAAGAAGAAAUCCAAGGGCAAGGGCAAAGCUGCUGUGACCGAACCAUCCGAGGUCGAUGAAUCCCAAGUCGGCGACACACCUUCAGAGGUACAAACCUAUCCUUUCUUAACUCGCCAUGCAUUACUGAUAACUUUGUAUUUAUACCUCUGCAUCUCUUGAAUAGAAUGAAGACAACGAAAGCCAGGAGGAUUCCGUAGAGGUAAUUUAUGUUUCCUCCGAUUCAUCUCCUUCUCCAUCUAAGCCGGCUAGGCGAAUUUGUGGGAAAGUUCCCUUCUCACAGCCAAAUGCUUGUUUGGACCCAAAUUUUCUUCUGAAGAAAGCACAACACACUUCAAAUUGGAAGACCCGAAGUCAUUCUGGCGAUCUGGUGUCCGGUUUACGAGCAAGGAACAAGAAAAGGCCAAAUGAGGUAUCCUUUUAACAACACUUUUCCACGUCUUUUUGGAUCGCAUUUGUAACCUUCUUAUAUCUUUGACGUAUAAUUCUUGCAGAGUUCUCCUCCUACAUCUGGUGACUUAAUAAUGUCACCACUUCCGCCAAUGAUUCGUGUCCCUGGGUAAGUCUUUUAAUAAUCUUUACUUUGAAUCUGAUGGUAAUAAGUUUUCAGUCCUUUUAAACGCACCCCUUCUCCUUUCAGGGCACAAGCGAAGAAAAGAAAAACUGGCAGGUCAACUCCCAUCAUAAUCUCGGAGCCUAUCGAAAAGACGGCACCGAUCCAAGACAACCCGGACCAAGACAAACCUGAGGAUCAAGUGGAUCUCCCUAGCUCUCCCAAGGAAACAAUGGAUGCCCCCAAGCCGCCAAGUAGACAACAGCAGAAGACCCGGACGCUGUAAUUAUCACUGGUACUAGCUUCUCUAAACCGGCCACAACGGUUUUACCGAAGCAUGCAUCAUCAUCAGCUCAAACUGUUCCUGAGUAUGAACUCUCCAAGGCUAAGCUCUCUCAAUAUGAACAUCUGGAAUUCAAAGAACUUUGCUCUGGUUUUGCAAGUCGCCUGGAGGCGAGUUAUGAGAUGGAUAAAAGCCUGCUUCGGAUGCUGAAAAACAAACAUGAGGUAUGUUUUGUUGUAUACUAUAUUAUCCGCAUUAACCCCCAAGGGUCGGGUCAUCAGUAAAAAGAUGAGCCGGGUCUUGAUGAUUUGAAAACUUUCAACCAGUAACCCCCAAGGGCCGGGUCAUAGGUAAAAAGAUGAGUCGGGUCUUGAUGAUUUGAAAAACUUUUGACCAGUAACCCCCAAGGGCCGGGUCCUCAGUAAAAAGAUGAGCCGGGUCUUGAUGACUUGAAAAACUUUCAACCAGUAACCCCCAAGGGCCGGGUCAUCAGUAAAAAGAUGAACCGGGUCUUGAUGAUUUGAAAAACUUUCGACCGGUAACCCCCAAGGGCCGGGUCAUCAGUAAAAAGAUGAACCGGGUCUUGAUACUGUAUAAUUUUGUCUGAAAAAAUUAUACAUUAGCCCCCAAGUGUCAGGGAUGUUGCUUGCAAUAGUUCUGAGACUUGCCCCUUAACCAUAUGUUGCAAUAGGAAUCUCUUAUCCAGACUGAAUCAACACUUGGCGACUUGAAGAAAAGCUUAUCUGAUCAGCAGGAUACCCGGGCCCAAUCAGAGGAGAAGUAUCACCUGGUCUUAGCUGAGAUGGAAAAGCUAAAAGCCGAUUUAAGAAGGGCUCAAGCUGACCAAGAUGUUCAACAAAGCGAGCAGAAAAGGCUGAAGACAAGCUGGCGACUGUGCAACAAGAGCUGUCCGGCUUAAAACGACAUAUCUCAAACAUGGCGCAAGCCGUCUUUGGUAAAAAACUUACUCUUGACCUUUGUAAACAAAUAACUCUUAUCUGAGUCGCUCAUUAUCAUUAUCCCUUAUACAGGUCCAAGAGCCGCCAACCUUCAGGAUGAUUGCGUCCUGAAGCUGAAGGCGAUCUACACCUGACGGAGCAGCUAUAUACCGGCAGUGUACUGAGUGUGAAAGCGGUGAUGGGCGCCAAGGAGCCUAUAACAUCAAUAAAGCAGAUGCUUGACUGUCUAUCCAUGCUUCCUCCCCAGAUUGCCGAGUUAACUCGAUCAGCCGCCCGGAAAGGAGUGCUGACUACACUGAGUUGAUGCUUAGCAUAUGCUCCAGAGAUAAACCCAGAAGAAGUAGCGGCGGGCUUUCCUCAACUCAAGGAUGAUGGGUCAGAAUUCACCGAAGAGGACUACCAGCGUGUCGUCAAGGACUCCCGUCUGGCGGCGACUCAGCUUGCUGCAAGCCUAGACUUAUCAAAAUACCAGGCCGCUUAUGACAAUAAGAACAAGAAGGUCAACCCGCCAACCUUUGUGACGACCAGCUUAACUCCGCGUCGACCCAAGAAUCCUUUUGACUUGGACGCGGAUCUCUCAUGAAUCCUGACCGAUGAAGAUGAAUUUGCCACUCUAUCCAAGUCUAACUGGGUACUGGGCGACUUGCAGAUUGAGGUUGGCCAAAACUCACAGCAGGCUGAUCCAAGGGCAUCAGCAGAAUAAAAUUUCAUUGAUUUGGCCAUGAGAGCCAUGUAAUAGGUCUCCUUUAGGAAUCGACACUGCUUUUGUGGCACCUUUAAAACAUCCUUAUGUCGCCCUUAAGGCGUUUUGAACUGCUUGAUCAGCCAUUUGAAGCUUUUUUAUCAUAAUACUUGACCCGCCAUUGAGGUCUUUUUUAUGAUGCUUAAUCCGCCAUGGAUAGAGUGAUUUUGAUCAUCCACCUGUUCUAAGCUUUGAAAAACAUAUAUGAAAUCAUCUCAGUGAAUAAUAAGUGAUAAUAAAUAGCAGCCGCCCAAAAAUAUUUUGAGACGAAUGAGAAAAAAGUCUGAAAAACCUUGCGGCAGUGCCAAGAAGGUAAAAAAUAACAAUUUCGUCGGCUCAUAAGGUCGCGACAGGAUAGGGCGAGUCAAAAAAGCUCANNNNNNNNNNNNNNNNNNNNNNNNNNNNNNNNNNNNNNCGACAGGAUAGGGCGAGUCAAACAAACUCAAGCGCCACCCAAGACAAUAAUUUCAUAGGCCAAAUGGACAAUAAAAUUGAUCUCAAUGAGAGGAAGCCCCCAAGUCGGGAGGCGUUUUAAUUUUAUUGGUUUAUAAUAAGGACUGAAAAACUUACAAAAUGCAGAGCUUAAAAGCUCAAGUGUAGUAAGGCCGCAAGUGGGCAAUAUUCCAGGGGCGAGUCGACUCAGCCUCCGUGGUUGGCCGGUUAGGCCGGAGAUCCACCAGAUAGUAAGAACCGUUGUGAAGAUUUUCACUGACGAUGAACGGUCCUUCCCAUGGUGGUGAUAACUUAUGCAUACCAGCACGAUCCUGUAUCAUCUGAAGCACUAAGUCGCCUUCCUCAAAGGUUCGACUCUUGACCCGGCGGUUGUGAUAACGCCGUAAAUCCUGCUGAUAAAUGGCCGAUCGGGCCACAGCCAAGUCACGCGCCUCCUCUAAGGCAUCCAAAGAGUCUUGACGCGCCAGUUCGUUGUCCUGUUCCACAUAAGCGGCGACUCUGGGCGAGUCAUGCCUAAUGUCAGUGGGAAGAACAACUUCUGCUCCAUAGACCAGAAAGAAAGGGGUAAAACCCGUGGACCGGUUCGGGGUGGUCCGGAUGCUCCAUAACACUGAAGGCAACUCCUCAACCCAACACCCCGGGUUUUUUUUCCAAGGGAACCAUGAGCCGGGGCUUGAUUCCCCGUAAAACUUCCUGAUUCGCCCGUUCCGCCUGCCCAUUAGAUUGCGAGUGAGCGACCGCAGAAACAUCAAGCCGGAUAUGCUCUUGACGGCAAAACUCCUCCAUCGCCCCUUGAGAUAGAUUAGUGCUGUCGUGGGUAUAAGNNNNNNNNNNNNNNNNNNNNNNNNNNNNNNNNNNNNNNNNNNNNNNNNNNNNNNNNNNNNNNNNNNNNNNNNNNNNNNNNNNNNNNNNNNNNNNNNNNNNNNNNNNNNNNNNNNNNNNNNNNNNNNNNNNNNNNNNNNNNNNNNNNNNNNNNNNNNNNNNNNNNNNNNNNNNNNNNNNNNNNNNNNNNNNNNNNNNNNNNNNNNNNNNNNNNNNNNNNNNNNNNGGGCAUACUUAAGGUCCUGUCCCUUGCGUGGGGUAGUCCUUGGGUAGGACCUGUAGGACAGGCCUAUGACCCUACCCUAGGACUAUGACCCCAUCAUUAGUCCCCGAAUGGAUUGGGGUUGAAACGUCAAAGCAGUGCUCGAUGCUCAGAUCCGACUGGACUAGGUUCGGCUUGGGCGUUGCUUGCCUCUAUCCAUUCUAUCUCUCCUGGCCAAUGAUCCGAGUGAAUGUGUUCUGCGGAACGGACUGUCGGGAACCGAGUGCUUUCGCGGCAUCUUUUGACUCGACCGGUCAACUCACAGCGGCGGAUUUUCCGGGAUCUUAAAUUUCGGGUUCCGCACGCUUAGCGGGGGCGACGUCAGCGCGCUCGAGUAGCGCCUCACUCCUCGAUCCUCGCGCCUUCAACUCUUCCGCCGAUAUCGCCGCGGCUGGUUGGGCGGAUAAGAUUUCGGGCCCGCUCGCCAGCGACCCAGUCGGUGUUCUAUUUAACUCUGGCCGACGAGACCCUUCGGUUACGCUCGCCGAAUCCUCUGCUCUUGCUUGCUCCGUCUUCCUCGCCACCUCUUGCGCUCAUACACCUUUCGCUUCCAAUCCUUCUCGAAAGCUCACCAUCGCCGCCAUGACCAAGGGCCAGACCAGCAAGAUGGAGGCAAGGAAGAAGAAGGGCAAGGCGGUGGCUGCUCAGCGGCGGCAGCGGCCAUUGCCAGCAGGAUGGAUCCAGGGAGACUUUCUCCCCUCCACAGUGACGGAGGGGGACCUGCUGGAGCUGGUAGAGCACGGCCAGCUCGUGCAUAAGUCUUGGAGGUUGCCGGCGGACGACGAGGUUGAGCCGGCGCCACGGGAGGGGGAACGCGUCUUGCUCCUCAGCCACGUUCACCGAGGUUUCUCUCUGCCCCCCACCCUUUCUUCAAGGGUAUUAUGAAUCAUUUUGGUGCACAACUCCAUCAUUUCCCUCCGAACGCCAUCGUCCACCUUUCAACAUUCAUUGUCUUGUGUGAAUGCUUUAUUGGUUGUCCUCCCCAUUGGGGUUUAUUCAAACACAUCUUUUCCGUCCGCUCCCAAACCAUAAAACGUCUUAGUCAAUCGGAUGACAAGACGCAUCUCCUCCAGCUCUGUGGGGGUUUAGGGUUUCAGAAGAAGAAUCGGAGUAUUUACCCUGCUCGUCAACGUGGUUUUACUGCCAGGACAUAGCCUGUCCGAACACGUCGACUGGGCUGCCUCCAUUCAAUCUAGACCGCCCUGCUCCACCCAAGCAACUCGCUCUCUCGAAAGCGGAGAAGAAAGACAUCCAGCCUUUGGUUGAGGCACUCGCGGAUGUUGUCAGGAGGGGGGUCACUGGGAUGGACUUGCUGGAAGUCUUCAUCGGUCGGCGAAUCCAGCCUCUGCAAGCCCGCCACCAUGCCAUGUGGCACUACGCAGGACCUGAAGACUCCACUCGGACCAACGUGGAGGGCAUUCUCGAGGAGAAGGUGACCUCAAAGGUGCUCCAAAUCAUGGGUCCCUGUGAGAAUCCCAAGGGGGCCCGCCGAGUGGCGCCUUAUGGUGCGGACAACCCUCCACCGAAUCAGGUGAGUAGCAUUAGCCGAGUGCGUUGAACUGCUUUGAUUUCAGCAACUCAUUUAUAUCUCCGCGUGAUGCUUAACGUUUCCGACUGCAGGCGUCGACCAACUGGUUCUCCCCCGUCUCGAGCGGGAAACUGGAGGAGGAAGAUGAAGAAGGCAGCCAGGAGGGAAGCGUGGAGAGCGACGAAUACAUCUUCGACAGCGAAGAGCCGGAGGAGGAAAACAACGAGGAAGAGGAAAAAGAUGAAGAGCCAGACUCGCCGCCUCCGCGGCCAGAGCAUCGGAAUAGGCGUCGGCAAGAGUCUGCCGUCCCUUCAGUUCCCCUUGUGUCGCCGAGUGCCCCGCCUGCUUCCCCGGCUGCACCGAGUGUUUGAGGUACCAAAAGAGCUAGGGACGCAGCCGCUGAACCUGCGGGCCAGUCCUCCAAGGCGCCCAAAUCGAGCGGAUCCAAACCUCGGAAGGCUCUGCCGCGGAUGAGGGUGGCCAUCCCCGUCACCUCCACGUAAGCAAAUCUAGUUUUCGGUCCUUUCUGUUGACCGAGUGAACUCUUGUUUUACAAGUAGAAUGGUCUUCACUCGACAGGGUUGCCACUUCUGCGACCUCGCCGGCUCGCCAAGGGGACGACCCCAUGGACGCGGACAAUGUCGUUUCAUCACAGCCAGGUACGUUGUGGGAGAGUCGGGUAUUUUAUUCCUGCAGACUGCGCCAUCUCUUUCUGCUUCUGAAGCACUGCGUUAUUCGGCUUGUGAGGGGGGAGAGCUGACUCGACCGCGGAGCCCAUCGAAGAGCCUGUCCCUGAGGCUGCUCCUCCUGCCGCCGCCCCUGCCGUCGACGCUCUACAAAACGAAGUGCCUCCGCCGACUGAACCGGCGCUGACGGGUGAGGAACCUACUGGGGCGAACCUUGGGAUGAACCAAGAUCUCCCCCCGAUUCCCGGUUCGUCGAACACCGAAUUCAACAUUCGGUGUGUCCCGGAGGAGCAGGUGGGAGCGGUCAAGGGGACCAUGGUUCAGGCGGAGCUGAUGGCCGGAGAGGCCAAGAGGGUUUAUGACUCCGCUGCAGCUUUAUAUCAGCGGAGCUUGGAGCUGCGCGAUGACAUCCGAGUAAGUACCCUAGUAAGUACUUACUUUUCUUCUGUAACCCACUAGGUGUUGUCGUAGUCUGUUGUUUGCAAUGGGUUCACUCUGAGUGAACCCAGUGGGUGUAGUCCCCGGGACUUCUGUCGAGUGCUUGCACCACAGUUGUCUUUAUAUAUUUGGUCUUUAUUUUUGUCGUGUCCGUAGACAAGAUUUCUGAGUGCAAGUACUUACUGCAGUCGGAGCACUCUUGCGGUAAGAGUUCCCUAGAGUAAACUGCACACAGGUGGAGUAGCUUUAGCCUCGGAGGCGUAGGUGAAAACGUGCACCUCAAUAGGGCAGACCUGCUUGAGGUGCAUGCCAGUGGGGUCACUCUUAGUGAACCCACUGGGUGUAGUCCCCGAGACCGUUGUCGACUGCUUGCGUCGGUAGGGGUCUAAAGAACGUAGUGUGUAUUGAGAAAGUUGCUGAUAACCCUUUGUUUUGUUUUGUAGAAAACUUGUGAGAGGGGAACUUCUUAUGAAGCCCUCAGAGCGGAGAGGAAUCAAUAUGCUUGUGAACUGGAAGCUGCAAUGCUUGCCAUGGCUGGUAUGAAGGACGCUCUGGAAGCGCGAGAAAAGUCCUUGGAAGAAGCUCGGGAGGCAAACAGGGUAUUGACGGCGAAGACGCAGAUGAUGAGGAAACAUAGGACCGAUCUGCAUAAUCAGAUGGGCGCCCUGAACAGAAGGUGCAUAGCUCAAGAGAAGUAUGUCACCGACUGGGCUGAGCAAAUGAUGACUUGUCUGGCUGGUAAGUCAUAUGCUUUGUCGAGAGGCUUUAUCGUGUGCCCAACAUUCGGUUUUCAUUGUCUGCUUGCUUGUUGGUGGCAGACUUUUGCGGAGACCCUGAAGCUGAAACGGUGGCUGUGGAACGGUCUGUUAAGGACAAAGUUCCACUCGGUGAGGACGCCAAUCGGGAUCUGCUUCGAGCACAAAUCCGCGCUAGCAAAGUAGGUCCUUUCAUCGGUCGACUGAGAGAAGUCGUCGGCCGAAUUAACAAGGAACUUUGGCCGGAAGACGAGUCGCGGGAGGAGAUGGAGACCCUAACGAGCCGACUGGAGGAGGUGCCGAACCAAGUGCAAUCUUGGAAGAAAUCGGCAGCGCGGUGCGGUGCUGAUGUUGCGCUGUCGUUGGUCCGAGUCCAUUGCAAGGAGGUGCAGGAAGAUAAGCUGAAAGCGUUGAAGGUCGCCAACACGAAGAAACUUCAAUUCGAAGACUUCAGGGAGACGUUCCUCGAGACUGCCACCCGCAUUGCUGAUGGAAUUGACUUGGACACUUUUGUGGAGUCCUCUAGUCCUGACGCCGGCCCAUCUAACGCGUAAUCAGAUGUUAUGCUCGGUAUGCCGAGUGUUUGCCUGUAAGAUAUUCUGGCCACUUCUGUUGGCCGUCAUACUUUUGGAUCGGUGCGGGUAAGCUUGAUCCGCACCGAGUCCGUUAUCGUUUCUAGACUGUUGGAGUCACAACGAAAACACUUAUUCUUUUGCUUGAAUGCUGUUUGGAGUUGAACACUUAAUGUGUACUCGUAGAAUAUUAGGACUUAGGUGAUUCAUGAUCAGUGCUAAGUUCCCGAGUGUAACGUAUAGAGCACACUCGAAGGAGCGAUUAGUACUUAGGCGAUGCAGGAUCGCAGCUAAGUCCUCAAGUGUGACGUGAAGUGCACACUCAAAGGAAGAUUAGUACUUAGGCGAUGCGUGAUCGCAGCUAAGUCCCCGAGUGUGACGUAAAGUGCACACUCGGAGAUAGUUAAUACUUAGGCGAUGCAGGAUCGCAGGUAAGUUUUUUUUUUGUGACCAUAGUCUGCAACCACGGAAAAACUCUGAAUCUGCAAAAGAAAUUGAAUCUGCUGUAUACUAUUUCUCCAAAACUCGUUCGUUACACUGCUUCAGUCGGCGAUCACGUAUAAAAACGCUUGAGGAGGUCUCCGUUCCAUGCGCGGGGUUCGUCGGUCUCCUUCUGAAUGUUGUAGAGUCUGUAUGCCCCGUUGUUCAGCACCUUUGAAAUGAUAAAAGGACCUUCCCAGGCCGGAGCCAACUUGUGUGGUCUCUGCUGAUCCACUCGGAGCACCAAACCGCCAGCCUGGAACGUGCGGCUUCUGACAUGUCGUGCAUGAAAACGUCGCAGAUCUUGCUGAUAAAUUGUUGAGCGAGUAAGUGCCAUCUCGCGCUCCUCCUCUAGAAGAUCGACUCCAUCUUGCCUUGCUUGUUCUGCUUCGGCUUCGGAGAAGAGUUCGACUCGCGGGGCAUUGUGAAACAGGUCACUCGGAAGGACCGCUUCUGCUCCAUAGACGAGGAAGAACGGUGAUCGCCCUCUUGAUCUGUUCGGAGUGGUGCGGAGACCCCAAAGUACUGAAGGUAACUCGGUUACCCACGCACCAGCAGCAUGUCCUAUCUCUCGCAAGAGUCGAGGCUUCAAACCUUGAAGGAUAAGUCCAUUUGCACGCUCAGCUUGUCCAUUGGAUUGCGGAUGUGCUACGGAAGCAAAAUCCACUCGGAUACCUUGACUCGCGCAGAAACCUUUGAAUCUGUCCGAGUCGAAGUUUGUCCCAUUGUCCGUGAUUAUGCUGUGAGGCACUCCGAAUCUGAAGAUGAUGUCUCUGACAAACUUCACGGCUGUGGAGGCGUCGAGUUUCUUGAUGGGCUUGGCUUCUAUCCACUUUGUAAACUUGUCGACUGCCACCAACAGAUGUGUGUAGCCUCCUUGGCCUGUCUUGAAUGGUCCGACUGUGUCUAAUCCCCAAACUGCAAACGGCCACACAAGUGGGAUUGUCUUUAGUGCAGAUGUUGGCUUGUGAGACUUGUUGGAGUAGAACUGACAGCCUUCGCAUCGAUCGACCAUAGCUUUGGCCAUUUCGUUAGCCUGCAGCCAGAAGAAUCCAGCCCUGAACGCCUUGGCGACGAUUGCUCUUGAAGAAGCAUGAUGGCCGCAGGUUCCUGAGUGGAUAUCCUCUAGUAUCAACUGCCCUUCCUCUGGGGAAAUGCAACGUUGGAGAACGACUGAAACACUCUCCUUAUACAAUUGACCGUCAAUGACAGUGAACGCCUUCGACUUGCGAACUAUUUGUCGGGCUUGGACUUCGUCUUCUGGAAGUUCUUGCCUUAGGAUAUAUGCCAUAAUCGGCACAGUCCACUCGGGGAUGAUUACCAGAAUCUCUGUGAGCAGAUCAACCAUAGCAGGCACAUCGACUUCAGUCGGGUCUGUCGCACUCUUGGGUUGCACUGGCUCUUCCGUGAAGGGAUCUUCUUUGACUGAAGGAAGAUGGAGGUGCUCGAGGCAGACAUCACUCGGGACGGGUCUCCGAGUGCAUCCGAGCUUCGCCAAUUCGUCCGCCGCUUGGUUCUUCAGUCUUGGAACAUGAUGAAGUUCUAGCCCUUCAAACUUCUUCUCCAGCUUCCUGACUGCAUUGCAGUAGGUUGUCAUAGUGGGGUUCCUUACGUCCCACUCUUUCAUCACUUGGUUGACCACCAAGUCUGAAUCGCCUUAGACCAUCAGGCGACGGACGCCGAGUAAGAUGGCCAUGCAGAAUCCGUAGAGAAGAGCUUCAUACUCUGCCUCAUUGUUAGAGGAAUCAAAGUGUAUCUGAAGCACAUACUUGAGCUUAUCACCCUUUGGUGAUACGAUCACAACACCAGCGCUGGAUCCAUUCAACAUCUUAGACCCAUCGAAGAACAUUGUCCAAUGAGCCGAGUAGAUGAGAGUCGGUUGCUGUUGUUCUACCCAUUCUGCUAUAAAGUCAGCCAGGGCUUGAGACUUAAUAGCUUUCUUGGCCUCGAACUUGAUGUCACAGUACAGCAUCUCCAUCGCCCACUUCGCCACUCGGCCUGACGCGUCUCGAUUGUGGAGAAUUUCCGACAAAGGAGAAUCAGAAACGACAGAUACCGAGUGGUCUUGGAAAUAAUGGGCAACCUUCUUUGCAGUCAAAUAGAUCCCAUAGAUAAGCUUCUGAUAAUGGGGAUACCUCUGCUUGGAAGGGGUCAGGACCUCGGAGAUGUAGUACACUGGCCGCUGAACUUUGUAUGCUUUGCCUUCUUCCUCUCGCUCGACUGUAAGAACAGUACUGACGACUUGAUUUGUAGCCGCCAUAUACAGAAGAAGGGGUUCUUUACUGAGCGGAGCAGUAAGAACCGGCUGGGUGGAAAGUAGGACUUUGAGGUCCUCGAACGCGACUUGGGCUUCGUCUGUCCACUCGAAGGUAUCUGAUUUCUUCAUGAGUCGGUACAGAGGAAGUGCUUUUUCGCCGAGUCGACUGAUGAACCUGCUCAAAGCUGCUAAGCAACCUGUGAGUCGUUGAACAUCGUGUAUCCUGACCGGCCUCUCCAUUCGGACGAUGGUCCCGAUCUUUUCGGGGUUAACAUCGAUCCCUCGUUCAGAAACAAAGAAACCGAGUAACUUUCCGCUGGGAACACCGAAUGAACACUUGGCAGGAUUUAGCUUGAUAUCGUACCUACGAAGGUUGGCGAAUGUUUCUGCCAAGUCAGUCAGCAGGUCGGAACCUUUGCGGGACUUGACUACAAUAUCAUCCAUGUAUGCCUCCAGAUUGCGACCGAUCUGGUCGAGGAGACAUUUUUGGAUCAUGCGCAUAAAGGUAGCUCCUGCAUUUUUCAGACCAAAAGGCAUGGUGAUGUAGCAGAAGCACCCAAACGGGGUGAUGAAAGCUGUUUUCAACUCAUCGGGACCAUACAGACGGAUCUGAUGAUAACCCGAGUAGGCAUCAAGAAAUGAUAAACGCUCGCACCCCGCAGUCGAAUCGACAAUUUGAUCUAUGCGGGGGAGCGGAAAAUGGUCUUUCGGGCAGACCUUAUUGAGGUGCUUGAAGUCAAUGCACAUUCGGAGUGACUUGUCCUUCUUGGGCACCAUGACUACAUUGGCGAGCCACUCGGAGUGGUGAACCUUGCGAAUGAAUCUGGCAGCUAGCAGCUUAGCCACCUCUUCUCCGAUUGCCUUCCUUUUGUGCGCGGAGGCCCGGCGCAGGCGCUCUCGGACGGGCCGAGCAGCGGGAUCCACAUGCAGUCGGUGCUCAGCCAACUCCCUAGGUACACCCGGCAUGUCAGAUGGCUUCCAUGCGAAGAUGUCCCAGUUCUCACGGAGGAAUUGGGUGAGCUCGGCUUCCUAUUUGGGAUCCAGGGUGGUGGAGAUGUUCGUCGGGACGGCUGACUCGUCCGUCGGGUGGAUGCUGACCUUCUUAGUCUCUCCUGCCGACUGGAACGCGGACUCAGAAGCUGGCUUCUUUGAGGGCAUUAAGUCGGCGGGGUCGACUGUCUUCUUGUACUCUUCGAGCUCGAGUACAGCCAUCUGCUGGUCGGCGAUCCUCGACCCCUCUUGCAUACACUCCUCGGCUCGCUGGCGGUUGCCGGUGAUGGUGAUAACGCCUUUUGGACCGGGCAUUUUCAACUUCAAGUACACAUAACACGGUCGUGCCAUGAAACUCAUAUAUGCUGGGCGGCCCAGAAUUGCAUGGUAAGCGCUCUGGAAGUCCACCACCUCAAACGUGAGCUUCUCCUUGCGGAAGUUCUUGUCGGAGCCGAAGAUGACCUCCAAUGCGAUCUAGCCGAGUGAUUUGGCCUUCCGCCCUGGGACGACUCCGUGGAACUGCAUAUUGCUCUCGCUGAGUCUGGACAUCGGAAUGCCCAUCCCCUUGAGAGUGUCGGCGUACAUAAUAUUCAACCCGCCGCCGCCGUCCAUUAGGACUUUGCGCAGUCGGACUCCUUCCACCACCGGGUCGAUGACCAGAGCCUGCCUUCCUGGGGUGGGGACAUGUGUUGGAUGAUCCAACUGAUCGAAGGUAAUCGCAGUCUGAGACCAUUUGAGAAACUUGGGGGCAGUCGGAACGGCCAUGUUGACUUCUGUGUUCACUAGCUUCAGUCGACUCUUGCUUUCGACGUCAGCGAAGAUCAUGAGGCUUGCAUGGACUUGGGGGAACGAAUCCUCCUUGUCCUCCUCAUCCUGUUCAGGAUUCUUCUCACUCGGCUGCCCUUCGCUGAAACCCUGGAUCAGGAGGCGGCACUGCCGAGUGGUGUGCUUUGCGUAUAUGGGGUUACCUUCUUCAUCCAUCUUCGUAUGGAUUGGACAAGGCUGGUCCAGGAUGGGAUUGUUGAAAUGCUUUUUCUUGGGGGUGAACUGCACUUUCCCUUUGCCCUUGAAUUUGGCGCUGGUUACAGCUGCAACUUCUGCUUGCGGUGUGGGCGGAUCCUUCGGUUUCUGCUUCCGAGUGUUACCUCCGUCGGGAUCGCCGACUGUCUUGUGUUUACCGCUCCAGAUGCGGUCCUCUUCUUCGCCAUUUGCAUAGCGAGUUGCUAUCUCCAUCAUCUUGCUCAUGGAGAUGUCGCCGGUUCGACCAAACUUCAAGUACAGCUCCCUGUACCGCACGCCUGCCUUGAAGGUGCAGACUGCUUGAUGCCCGGUGACAUUCUCCACCGUGUGGUACAGAGUCGUCCAUCGCUGGAUGAAGUCGCGCAAGGGCUCAUUCGGCUUCUGGACACAGUGCUGAAGCUCCACAAGACCUGCAGGGCGUUUGCACGUUCCUUCGAAGGUUCUGAUGAACACUCGGGCUAGAUCUGCCCAACUGUAAAUGCUUGAGGGGGCCAACUGGUUCAGCCAAGCUCGGGCCGAGCCGUCGAGCAUCAGAGGGAGGUGCUUCAUAGCGACAUGGUCAUCUCCUCCUCCGAUCUGGACCACCACUCGGUAGUCGUCUAGCCAUGUUUCAGGCUUGGACUCUCCUGAGAAUUUACCGAUUCCCGCAGCCAAUCGGAAGUUGGGCGGGAUAUCAGCCGAGCGGAUGGCUCUACUAAAACACUCGGGGCCAGAUACGAUGGCCCUGCUUCCACUCGGACGGUCCAUAUCGCGGCCAUCGCGGUGGGCUCGACCCCUGUCAACUCUUCGCUGGGCGAUUCGGCCCCUUCCGUCGGGUCUUGGGUCGUAAGUGUCGCCGACUGAAUGCCGAUCAUCAUGAUGCCAGGACCCGUAGGGCCCACCCCGCGGAGUGGUGCGUGAGCGACGGCGAUACUGAUGAGAUCCAGGGCUGUGAACCGAUCUAUGCGUGUUUGCAUGGACGAAACUAUUGCGGAUCCGAUUGUGUGACUGGGAGACUGCCGAAUUCUGCUGCUGCGCCGUACGCAACAGGGCUCGGAUUUGUUCGAUUCCCCUUCCUGCCUCUGAAUCAGUCGGCUGGAGGGAAUCGGCAAUCUGAGCAGCCGCGACCAGGUUGAGGAGAGGUGUGCGGAACACCUUCACGUUGCUCCGCCGAGUGUGUCGGCUGGCAGAACGACGAGGCGGACGACGCGCACCGGAUGCUUUGCCAACUUCACCUCGGUCGGCCUGACGAGUAUCUUCAUGGGAGUUGGCCAUGUGUACUUCUGCUGCAGGCCCACGACCCACGUACUCGGUAGGAAGCUCAGUCGGAACCGAGUCCGAGCACUGGGAGCAUGGGGCGACUACAACAGACUCCAGGACUGCCACCUGAGAGGACGCGAACUGGCGCGCUCGGGCAUGCUGCACCCAACGUUGUAGACGCGGACUGCGAGAUCGCCUGCUGCGGCGCAUGACGAAGGUGCAAGCCGGCAAUGGAGCCGAUUGUUGGAGAAGAAGAACGCCGCGAGUGCCAGCACGGAAGUGCGUGGCCCCGCGACGGGGAAGUGCCUCGACGUCGAGAGGUGCAUCCCGAAGCCACGCCGAAUCGUCGACGACGAAGGAGAGAGCGCCGAAGAGGAUCUGGUGACCCAUGCUCGAACCUCCACCGGCCGACAUGAUGAAAGGAAGUAGUUGCAAACUCGCCGGAAGUCGCUUAGACGCCUGCCCCAUGGUGGGCGCCAACUGUCGUGGGUAUAAGNNNNNNNNNNNNNNNNNNNNNNNNNNNNNNNNNNNNNNNNNNNNNNNNNNNNNNNNNNNNNNNNNNNNNNNNNNNNNNNNNNNNNNNNNNNNNNNNNNNNNNNGGGCAUACUUAAGGUCAUGUCCCUUGCGUGGGGUAGUCCUUGGGUAGGACCUGUAGGACAGGCCUAUGACCCUACCCUAGGACUAUGACCCCAUCAAGUGCCAUUAUCAAUAAUGAUAUUGUGUGGAUAUCCGAACCGGAAGAUCAACUUUUUCAAGAAUUUGACCGCCGUCUCCGCAUCGGAAGUUCCAACAGGCUCUGCCUCAACCCACUUGGUGAACUUAUCAACCGCCACCAGCAAAUGGGUUUUCUUGUUGGAUGACAUUUUAAAGGGGCCAACCAUGUCUAACCCCCAGACCGCGAAAGGCCAAGUGAUGGGAAUCAUUCUUAGUUCUUGAGCCGGCACAUGAGCCUGUCGUCCAUAACGCUGGCAUCCCUCGCAUCGACGAACUAUCUCUUCUGCAUCUGCAUGAGCCGUCAACCAAAAGAAACCAUGACGGAAUGCCUUUGAAACCAAAGAGCGUGACCCGGCGUGAUGCCCACAAUCUCCGGAAUGAAUGUCAUUUAGGAUUAUGCAUCCUUCUUCGGAGGAAACACAUCGUUGAAAAACCCCAGAGGCACUCCGCUUAUAUAAUUCGCCAUUGAUGACCACCAUGGAUUUGCUUCGCCGAACAAUUUGGCGGGCCGAAACUUCGUCUGUUGGUAACUCGCCCCGGGCGAGAUAGGCCAGAUAGGGAAGAACCCAAUCCGGCGUAACGUGGAGAGCCGCCACGAAUUGAGACUCAGGAUAUGGUAUCGCCGACUCCUCCUCUGACGGCAAACUUAUGGAGGGAUUAUGCAAAAUAUCCAGAAAAACAUUGGGAGGAACCGGCUUUCGCUGGGAACCAAGACGUGAAAGGGCGUCAGCUGCCUCGUUAAGGCGCCGGUCAAUGUGAUCAACCUGAUAGCCAUGGAAAUGACCCGCCACAUUAGACACAACUCUUCUGUAAGCCACCAUCACGGGGUCUCGAGAAUCCCAAGUGCCUGAAACUUGCUGCGCCACCAGAUCAGAAUCGCCAAAACACCUGACCCGCGUAAGGUUCAUCUCCUUGGCGAGUCGCAAGCCAUGAAGCAAAGCUUCAUAUUCCGCAGCAUUGUUAGUGCACGGAAACAUGAGUCGGAGGACAUAACAGAAUUUAUCUCCUUGAGGGGACACCAGUACCACACCAGCCCCCGAGCCUUCCAGCUGUCUGGAUCCAUCAAAAUAAAUAGUCCAGUAUGUAUGAUCAGGCCUGUCUUCCGGGGCCCGCAACUCCGUCCAAUCAUUGACGAAAUCAACUAAGGCUUGAGAUUUGAUGGCUGUGCGAGGGGUGUACCGUACGUGGUGCGGCCCAAGUUCAAUCGCCCACUUGGCAAUCCGCCCUGUUGCCUCCCGAUUCUGGAUGAUGUCCCCGAGGGGGCGGAACUAACCACCGUGAUGGGAUGCUCUUGAAAAUAAUGCUUAAGCUUCCGACUCGCCAUAAACACCCCAUAAACUAACUUCUGCCAAUGUAGGUACCGUUGCUUGGAAAGAGUUAACACUUCGCUGACAAAAUACACCGGGCGCUGCACUGGGUAUUCCUUCCCUUCCUCCUUCCUUUCAACGACCACCGCCACACUUACUGCUUUAGAGUUUGCUGCAAUAUACAAAAGCAUGGGUUCUUUCUCAGUCGGGGCGACCAAGACCGGCGGGUUGACCAGUUGCCGUUUCAAGGCUUCGAAAGCUUCAUCUGCUUCAUCUGUCCAAACAAAAUGGUCAGAUUUCUUUAGUAAUUGAUAAAGGGGAAUCGCCUUUUCUCCCAGGCGGCUUAUGAAGCGACUUAAAGCCGCAAUGCGACCCGCCAUUCGUUGGACUUGGUUAACAUUUGCCGGUUUUCCAAGGGACGUAACUGCUUCGAUUUUGUCCGGGUUAGCUUAAAUGCCACACUCACACACCAGGAAGCCCAACAAUUUCCCUGCAGGAACACCGAAAACACACUUGGUGGGAUUCAGCUUCAUCUGAUACACCCGCAGAUUAUCGAAAGUUUCCUUGAGAUCCUCAAGUAGCGUCUCCCCCUGGCGGGUUUUAAUCACAAUGUCAUCGACAUAGGCAUGGACGUUGCAUCCGAUUUGGCUGCGGAGGCAAUUCUGGAUGCAACGCUGAUAAGUCGCCCCUGCACUCUUGAGUCCAAACGGCAUGGACACAUAGCAAAAAGCCCCAAAGGGGGUUAUGAAAGCUGUUUUCUCUUGAUCCUCCACGGCCAUCUUGAUUUGGUGAUAUCCAGAGUAGGCGUCCAAAAAGCACAAACGUUCGCAUCCCGCCACCGAGUCAAUAAUCUGGUCGAUGCGGGGAAGAGCGAAAGGGUCUUUUGGACAAGCUCUGUUGAGGUUCGUGUAAUCAAUGCACAUACGGAAGGUACCAUUCUUCUUGAGUACCAAGACUGGGUUAGCCAACCAUUUGGGGUGGAAAACUUCUACGAUGAAUCCGGCGGCUAAGAGACGGGCAACUUCUUCCUCGAUUGCCUUGCGCCGUUCCUCGUUAAACCUGCAAAGAUACUGCUGGAUAGGUUUUGCCUUUGGGUCAACUUUAAGAUGGUGCUCAGCAAAUUCUCUCGGCACACCAGGCAUGUCAGAAGGUUUCCAUGCGAAGAUGUCCCGAUUCUCACGGAUGAAUUCGAUGAGCAUGCUUUCCUAUUUGGGAUCCAGACCCGUCCCAAUGGUGAACUGCUUGGAUGAAUCGUCAGGAACGAAAUCAACCGUCUUAGUGUCAUCCGUUAGAGGGGCGACUCAACAUCUGUCGUUGGCUUCUUUAACGGUGACAUGUCGGCCGGAUCAACAUUUGCCCGAUGAUUUUUGAGCUCCUCUGCAGCGCAGGCGACUUCCGCAUAAGUCGUGUCCCCUUCUUCACAUUCCUUUGCAAUCCUUCUAUCACCAUCAACUAUGAUGGGUCCCUUUGGACCAGGCAUAUUGAGUUUAAGGUAAACAUAGCAUGGGCGAGCCAUGAACCGGGCGUAAGCUGGCCGCCCAAAUAGCGCACGGUAGGGGCUUUUCAAUUUGACCACCUCAAACAUCAGCGACUCACUCCUGUAGUUAUAUGUUGUUCCAAAUGCAACUGUGAGUCUGACUCGGCCUAUGGGGUACGCCGACUUGCCCGGGACGAUUCCGUGGAAUACCAUGGUUGAAGGCAUCAAAUCCUUUUCCAAUAGGUUCAUCCUUUGGAAAGUGUCAAAAUACAAGAUAUUAAUGCUGCUGCCACCAUCCAUUAGCACUUUCGACAAGGUGUGCCCCCCAACUUGGGGAGCUACGACCAACGCUAAGUCGCCAGGAUUGUCAACUCUUGGCGGAUGAUCCUCCCUACUCCAUGAUAUGGUCUGCCCGGACCAGUGGAGAUACCUGGGAAGUGCCGGCUCAGACACACUGUACGCCCGGUGACUCACCUUUUUAUCACACCUGCAAGCAUUGGUGGUGAAAACAUGGUACUGCCCAUUGUUUAAUUGUUUGGGGUUGUUGCGAAAGCCGCCGUUGUCAUCCUGGCCCUGCGAAGCCCCCUGUGGAGGCGGUUGCUGAAAAACUCCGGGCGGGUUAUACCGCCGCUCGUGAUGCACCGGAUACUGGCCGCUGCUCGGCUGCGAGCCCCCCUGAGCCACCGGCUCGGGAAAACCACCAAAUGGGUUCUGACGUUGGUUGGGGGCAGCAAACUGCUCCUGCCGUUGGUCCGGGUCAGGGUUUUGCCCUUUUUUGAUCGCCUCUGCCCGAAACUCCCGCAUCACGUAACAGUUCUCCCAGGAAUGAGUCGCCAGUCUGUCUGCCAUGGCAUGGUGCGGGCAACGGCCCUUGAGUAACUCUUCAUAGCUACGCGGCUUUUUACCACUGUAUCCCCUGUUUUUCUUCUGGCGUUGGUUGCCAUUGUUGGUGUUGGUAUUGGCGACUAAAUCCGAAGAUUCCUCUUGCUGCCUUCUCUUUCCAUUGGCUCCCUGAUUGUGGCGGUUACGUCCCUGGAACCGGGUAUGUUUUUUGGAUGACUCGCCCUUCUUUGGCGAGUUAACUUUACCAUCCUCACCGGGAUCUUUGGUGGCGUCCACUUCAGCGUAUCUAGUGAGGGUAUCCAUUAGCUCCCCCAUGUCUUGGACCUUUCGCUUGAGUCACCCCAACUUCUGCACCAGAGGUUCAUAGUGGCAAUUCUGCUCGAGGAUCAACACCGCCUGAGCCGCCGUAAUACCGUCUGAUGAAUGAAUAAUUUCCGCGACCCGCCGUGACCAAUGGUGUGCCGACUCAUCGGGGCGCUGAACGCAGUGCUGCAGAUCGACAAUUGUCAUUGGACUUUCGCAGGUUCCUCGGGAGGUUUUGAUGAAGCGCUCUUUCAAUUCAGCCCAGGUUUGGAUGGAGUUGGGGGGUAAGUUUUUUAACCAAGUGCGUGCUGACCCUUCGAGCAUCAUCGUGAAGUAUCUGGCGCAAACUGCUUCGUUUACGUCGAGCAUGUCCAUGGCGAUUUCAUAACUCUCAACCCACGACGCUGGCUCAAGGUCCGGGGUGUAGUUAGGCACCUUUCUUGGUAUUUUAAAAUCCUUGGGCAUUCGUUCGUUGCGAAGGGCGGGGGCGACUUGGACGUUCGGGAGAUCCCGGGCCGGCGGGUUUUGAUGAUCAGGCGGGUUGUCCUGGGGGAUGAGUCGCGGUCCGCUGUUUACAGCGGGCUGGUCCUCUGGCCGAGUCCUGGUAUGACUCGCCUGGGAAGUGGAAUGCAGCCUAUCUAGGCUAUGUGAGAACUGGGCGUUUUGAACCACCGUCGUCUUCAACAUCUCAAUGGCGUUCCUUGCUUCUAUCUCGGCGGGAGUAUUGUCGUGAAUCGGAAGAGAUCCCAAAUGGCGAGUUGCAGCAAGGACGUUGUCCACUGGGUUGGAAAAGUGACCUUGAGGUGUCCGGAAUCGGGGAAUGCGAUCCUCAAUUGGUUGAACCGGCGGGUUAGGUGGUUGGCCUGGUCCUCCCCCUGGGGCAGCUCCCACCCCGGGAGUUCGUGGAGUAUCGAACAGGCAGGUCGGGUUGAGACAGCGGGCAGGCGACCCUGGUGCCUCCGCUGAUGGACGGCGUCAGAUGCACGCUGGUGUCUUUCGAGUCGCCAGUUGUCAGUAUUUAAGCGAGUUCUCUCGGCGGUAAUUUGAGCUUGUCGGGUCUCGAUCCUGGCGGACUCCACCUCGGCAUCCCGAUGAGCCUUUGCCAUUGCUUCUCUUAGUUUCACCAAUUCCGCGUUUACUGCCUCCUGGUUUCCGGUGUGAUGGGGGUCGCCAUAAGCCUUGUAAUUUCCGCUACUAAUUCCACCAAGACAGCGGUCGGGCUUCUAGAUGUCUCGCUAGUUCCAUCCCCGCCUGUCGGGUUUGGCGAGGGUUGAGUCGCCCCAGCCAUGUAAAUGGCGAUCUGGCGGCGGGUUCGGUCAAGGACUUCGGGGUCCAUGGCCAGCGACAAGCCCCCAAGACAAUCCCCAUGUAGAGACUGAAUUGAAUCUGAAUCGCCCAUGGACGAUUCGUCAUCGGUGUUGAUUGGUGUGGUUUCUUGGGUCGCUGAGUGUUCUGGUUCCUCCGAUCCCUGCGUGAACCCAACAAAGACUGGGCGAGUUAGAUUUGGCGUCAUUACUGGACGGACGUACCUGGCCGGCUCGACUAUGUCGGUGGAGAUGUCCGGCUCAGGCACGGAUGAUCCGAUCAUGCCAAUGAAGACGUUGAUCUUGCCGAAGGGGACCGUGUAACCAGAUUCGAUUGAAUCUGCCUCGGGCCCCCAUAGCAGGUUGUUGAUGUAGUACUUCCCACGGCGGCUCCUAGUCAUGAGCCCCGUCGCGUAGGUCCCAAACCCUGGUAGGGCUCCCUUUGAGAACUCAACUCCACCAUGCGCAGGCCCCACGGUGGGCGCCAACUGUCGUGGUUUUGUCACGGCAGAUGUCCUCGUGAAAGGACUUAGUAUUGGAGCCAUCGCACUGUGGCGACUCAAAGGGGUUGAACGGGAGUGAGACGGCGAUUUACCCAGGUUCGGCCCCUCGUGAGGAGGUAAAGGCUUACGUCCUGCUUUGAGUUGUAUUGAUGGAGUUUCGAUUACAAGGAGGGCGUAACUCGCCAGACCUAGUACUCGAUGAUAUCUAACCUGCCCUCUUCUUCCCUGGGACUCGCCUUUAUAUACAGGUCGACUCCCUAGGGUUUACAAGGGUCCUUUCCCUUCUACAAACCGUGACUCUUACAAUCUCUAAGUCGCCAUCUUUCCAAAGCUUGGAAACCUUCCGGCGGUUGUAAACCGCCAUACAACCUUCGGUCUUGCUAGGCCAAGGCCCAAACCAUGCUUAGACGAAUCGCCAGAUUUGGUGACCCGGCCCAACUAGGGUGGGUUAUCAAUAGAUAAUAGCCCCAACAAUGAUCCCUCACUAAAAUUUCAAGAAAUGUGUUUCCCCUAAGUGUGCACUGUUGCGAAGGAUCGUUGUUUCAAAGCACCAUGUGAUGGUCGCAUGUCAUAGAUUCUAAUGUUCGCAUACAACGGGUGUAAGCCAGAUUUAUACACAUGAAACACUUAUGUUGACUUGACGAGCCUAGCAUGUAUAGACAUGGCCUCGGAACAUGGGAGAUUGAAAGGUCGAACAUGAGUCGUAUUGUUGAUGCGAUCAACAUGGAGAUGUUCACCAUUGAUGACUAGUCCAUCUCACGUGAUGAUGAGAGACGGCCUAGUCGAUAUGGAUCAUGUAUCACUUAGAUGACUAGAGGGAUGUCCAUCUGAGUGGGAGUUUAUUAAAUAAUUUGAUUAGAUGAACUUAAUUAUCUUGAACAUAGUCAAAAGGUAUUUGCAAAUAAUGUUGUAGCUUGCGCUGUAGUUUUACUGUUUUUGAUGAGAAAACUUAGUUGAAAGCUGAUAGCAGCAAUUAUGCGGACUCGGUCCGUUAACUGAGAAUUGUCCUCAUUGAUGCACAUAAGGCCUAUGUCCUUAAUGCACCGCUCUGUGUGUUGAAUCUCGAGCGUCGUCUGUGGAUGUUGCGAACAUCUGACAUACACGUUUUUGAUGAGUACGUGAUAGUUCAGUGCGUAAUGCUUAACGACUUAGAAUUGAGGCGGCGGAGACGUUUUGAACGUCACUGAACAUAUGAGAUGAAAUUGGGAUUUCAUGCUCGUGCAAGAUUCUUUGUCUACAAAGUAAGACCUCCGAAAUUGGGAUUUCAUGCUCACGGAACAUAUGAGGCUCAAGAGAUGAAAUUGGGAUUUCAUGUUCGUGCCCUUGUUGAGAGGUAUGAGACCUCCGACAAGAUUCUUUGUCUACAAAGUAAAGGAGAAAAUCUCAAUCAUUGAGCAUGUGCUCAUAUUGUCUGAGUGCUACAAUCAUUGCUUGAAUCGAGUGGGAUUUAAUCUUCCAAAUGAGAUAGUGAUGGUUCUCCAAAGUCACCACCACCAAGAUACUAGAGCUUCGUUAUGAACUAUAACAUAUCAGGGAUAGAUAUGAUAAUCCUUGAGCUAUUCAUGAUGUUUGACACCGCGAAAGUAGAAAUCGAAAAGGAGCAUCAAUUGUUGAUGGUUAGUAAAACCACUAGUUUCAAGAAGGGCAAGGGCAAGAAGGGAUACUUCAUGAAACGACUAACCAAUUGCUGCUCUAGUGAAGAGAUCCAAGGUUGAACCCAAACCCGAGACUAAGUGCUUGUGUAAUAAGGGGAACAGUCACUGAAGAGGAACUAUCCUAGAUACUUGGUAGAUGAGAAAGCUGGCAAAGUCGACAAAUGUAUAUUGGAUAUACAUGAUAUUGAUGUGUACUUUACUAGUUCUCCUAGUAGCACUAGGGUAUUAGAUACUGGUUCAGUUGCUAAGUGUUAGUAACUCGAAAUAAAAGCUACGGAACAAACGGAGACUAGCUAAAAGCGAGGUGACAAUGUGUGUUGGAAGUGUUUCAAAGGUUGAUGUGAUCAAACAUCGCACGCUCCCUCUACCAUCGGGAUUAGUGUUAAACCUAAAUAAUUUUUAUUUCGUAUUAGCAUUGAGCAUACAAAUGAUUGGAUUGUGUUUAUCGCAAUACAAUUAUUCAUUUGAAGAGAAUAAUGGUUACUCUGUUUAUUUGAAUAACACCUUCAAUGGUCUUACACCUAAAAUAAAUGGUUUAUUGAAUAUCGAUCGUAGUGAUACACAUGUUCAUAAUAUUGUUGCCAAAAGAUACAAAGUAGUAAUGAUAAUACCACUUACUUGUGGCACUGCCACUUGAGUCAUAUUGGUGUAAAACGUAUGAAGAAGCUCCAUGCUGAUGGAUCUUUGGAGUCACUCGUUUUUGAAAAGUUUGAGACAUGCGAACCAUGUCUAUUGGUAUAAAACGCAUGAAGAAGCUCCAUGCUGAUGGAUCUUUGGACCCACUCAUUUUUGAAAAGUUUGAGACAUGUGGACCAUGUCUGUUGGUAUAGACACAUGAAGAAACUCCAUACAAAUGGAUCGUUUGGACUCACUUGAUUUUGAAUCACUUGAGACAUGCAAAUCAUACCACAUGGGCAAGAUGACUAAAGGCCUCGUUUUCCAGUGAGAUGGAACAAGAAAGUAACUUGUUGGAAGUAAUACAUUUUGAUGUGUGCAGUCCAAUGAGUACUAAGGCACGCAGUGGAUAUCAUUAUGUUCUUACUUCAGAGAUGAUUUGAGUAGAUACUAGUAUAUUUACUUGACGAAAUACAAGUCUGAAUUAUUGAAAGGUUCAAGUAAUUUCAGAGUGAAGUUGAAGUUCAUCGUGACAGGAGGAUAAAAUGUCUAUGAUAUGAUCAUAGAGAUGAAUAUCCGAGUUGCGAGUUUGGUAAACAUUUAAGACAAUGUGGAAAUUGUUUCACGUGAAAAUUGUUUCACAACUCAUGCCACCUGGAACACCAUAGUCUGAUGGUGUGUCCAUAUGUCAUAGUCGUGCCCUAUUAGAUAUGGUGCAUACUAUGAUGUUUCUUAUCAAAUUACCACUAUCGUUUAUGGGUUAGGCAUUAGAGACAACCGCAUUCACUUUGAAUAGGGCACCACAUAAAUUCCGUUGAGACAACACCGUAUGAACUAUGGUUUAGAGAAACCUAAGCUGUUGUUUCUUAAAAGUUUGGGGGUGCGAUGCUUAUGUGAAAGAGUUUCAACCUGAUAAGCUCGAACGCAAAGCGGAUAAAUGCAUCUUCAUAGGACACCUAAAACAGUUGGGUAUACCUCCUAUCUCAGAUCUGGAAGAAAAGUAUUUGUUUCUAGAAACGGGUCCUUUCUCGAGGAAAAGUUUCUCUCGAAAGAAUUGAGUGGGAGGAUGGUGGAAACUUGAUGAGGUUAUUGAACCAUCACUUCAACCAGUGUGUAGUAGGGCGCAGGAAGUUGUUCUUGUGGCGCCUACACCAAUUAAGGUGGAAGCUGAUGAUAGUGAUCAUGAAGCUUCGGAUCAAGUUACUACCAAACCUCGCAGGUUGACAAGGACGCGUACUAUUCCAGAGUGGUACAGUAAUCCUGUCUUGGAUGUCAUGUUGCUACACAAUAAUGAAUCUACGAGCUAUGGAGAAGCGAUGGUGGGCCCGACUUCCGACAAAUUGCUCGAGGCCAUAAAAUCCGAGAGAGGAUCCAUGUAUGAAAACAAAGUGUAGACUUUGGAAGAACUACUUGAUGGUCACAAGACUUUUAACUACAGAUGGAUCUUUAAAAGGAAGACAUACGAUGAUGGUGAAAAAUCACCAUUAAGAAAGCUCGACUUGUCGCAAAGAUGUUUUCGACAAGUUCAAAAAGUUGACUACGAUGGGACUUUCUCACUCGUAGCGAUGAUAAAAUUCUGUUGGAAUUAUGCUAGCAGUUGUUGCAUCAUUUAUGAAAUCUUGGAGAUCGGAUGUAAAAUAUUGUUUCCUCGAUGGUUUCCUUGAGGAAAGGUUGUAUCUGAUACAACCAGAAGGUUUUGUCGAUCCUAAAGGAUGCUAACAAGUAUGCAAGGCUCGAGCGAUCCUUCUAUGGACUGGAGCAAGCAUCUUGGAGUUGGAAUGUAUGCUUUGAUGAGAUGAUCAAAGAUUUUGGUUUUAUACAAAGUUUAUGAGAAACUUGUAUUUCCAAAGAAGUGAGUGGGAGCACUAUAGAAUUUGUGAUGAGUAUAUGUGGUUGACAUAUUGUUGAUUGGAAAUAAUGUAGAAUUUCUGAAAGCAUAAAGUAGUUUUUAAUGGAAAACCUGGAUUAAGCUACUUGAACAUUGAGCAUCAAGAUCUAUGGAGAUAGAUCAAAGUGCUUAAUAGAACUUCCAAAAAAUGCAUUCCUUGACAAGUUUUUGAAGGAGUUCAAAAUAGAUCGGCAAAGAAGGAGUUCUUGGUUGUGUUGUAAGGUGUGAAUUUGAGUAAGACUCAAAGCCCGACCAUGACAGAAGAAAGAGAAAGGACGAAGGUCGUCCCCUAUGCUUUAGCCGUAGGCUCUAAAGUAUCCCAUGCUGUGUACCGCACCUGAAGUGUGCCUUGCCAUGAGCCAGUCAAGCGGUACAAGAGUGAUCCAUGAAUGGAUCACUCGACGGCGAUCAAAGUUAUCCUUAGUAACUAGUGAACUAAGGAAUUUUUUCUCGAAAAUGAAGGUGGUAAAAAGAGUUCAUUGUAAAGGAUUACGACGAUGCAAGAUUUCUCACUAAUCCAUAUGACUCUAAGUAGUAAACCGGAUUCAUAUAGUGGAGCAGUCAUUUUGAAAUAGUUCCAAAUGCUGCAUGGUAGCAACAUCUAUAGAAUGAAAUAGAGAUUUGUAAAGCACACACGAAUCUGAAAGGUUCAGACCCGUUGUCUAAUAAACUUCUCUCACAAGCAAGACAUGAUAGAACCCCUGAACUGUAUGGGUGUAAGAUUCAUUGCAAUCACAUAGUGAUGUGAACUAGAUUAUUGACUCUAGUGAAGGGAAGACUGUUGGAAAUAUGCCCUAGAGGCAAUAAUAAAUUGGUUAUUAUUAUAUUUCCUUGUUCAUGAUAAUUUUCUAUUGUUCAUGCUAUAAUUGUAUUAACCGGAAACCAUAAUACAUGUGUGAAUACAUAGACCACAACAUGUCCUUAGUGAGCCUCUAGUUGGCUAGCUCGUUGAUGAAUAGAUGGUCAUGGUUUCCUGAUCAUGGACAUUGGAUGUUAUUUAUAACGGGAUCACAUCAUUAGGAGAAUGAUGUGAUGGACAAGACCCAAUCCUAAGCAUAGCACAAGAUCGUGUAGUUCGUCUGCUAGAGAUUUUAUAAUGUCAAGUAUCAUUUCCUUAGACCAUGAGAUUGUACAACUCCCGAAUACCGUAGGAGUGCUUUGGGUGUAUCAAAUGUCACAACGUAACUGGGUGAUUAUAAAGGUCCACUACAUGUAUCUCCGGAAGUGUCUGUUGGGUUGUACGAAUCAAGAUUGGGAUUUGUCGCUCCGUGUGAUGGAGAGGUAUCUCUGGGCCCACUCGAUAAUGCAUCAUCGUAAUGAGCUCAAUGUGACUAAGGAGUUAGCCACGGGAUGAUGUGUUACAGAACGAGUAAAAGAGACUUGUCGGUAACGAGAUUGAACAAGGUAUAGGGAUACCGACGAUCGAAUCUCGGGCAAGUGUCAUACCGGUAGACAAAGGGAAUUCCAUACGGGUUUGAGUGAAUCCUUGACAUCGUGGUUCAUCCAAUGAGAUCAUCAUGGAACAUGUGGGAGCCAACAUGGAUAUCCAAACCCUGUUGUUGGUUAUUGACCGGAGAGAUGUUUCGGUCAUGUGUGCAUGUUUCCCGAACCCGUAGGUUCUACACACUUAAGGUUAAGUGACACUACAAUUGUUAUGGGAAUUGUUUAUGUGGUUACCGAAGGUUGUUCGGAGUCCCGGACAUCCCGAGGAGUUCCGGAAUGGUCUGGAGAUAAAGAUUUAUAUAUGGGAAGUUCAGUCUCAAUAGCCGGAAAAGUUUUGGGGUUUAUCGGUAUUGUACCAGGCUACCGAAAGGGUACCGAGGGUCCACCUGUCCUGGAGGGCCACAUGGGCUGAAAGGGGAGAGGAACCAGCCCCUGGUGGGCUGGUGUGUGCAACUGCAACAAAAGACCUUCCAACGGCGCCAGAAAUAGGCACGUCGACGGGAGAAUACUUGGCUUGAUGUUUCUACUGCGGCUACGCCUUAAGAGACUAUCUAGGCAAGUAUGCAAAGGAUUUCCCACGCGGCCUUGGAGCCUUGCGUGUCUUGUUCCCUCGAAGCGGAAAGGGUGAUGUAGCGUAGCGGUGGUAAGUAUUUCCCUCAGUUUGAGAACCAAGGUAUCAAUCCAGUGGAGGAGUAUCUCAAGAUCCUGCACAAACACAAGAACUUCCUCCCAACGCUAUGAAGGGGUUGUCAAUCCCUUAUAGAUUGUUUGCCAAGUGAGAACUGAAAGCAACAAAGUAACAAAGAAAAGUAAAAGCGGAGAUGUAAACGAUGGAUGUGAAUAGACCCGGGGGCCGUAGUGUUUACUAGUGGCUUCUCUCAUGAAAGCAAGUAGACGGUGGGUGAACAAAUUACUGUCGAGCAAUUGAUAGAACCACGCAAAGUCGUGACGAUAUCUAUGCAAUGAUCAUUUCUAUAGGCAUCACGUCCAAAACAAGUAGAUCGAUACUGUCUGCAUCUACUACUAUUACUCCACACGUCGACCGCUAUCCAGCAUGCAUCUAGUGUAUUAAGUCCAUAAGAACAGAGUAACGCCUUAAGCAAGAUGACAUGAUGUAGAGGGAUAAUCUCAAACCAAUGAUAAAAACCCCAUCUUUUUAUCCUUGAUGGCAAGUACUUGAUAUGUGCCUUGCUGCCCCUACUCUGGGAAAGGUCACCACAUGGCAGAACCCAAAACCAAGCACUUCUCCCAUUGCAAGAAUCAUAGAUCUAGUUGGCCAAACAGAACCCAAGACUCAGAGAGACUUACAAGGAUAUCAAAUCAUGCAUAUAAGAAAUCAGCAAAGACUCAAAUAUAAAUCAUAGAUAAUCUGAUCACAAAUCCACAAUUCAUCGGAUCUUGAAACACACCGCCAAAGAAGAUUACAUCGGAUAGAUCUCCAUGAAGAUCAUGGAGAACUUUGUAUUGAAGAUCCAAGAGAGAGAAGAAGCCAUCUAGCUACUAACUACGGACCCGUAGGUCUGAAGUGAACUACUCACGAGUCAUUGGAGGGGCGAUGAUGAUGAUGAAGAAGCCCUCCAACUCCGAAGUCCCCUCCGGCAGGGUGCCGGGAAGGGUCUCCGAAUGAGAUCUCGCGGAAACGGAAGCUUGCGGCGGCGGAAAUGUAUUUUCGAGGCUCCCCUGAUUUUUUCAGGAAUAUUUGGGAAUUUAUAGGCCAAAGAUCUAGGUCAGGGGCGGCCAGGGAGGCCACAAGCCGGGCCACCGCCGCCUCCCCCUGGUGUUGGAGUGGGGGCUUGUGGGAUCCCUGGAGCCCACCUGGCUUGGCCCAAAAUCCCCCUGGUCUUCUUCCGUUUGGGAAAAAUCAUUUCGGGGCUUUUCUUCCGUUUGGACUCCGUUCCAACAUCAGAUCUAAAAAGGGUCAAAAACACGGAAAAACAUGAAUUGGCACUUGGCACUGAAUUAAUAAGUUAGUCCCAAAAAAGAUAUAAAAGUUACAUAAAACAACCAAAGAAGACAUGAUAACAGCGUAAAACCAUCAAAAAUUAUAGAUACGUUUGAGACGUAUCAAGCAUCCCCAAGCUUAACUCCUACUCGUCCUCGAGUAGGGAAGUGAUAAGAAUUAAUUUUUAUGCUUUCAUGCUACCUAGCAUAGGUGUCCUUUGUAAUUCCUCUUAUGUGACGUGAAUGUUCAGAUCCAUUAGAUUCAAAACAAUAGUUUGCUAUUGACGUGGAAACGAUAAUAAUUCAAGCAAACUAGCAAAGUAAUCAUGAACUUUCAAAAUAAGAAGGCCAAAAGAAAGUUAUCCCUACAAAAGCAUAUAGUCUGGCUAUGCUCUAUCAUCAUUGCACAAUGAAUUUAAAUCAUGCACAACCCCGGUAUUGUCCAAGUAAUUGUUUCANNNNNNNNNNNNNNNNNNNNNNNNNNNNNNNNNNNNNNNNNNNNNNNNNNNNNNNNNNNNNNNNNNNNNNNNNNNNNNNNNNNNNNNNNNNNNNNNNNNNNNNNNNNNNNNNNNNNNNNNNNNNNNNNNNNNNNNNNNNNNNNNNNNNNNNNNNNNNNNNNNNNNNNNNNNNNNNNNNNNNNNNNNNNNNNNNNNNNNNNNNNNNNNNNNNNNNNNNNNNNNNNNNNNNNNNNNNNNNNNNNNNNNNNNNNNNNNNNNNNNNNNNNNNNNNNNNNNNNNNNNNNNNNNNNNNNNNNNNNNNNNNNNNNNNNNNNNNNNNNNNAAUGAGUAGGGAUUGCCAUACAAUUGGUGCACUAGAGCUACGAGUAUGUGAAAGCUCUUAAAGAAAACUAGUGGGUGUGCAUCCAACUUGCUUGCUCACGAAGACCUAAGGCAAUUUUGAGGAAGCCUAUCAUUGGAAUAUACAAGCCAAGUUAUAUAAUGAAAAUUUCCCACUAGAUAUAUGGUGGUGACAAAACGAGAGACCCUCAAUCAUGAAGAUCAUGGUGCUUAAUAUGCACAAGUGUGGAAAAGGUGGUAGCAUUGUCCCUUCUCUCUUUUUCUCUCAUUUGUUUUUAAUUUUGGUGGGCUCUUUGGCCUCUUUUUUUUGUCGGCUUCUUUGGCCUCUUUUAUUUCCUCACAUGGUACAAUGCUCCAUUAAUGAUGAUCAUCACACUUUCAACUCAAAACUUAGAGUAACAAUGACUCUAUAUGCAAUGCCUUCGGUAGUGUACCGUGGCAAUGAUCUAGCAUGGCAUAGACAUCAAUGGAAACAUCAUGCUAGCUAUCUUACAAUCAUGCAAUGGAAUGUAGACGUGGUGGCACAUGUCAUGGUGGUAGUUGCAUGGCAAUAUAUCUCGGAAUGACUUUGAAAAAGCCAUAGUAGGUAAGUAUGGUGGCUGUUUUGAGGGAGGCUAAUGGUGGGUUUGGUGCACCGCCGAAAGUUGCACGACACUAAGAAGAUAGUGAUGGUGGAAGGUGAAAGUGCAUCUAAACCAUGGAUUCAACAUUAGUCAUGAAGAACUCAUAUACUUGUUGCAGAAGUUUUAUUAGUAAUCGAAACAAAGCAUUCAACGCAUACUCCUAGGGGAAGGGUUGGUAGGUAUAAACCAUCGCACGAUCCCAACCGCCAUGCAUACUCCUACGAGAAUCACUAACUUCAACACAAGUAUUUCUAGAUCCACAACACCUUCCUAGCAUGACUUUAAUAUUACCAUAACCACAACUCAAAACUAAUUGAGAUGAAUCAAACUUCUCUAACUAUUCAAUGCACAUGAAGGUGGAAUUUUUCGUAUCCCUUUGGAUAACUACCCCUUUUGAGACUACUUUCAAAGCAUAGAUCAACUACCAAGCCACGCACCGUUGUGCUCUAAAUAUAUAAGUGAAGCACAUAGAGCAAAAGUAUCUAGCUCAAAAGAUAUAAGUGAAGCACAUGUGAGCUGAAUUGUCUACCAAAAGAUAUAAGUGAAGCUCGACAAAAUCACGGCGUGUGCAUGUCUCUCUCUCUAGGUGUGCAGCAAGGAUGAUUGUGAUACAACAAAAAUAAAAGACUCCUACGAUACAAGACGCCCCAAGGAAAAACACAAAACAUGUGGUGAAUAAAUAUAUAUAGCCCCAAGUAACGUUACCGAUGGAUUGAAGACGAGAGACGGGAUGCCUUCCCGGGGCAUCCCCAAGCUUAGGCUUUUACGGCAUCCUUGAAUAUCUUGGGGUGCCUUGGGCAUCCCCAAGCUUGCAUGCNNNNNNNNNNNNNNNNNNNNNNNNNNNNNNNNNNNNNNNNNNNNNNNNNNNNNNNNNNNNNNNNNNNNNNNNNNNNNNNNNNNNNNNNNNNNNNNNNNNNGGGGAAACUUCCCUCCCGGAGGGGGAAAUCGUCGCCAUCGUCAUCACCAACACUCCUCUCAUCGGAGGGGACUCGUCACCAUCAACAUCUUCAUCAGCACCAUCUCAUCUCCAAACCCUAGUUCAUCACUUGUAACCAAUCUCCAUCUCGUGACUCCGAUUGGUACUUGUAAGGUUGCUAGUAGUGUUGAUUACUCUUUGUAGUUGAUGCUAGUUGGAUUACUUGGUGGAAGAGUUUAUGUUCAGAUCCUUGAUGCUACUCAUUACCUCUCUGGUCAUGACUAUGAUUAUGCUUCGUGAGUAGUUACUUUUGUUCCUGAGGACAUGGGAUAAGUUAUGCUAAUAGUAGUCAUGUGAAUUUGGUAUUCGUUCGGUAAUUUGAUAUGUUGUAUGUUGUUUUUCCUCUAGUGGUGUUAUGUGAACGUCGACUACAUAACACUUCACCAUUAUUUUGGCCUAGAGGAAGGCAUUGGGAAGUAGUAAGUAGAUGAUGGGUUGCUAGAGUGACAGAAGCUUAANNNNNNNNNNNNNNNNNNNNNNNNNNNNNNNNNNNNNNNNNNNNNNNNNNNNNNNNNNNNNNNNNNNNNNNNNNNNNNNNNNNNNNNNNNNNNNNNNNNNAUCGUGGGACUGAUCGGGGAUUGUUCGCGGGGCGGAUCGAGGGACGUGAGGACGUUCCACUACAUCAACCGCGUUCUCUAACGCUUCUGCUGUACAAUCUACAAGGGUACGUAGAUCACUCAUCCCCUCUCGUAGAUGGACAUCACCAUGAUAGGUCUUCGUGCGCGUAGGAAAAUUUUUGUUUCCCAUGCGACGUUCCCCAACACCUUAAGUGUGUAGACCCUACGGGUUCGGGAAGCAUGUAGACAUGACCGAGACACCUCUCCGGUCAAUAAUCAACAGCGGGGUCUGGAUAUCCAUGUUGGUUCCCACAUGUUCCACGAUGAUCUCAUAGGAUGAACCACGAUGUUAGGGAUUCAAUCAAUCCCGUAUGCAAUUCCCUUUGUCUACCGGUAUGAUACUUGCCCGAGAUUCGAUCAUCGGUAUCCCUAUACCUUGUUCAAUCUUGUUACCGACAAGUGUUUUUACUCGUUCUAUAACACACCAUGCCAUGCCUAACUCCUUAGUCACAUUGAGCUCAGAAUGAUGACGGAUUACCGAGUGGGCCCAGAGAUACCUCUCCAUCACACGAAGUGACAAAUCCCAGUCUCGAUUCGUACAACCCAACACAUACUUUUGAAGAUACAUGUAGUGCACCUUUAUAAUCACCCAGUUAUGUUGUGACGUUUGAUACACCCAAAGCACUCCUACGGUAUCCGGGAGUUGCACAAUCUCAUGGUCGAAGGAAGUGAUACUUGACAUUAGAAAAGCUUUAGCGGACGAACAACACGAUCUAGUGCUAUGCUUAGGAUUGGGUCAUGUCCAUCACAUCAUUCCCCAAUGACGUGAUCCCAUUAUCAAUGACAUCCUAUGUCCAUGAUCAAGAAACCACGAUCAUAUAUUGAUCAACGAGCUAGCCAACUAGAGGAUCACUAGGGACACAUUGUGAUCUAUAUAUUCACACAUGUAUCAUGGUUUCCGGUUAAUACAAUUAUAGCAUGAAUAAUAGACAAUUAUCAUGAACUAGGAAAUAUAAUAAUAACCACUUUAUUAUUGCCUCUAGGGCAUAUUUCGAACAGUCUCCCACUUGCACUAGAGUCAAUAAUCUAGUUACAUUGUGAUGAAUAGAACACCCAUAGAGUUCCGGUGCUCAUCAUGUUUUGCUCAUGGAAGAGGAUUGGUCAACGGAUCUGUCACAUUCAAAUUCGUAUGUACUUUACAAAUAUCUAUAUCUCCAUCUUGGAUGUCUCCACGAAUGAAGUUGAAGCGGCGAUUGAUGUGCUUGGUCUUCUUGUGAAACCUGGGAUCCUUGGCAAUGACAAUAGCACCAGUGUUGUCACAGAACAGAGUUAUUGGACCUGACGCACUGGGAAUAACUCCUAGGUCAGUGAUGAACUCCUUCAUCCAGACUCCUUCUUGUGUUGUUUCCAAAGCAGCUAUGUACUCCGCUUCACAUGUAGAUGUCGCCACUACACUUUUCUUGCAACUGCACCAGCUGACUACCCUAUUAUUCAAAAUAUACAUGUAUCCGGUUUGUGACUUGGAGUCAUCUGAAUCUGUGUUGAAGCUAGCAUCAACGUAACCCUUUACGACGAGCUCUUCGGCACCUCCAUAAAUGAGAAACAUAUCUUUAGUCCUUUUCAGUACUUUAGGAUAUUCUUGACCGUUGUCCGGUGAUCCACUCCUGGAUCACUUUGGUACCUCCCUACCAAACUUACGGCAAGGUUCACAUCAGGUCUGGUACACAACAUGGCAUACAUGAUAGAGCCUAUGGCUGAAGCAUAGGGGACGGUACUCAUCUUUUUUCUAUCUUCCGUCGUGGUCGGGCAUUGAGUCGUACUCAACCUCACACCUUGUAAUACAGGCAAGAACCCCUUCUUUGCCUUAUCCAUAUUGAACUUCUUCAAUAUAUUGUCAAGGUAUGUGCUUUGUGAAAGACCAAUGAGGCAUCUCGAUCUAUCUCUAUAGAUCUUGAUGCCUAAUAUGUAAGCAGCUUCUUCAAGGUCCUUCAUUGAAAAACUCUUAUGCAAAUAGGCAUAAGAUAGAAGGUAAAAUAGGAACCGAUCCUUUCUAGAGAAAGAGGUUCUUGGCAACAAAGAUCUUGCCUUCGGAUCUAAGAUAGAAGGUAUACCCAAUAGUUUCCUUAGGGUAUCCUAUGAAGACGCAUUUUUUCGAUUUGGGUUCGAGCUUCUCAGGUUGAAGUUUCUUCACAUAAGCAUCACAGCCCCAAACUUUCAGAAAUGACGGCUUAGGUUUCUUGCCAAACCAUAAUACAUACGGUGUCAUCUCAAGGGAUUUAGACGGUGCCCUAUUUAAAGUGAAUGCGGCAGUUUCCAAUGCAUAUCCCCAAAAUGAUAGCGGUAAAUCUGUAAGACACAUCAUAGAUUGCACCAUAUCCAAUAAAGUGCGAUUACGACGUUCAGACAAACCGUUACGCUGCGGUGUGCCAGGCGGCGUUAGUUGUGAAAUAAUUCCACAUUUCCUUAAGUGCGUGCCAAACUCGUAACUCAAAUAUUCUCCUCCAAGAUCAGUCGUAAGAACUUUCUUUUCUUGGCACGUUGAUUCUCCACCUCACUCUGAAAUUCCUUGAACCUUUGAAAGGUUUCACACUUGUGAUUCAUUAAGUAAACAUACCCAUAUCUACUUAAAUCAUCAGUGAGGGUGAGAACAUAACGAUAGCCACUGCGAGCCUCAACGCUCAUUGGACCGCAUACAUUGGUAUGUAUUAUUCCCAAUAAGUUGGUUGCUCGCUCCAUUGUUCCGGAGAACGGAGUCUUUGUCAUCUUGCCCAUGAGGCACUGUUCGCAUGUGUCAAAUGAUUCAAAAUCAAGAGACUCCAAAAGUCCAUCUGUAUGGAGUUUCUUCAUGCGCUUGACACCGAUAUGACCAAGGCGGCAGUGCCACAAGUAUGUGAGACUAUCAUUAUCAACUUUAUAUCUUUUGGUACUCACACUAUGAAUAUGUGUAACAUCAUGAUUGAUAUUCAUCAAGAAUAAACCAUUGACUAACGGGGCAUGACCAUAAAACAUACCACUCAUAUAAAUAGAACAACCAUUAUUCUCAGAUUUACAUGAGUAGCCAUCUUGCAUCAAGCGAGAUCCUGAUACAAUGUUCAUGCUCAAAGCUGGUACUAAAUAACAAUUAUUAAAGUUUAAAGCUAAUCCCGAAGGUAGAUGUACAGGUAGCAUGCUGACGGCGAUCGCAUCGACUUUGGAACCAUUCUCGACGUGCAUCGUCACCUCGUCCUUUGCCAGCCUACGCUUGUUCCACGGUUCCUGCUUAGAGUUGCAAAUGUGAGUUACAGCACCGGUAUCAAAUACCCAGGAGCUACUACGAGCGCUGGUAAGGUACACAUCAAUAACAAGUAUAUCACAUAUAUCUUUGAUGUUACCGGCCUUCUUAUCUGCUAAGUACUUGGGGCAAUUCCGGUUCCAGUGAGCGGUUCCCUUGCAGUAAUAGCACUCAGUCGCAGGCUUGGGUCCUUUCUUGCCUUCUUCCCGGCAACUGGUUUACCCGGCGUGGCAAAUGUUUUUCUGUCUUUCUUGAAGUUCAUUUUACCCUUGCCUUUUUUGAAACAGGUGGUCUUAUUCACCAUCAACACUUGAUGUUCUUUCUUGAUUUCUACCUUCCUAGAUUUCAGCAUUGAAUACAACUCGGGAAUAUUCUUUUGCAUCCCUUGCAUGUUGUAAUUCAUCGCAAAGCCUUUAUAGCUAGGUGGAAGCGACUGGAGGAUUCUGUCAACGACCGCAUGAUCCGGAAGUUCAACUCCCAGCUAAGUCAAGCGGUUGUGCAACCCAGACAUUCUGAGUAUGUGCUCACUGACAGAACUAUUCUCCUCCAUCUUACAGCUAAAGAACUUGUGGGAGACUUCAUAUCUCUCGACCCGGGCAUGAGCUUGAAAAACAAGUUUCAGCUCCUCGAACAUCUCAUAUGCUCCAUGUUGCUCAAAACGCCUUUGGAGCCCCGGUUCUAAACUGUAAAGCAUGUCGCACUGAACCAGAGAGUAGUCAUCACUACGCGAUUGCCAGGCGUUCCUAACGUCAUGGUCUGCCGCGAGAAUGCGAGGAUCACCUAGCGGUGCAUUAAGGACAUAUGCCUUCUUGGAACCAGUGAGGAUGAGCUUUAAGUUACAAGCCCAAUCCGCAUAGUUGCUCCCAUCAUCUUUCAGCUUGGUUUUCUCUAGGAACGCGAUGAAGUUGAAUGAGACAUUUGCGUUAGCCAUUGGAUCUACAAUAUUUGUAAAUACAAUUUUAGACUAAAUCCAUGAUAAUUAAGCUCAUCUAAUCAAAUUACUAAUGAACUCCCACUUAAAUCGACAUCCCUCUAGUCACCCAAGUGUUACAUGAUCCACGUCGACUAGCCCGUGUUCGGUCAUCACGUGAGACGGACUAGUCAUCAAUGGUGAGCAUCUCCAUGCUGAUCGUAUCAUCCAUACGACUCAUGUUCGACCUUUCGGUCUCCCGUAUUCGAGGCCACGUCUAUACAUGCUAGGCUCGUCGAGUCAACCUAAGUGUUUUGCGUGUGUAAAUCUGGCUUACACCCGUUGUAUGCAAAUGUUAGAAUCUAUCACACCUGAUCAUCACGUGGUAUUUCGAGAGAACAAUCCUUCGCAACGGUGCACACUUAGGGGAAUACUUAUCUCGAAAUUUUAUGAGGGGCCAACUUAUCUUUGCUACCUUCGUUCUAAGCAAUAAGAUGAAAAACAUGAUAAACAUCACAUGCAAUCAUAUAGUGACAUGAUAUGGCCAAUAUCAUCUUGCUCCUUUGAUCUCCAUCUUCGGGGCACCAUGAUCAUCAUUGUCACCGACAUGACACCAUGAUCUCCAUCAUCAUGAAAUCCAUCAUUGUGUAUUUGCGAAUUCGUCUCGCCAACUAUUACUUCUACUACUAUAGUUAACGGUUAACAAUAAAGUAAAGUAAUCGCAUGGUGUUGCAUCUCAUACAAUAAAUUAAGACAACUCCUAUGCUCCUGCCGGUUGUCAUAAUCAUCGACAUGCAAUUAGUGAAUCCUAUUACAAGAACAUGAUCAAUCUCAUACAUCACAUAUGUAACAUCACAUCCUUUUGGCCAUAUCACAUCACAUAACAUACCCUGCAAAAACAAGUUAGACGUCCUCUAAUUGUUGUUGCAAGUUUUACGUGGAUGAUUAGGGUUUCUAGCAAGAACGCUUCUUACCUACGUGACAGCCACAACGUUGAUAUGCCAAUGCUAUUUACCCAUCCACCACCUCUCAUUCAUAGAGGAAGCACUCAUAACACACAUACACUUUCUGUUGGAAAUAUGCCCUAGAGGCAACGAUAAAUAGUUAUUAUUAUAUUUCCUAUUUAACGAUAAUCAUUUAUUAUCCAUGCUAUAAUUGUAUUGAAUGAAAACAUAGAUACAUGUGUGGAUACAUAGCAAAACAAUGUCCCUAGCAAGCCUCUAGUUGGCUAGCCAAUUGAUCAAGGAUAGUCAAGGUUUUCUGGCUAUGUGCAAGUGUUGUCACUUGAUAAUUUGAUCACAUCAUUAGGAGAAUCAUGUGAUGGACUAGACCCAAACUAUGAACGUAGCAUAUUGAUCGUGUCGUUUUAUUGCUAUUGUUUUCUGCAUGUCAAGUAUUUGUUCCUAUGACCAUGAGAUCAUAUAACUCACUGGCACCGGAGGAAUACCUUGUGUGCAUCAAACGUCACAACAUAACUGGGUGACUAUAAAGGUGCUCUACAGGUAUCUCCAAUGGUGUCAGUUGAGUUAGUAUGGAUCAAGACUGGGAUUUGUCACUCCGUGUGACGGAGAGGUAUCUCGGGGCCCACUCGGUAAUACAACAUCACACACAAGCCUUGCAAGCAAUGUGACUAAGUGUAAGUCACGGGAUCUUGUAUUAUGGAAUGAGUAAAGAGACUUGCCGGUAACGAGAUUGAAAUAGGUAUGCAAAUACCGAUGAUCGAAUCUCGGGCAAGUAACAUACCGAAGGACAAAGGGAAUGAGAUACGGGAUUAUAUGAAUCCUUGACACUAAGGUUCAACCGAUAAGAUCUUUGAAGAAUAUGUAGGAUCCAAUAUGGGCAUCCAGGUCCCGCUAUUGGAUAUUGACCGAGGAGUACCCCGGGGCAUGUCUACAUAGUUCUCGAACCCGCAGGGUCUGCACACUUAAGGUUUGAUGAUAUUUUAGUAUAGUUGAGUUAUAUGUGUGGUUACCGAAUGUUGUUUGGAGUCCCGGAUGAGAUCACGGACGUCACGAGGGUUUCUGGAAUGGUCCGAAAACGAAGAUCGAUAUAUAGGAUGGUUUCAUUUGGUUAUCGGAAAGUUUCGGGCAAUUCCAACAGUGUACCGGGAGUGACGAAUGGGUUCCGGGAGUUCAUCGGGAGGGGCCCACCCACCCAAGAAUGAGCCCAAGGCCAUAGGGUGACGCCACAAGUCCCUAGUGUGCUGGUGGAGUCAGCCCAAGGGGCCCAUGGCACCACUUAAAGAAAUACCAAAAAGAAAAGAAAAAGAAAAGGAAAAAAGGGGAGGUGGGAAGGAAGGGGAGGACUCCUUCCCCAAACCGAAUUGGAGGAGGAGUCCUCCUCCUCCUUGGACGGUGCACCCCUUGAGGGCUUGGCCAUCAAGACAAGCCUCCUUCCCCUCCCUCCUAUAUAUAGUGGUCUUUUAGGGCUGAUUUGAGACAACUUUUGCCACGUGCAACUCAACCCUAGACCACAUAGUUCUACCUCUAGAUCGAAUUUCUGCGGAGCUCGGGCGGAGCCCUGCAGGGGUAGAUCAUCACCACCACCGGAGCGUCGUCACGCUGCCGGAGAACUCAUCUACUUCUCUGUCUUGCUUAUUGGAUCAAGAAGGUCGAGAUCAUCAUUGAGUUGUACAUGUGAUGAACGCGGAGGUGUCGUCCAUUCGGCACUAGAUCGGAACGGAUCGUGGGACGGAUCUCGGGACGGUUCGUGGGGCGGAUCGCGGACAUGAAGAUGUUCCACUACAUCAACUGUGUUUCUUAACGCUUCCUGUUGUGCGAUAUACAAGGGUACGUAGAUCCAAAUGUCCUCUCAUAGAUGGACAUCACCAUGAUAGGUCUUUGUGUGCGUAGGAAAUUUUUUGUUUCCCAAUCAACGUUCCCCAACAGUGGCAUCAUGAGCUAGGUUCAUACGUAGAUGUUAUCUCGAGUAGAACACAAAAGGUUUUGUGGACGGUGAUGUUCGAUUUGCUACCCUCCCUAGCGUUUUCUCGAUUUAGCGAUAUUGUUGGAUUGAAGCGGCCCGGACCGACAUUACUCGUACGCUUACGAGAGACUGGUUUCAUCGACUAACAUGCAACCUCGUUGCAUAAAGAUGACUGGCGGGUGUCAUUUUCUUCAACUUUAGUUGAAUUGGUUUUGACCGAGGCGGUCCUUGGAGACGUUAAAUAGCAAUUUGCACAUCUCCGUUGUGGGUUUUGCGUAAGUAAGAAGCGACCAUACUUGAUACCCAUAGCAACCACGUAAAACAUGCAACAACAAAUUAGAGGACGUCUAACAUGUUUUUGCGGGGUAUGCUUGUGAUAUGAUAUGGCCAAUGACAUGAUGUGAUAUAUUGGAUGUAUGAGAUGAUCAUGUUGUAAUAGUUAAUAUCGACUUGCACGUCGAUGCUACAGCAACCGGCAGGAGCCAUAGGGUUAUCUUUAAACUAACGUUUGUGUUUGCAGAUGCAUUUACUAUAUUGCUAGGACGUAGCUUUAGUAGUAAUAGCAUAAGUAGCACGAUAACCUCAAUGGUGACACGUUGAUGGAGAUCAUGAUGAUGGAGAUCAUGGUGUGGCGCCGGUGACAAGAAGAUCGUGUCGGUGCUUUGGUGUUGGAGAUCAAGAAGCACAUGAUGAUGGCCAUAUCAUGUCACUUAUGAAUUGCAUGUGAUGUUAAUCCUUUUAUGCACCUUAUUUUGCUUAGAACGACGGUAGCAUUAUGAGGUGAUCUCUCACUAAAAUUUCAAGACAAAAUUGUGUUCUCCCCGACUGUGCACCGUUGCUACAGUUCGUCAUUUCGAGACACCAUGUGAUGAUCGGGUGUGAUAGACUCAACGUUCACAUACAACGGGUGCAAAACAGUUGCACACGCGGAACACUAGGGUUAAGCUUGACGAGCCUAGCAUGUGUAGACAUGGCCUUGGAACACAUGAGACCAAAAGGUUGAGCAUGAAUCGUAUAGUUGAUAUGAUUUGCAUAGAGAUGCUUACCACUGAAACUAUUCUUAACUCACAUGAUGAUCGGACUUGAGUUAGUGAAUUUGGAUCAUGUACCACUCAAAUGACUAGAGAGAUGUACUUUUUGAGUGGGAGUUUAGCAAGUAAUUUGAUUAGUUAAACUCUAAUUAUCUUGAACAUAGUCUAAGUCCACGUUGAAAUAUUUGUGUUGUAGAUCAAUGGCUCAUGCGACAGUCACCCUGAAUUUUAAUACGUUCCUAGGGAAAGCUAGGUUGAAAGAUGAUGGAAGCAACUUUGUAGACUGGGCUCGUAAUCUUAAGUUGCUCCUGCAAGCUGGGAAGGAGGAUUAUGUCCUUAAUGCUGCGCUAGGAGAUGAACCACCCGCUACGGCUGACCAAGAUGUUAAGAACACUUGAUUAACACGUAAGGAGGACUACUCAGUAGUUCAAUGUGCAGUCUUGUAUGGCUUAGAGCCGGGACUUCAACGUCGCUUUGAGCGUCAUGGAGGAUUUGAGAUGUUCCAGGAGUUGAAGUUUAUCUUUCAGAAGAACGCCCGGAUCGAGAGGUAUGAGACCUCUGAUAAAUUCUAUGCUUGCAAGAUGGAGGAGAAUUCGUCUGUCAGUGAACAUGUGCUCAAAAUGUCUGGAAAAUCAAACUGUCUAGCUGAGCUCGGGAUUGAACUCCCGCAAGAGGCUAUCACUGACAGAAUUCUUCAAUCACUGACACCAAGCUACAAGAGCUUUGUGUUGAACUAUAACAUGCAAGGGAUGAACAAGUCACCCGGCGAGUUAUUCGCGAUGCUGAAAUUCACAGAGUCAGAACUCCGUAAAGAGCAUCAAGUGUUGAUGGUGAAUAAGACCACUAGUUUCAAUAGAAACGGCAAAGGAAAGAAGGAUAAUUCCAAGAAGAGCGGAAGGCCUGUUGCCAAUCCGACGAAGAAACCCAAAGUUGGACCUAAGCCUGAAACAGAGUGUUAUUAUUGCAAGGGUAUGGAUCACUGGAAGCGCAACUGCCCCAAGUAUUUGCCUGAUAAGAAGGCGGCCAAGGAAAAAUCAGGUAUAUUCGAUAUACAUGUUAUUGAUGUGUACUUAACGAGCUCUUGUAGUUUUGCCUGGGUAUUCGAUACCGGUUCUGUUGCUCAUAUUUGCAACCCGAAAUAGGAACUAUGGAAUAAGCGAAGGCUGGCGAAGGAUGAAGUGACGAUGCGCGUAGGAAAUGGUUCCAAGGUUGAUGCAAUCACCGUCGGCAUAGUUUCACUUCAGUUACCAUCAGGAUUAGCUAUGAACUUAAAUAAUUGUUAUUUAGUGCCUGCGUUACAGCAUGAACAUUAUAUCUGGAUCUUGUUUAUUGCAAGACGGUUACUCGUUUAAGUCAGAGAAUAAUGACUCUUCUAUUUCUACGAGUAAUAUCUUUUAUGGUCAUGCACCCAAUGUGAGAGGAUUGUUAAUAUUGAAUCUUGAUAGCGGAUAUACACAUAUACAUAACAUUGAGACCAAAAGAGCUGGAGUUAACAAUGAUAGCGCCUUGUUUUUGUGGCACUCCCGCUUAGGUCAUAUUGGUGUAAAGCGCAUGAAGAAACUCCAUUCCGAUGGACUUUUGGAGUCACUUGACUUUGAUUCACUUGACACGUGCGAACCAUGCCUCAUGGGCAAGAUGACUAGGACUCCGUUCUCCGGAACAAUGGAGUGUGCAAGUGACUUAUUUGAAAUCAUACAUACCGAUGUGUGUGGUCCGAUGAGUGUGGAGGCGCGCGAUCGGUAUCGUUAUUUUCUCACCUUCACUGACGAUUGAGUAGAUAUGGUUAUUUCUACUUGAUGAAGCACAAGUCUGAAACGUUUCAGAAGUUCAAGCAAUUUCAGAAUGAAGUCAAAAAUCAUCGUAACAAGAAGAUCAAGUUCCUACGGUCUGAUCGUGGGGGUGAAUAUCUGAGUUUCGAGUUUGGUGCUCACUUAAGAAAAUGUGGAAUUGUUUCACAGUUGACACCGCCUGGAACACCACAGUGUAAUGGUGUGUCCGAACGUCGUAAUUGUACUUUAUUAAAGAUGGUGUGAUCUAUGAUGUCUCUUACCGAUUUGCCGUUAUCGUUUUGGGGUUAUGCAUUAGUGUGACACCCUGAAUUUGAUGCUAUAGUAAUCUGAGGAUUAAACUAAUCCAAUUAUGAUCACUGUUGGAAUCAACCCUGAUUCAAAUCUCUUGCAAUUCAAAAUCAUUUGAAAAGUGAAAUUUAAAAGUUUUGCAAACCAGUAAAUAAAAAUCAUGCAUAGGUUUCAAAUAUUCGCUCAGAAUUUCUAGAAAUGCAAAACACAUCUUUGCAAAUGUUUAGGUGCCCCUAAAACCAUUUAACAGAUUCGAGAACAAUUAUUAAGUGCCUUUUGGGAUUAUAUUAUUUUCUAUCAUUUUCAAAAGGUCCCCAAAUUUAAUUGUGGCUAUACAAAUAUUGCAAUGCACAUAUUGGGCAUGUUCACUUAUUGUUGUAAUGGUCAUUUUUUACUAAUCUUUAAAACAUAAUAGUCUAAUUAAAAAGGUUUUAAAAAAUAAUAAAAAUAAAUCCCCGGUCCAACUAGGCCAAUCGGCCGAGCAGGCCGGCCAACCCCUACAACCCAUCCACCUGGGGGUAUAAGACCCCCAGGGAAACCCUAGCGCUACCCCCUCCCAUUUUUCCCACCCCGCCGCCAGGGAACCGAGCCCCUAGCUCGAUCCCCACCAACCCUCCCGCGCCAGACCCCCAACUCCCCUCGAUCUCUCUCCCUCCCCUCGUUUCCCAGUAUCAGACCUAAGCCCCCACCGAGCCUCUCCCUCACCCCCUCGUCAGCCGUGUCUCCCUCCCCACCGAGCAGCUCGAGGGCCUCCCCUCGCCGGCCACCACCACCGGCCCGGGCUCCUUCUUCGACCCCCCCUCAUCGGCCCUCCUUCACUCCCGUGCCGGAUCCACCGCGCCGCCACGUCGCCUCGCCCGCGACCCUACACCCGCCCCGCUGGCACCCUCUCCCCUGGAGGCUUCCCUCGACCCGGUCGAUCUAGGCCAUUCCCGCCACCGCUGCCGGCCACGGCGGGCACCACCUCGCCCUCUCCCCAGUCGGCUUUGUCAAGCCUCGCCGCUCGCCUCCUCUCCAACGCACGUGAGCCCCUCGGGCUCCUCCCACCCCUCUCAUCUCCCUCCACUUCGUCUACCACUCCGCCGACCCCGACCCCAUGAGCCUCUAGCCGCUGCGCUGCCCCUUGCCGGCCACCGCUACAACUGCGCAUGCUCAGCCGUGCAUGCCCCCCCCCGCUCGCUGCUAUUAUGCAUUGCUGCUGUGCUGCGCUACCUGUUGUUGCUUUGUGCUGCUGCUUCCCGCUGGCGCUGCCCCGCGAGCAUCCCGGUGCGCCUCCUACCGCCUAUCGCCCGCACUCGCCACCCCUCCCUACUCCCUGUGGCGACAAUAGCUCUUUCCCCGUUGGCGGCCCUCGCCACCUCCCCAUCGGCUGCUGAGGGUUGUGACAACCCUCGCGUUGUUUUGGUUAAUGGGGAUUGAAGCCCCCCACUAACCCAACUCACACAUGAGGCCCACACCCCCUACUAAUUAAAAUGUUUUAAUAAUAAUAAUAAUAAUAAUAACAUAAGUAAAUAAUUAUUAAUUAACUUAAUUAGAGUAAUUAGAUGAAUUUAACAUUAGAUAAGUUAAGCUAAGUAUGACAUGUGGGCCCAUCCAAAUUUUAGAAUUAAUUAAAUCUCUUAUUUAAACUUGAUAUUUAUUUUAGAUUAAAUAGACAGUGACAUGUGGGUCCAUCCCCCUAAAUUAGUUAAUUAAAUUAAACUAAACCCUAUUUAAACCUGAGUCUCUGUCACAAGGGCCCCACGAGUCAGUUCGACCAGUCAACUGUUGAUGUCANNNNNNNNNNNNNNNNNNNNNNNNNNNNNNNNNNNNNNNNNNNNNNNNNNNNNNNNNNNNNNNNNNNNNNNNNNNNNNNNNNNNNNNNNNNNNNNNNNNNNNNNNNNNNNNNNNNNNNNNNNNNNNNNNNNNNNNNNNNNNNNNNNNNNNNNNNNNUCAUGUUGAUGUCAUAAUUGCUUUUAAUCAAUUUAAUUAAAUCUGUUUUUAAUUCCUAAAUAUUUAAUAAAACUUUAAAAAAUAAUAUAAAACAAUUCGUAAGUCAGAUCAAAAUAUUUUUAACAUGAAAGUUGAUCAGCAGAACGAGACGAACCCGGAUACACGGUCCGUUCGUUUGUCACGCGUCCCUAGCAUAGCAAACAUGGAACUUUUCCAUCAUUUCUCGUCCGACUAGUAGUAGCCAGAGACCCAGAAAAUAUCAUCAGAUAUUCUUCCGAUCCGUCUAUGGCGGAUGUUGGUGCGUUAGCUCAUGUCUAGCUUGCAUCUUGCCAUGUCAUGCAUUGUGUUGCACCGUUGCUAUUAUUUAUUGUUUCUUCCCCCUCUUCUUACCGGUAGACCCCGAGACUGACGCUGCUGCCGGGUACAUCUACGACCAUGCAGAUCAGUCCUUUGCCGCAGAGCAGCAAGGCAAGAAAACCCCCUUUGAUCAUUCCUAUAUCGCCUAUGUCUUUCUUCCUACUGCUUGCAUUAGUAUUUUGCUAUUGUUGUAGUUAGCUCCUAUAUCUGAUGCAUAGCCUAUUUUUGAUGAACUGCUGUUUUCAGUACUGUACUUUAAAUCUUCUUAGUAUAGGUGGAGCAGUCACCCCCUCUGACCCCGUAGUGCAGUUGCCCCGCUUGUUUUCAGAUCUCGUUCCCUGAUCGAUGAGCCAGACCCGACACAACAUAUACACCCCCCUUAGUUGUACGACGCUACAGAGAUACUAUCGGGAACCGAGGGUGACACCUCGCUAAGUACUCCUGAUGAUAUCUCUGUAGUAUAGCUAGUCGGUCGUGGUUAUGGAGGGUGAUUCCUCUUUCACCAUUCCCGACGAUGCCUCUGUCGUGCAACCCCUCAAGUCUGGGACUAAUACGUCUCCAUCGUAUCUACUUUUCCAAACUCUUUUGCCCUUGUUUUGGACUCUAAUUUGCACGAUUUGACUGGAACUAACCCGGACUGACGUUGUUUUUAGCAGAACUGCCAUGGUGUUGUUUUUGUGCAGAAAUGAAAGUUCUCGAAACGUCCUGAAAAUUUACGGAGAAUAUUUCUAGAAAAUUUGAAAAAUACGUGUGCAAAGAUCCACCGGAGGAGACGGGCCAGUGGGCCACAAGCCCUGUAGCCGCGGCCUCCCCCCUAGUCGCGGCUACCAAGCUUGUGGGGCCCACGUGGCUCCGCCGCCCCUAAUUCCAGCGCUAUUUAUUCCCUUUCGUCCCGGAAAAAAUCAAGAUAGAGGAGUUCAUCGCGUUCCACGAUCCAGAGGCGCCGCCACAUCCCGUUCUUGCCCUGGAGGGCAGAUCUGGAGUCUGUUUUGGGCUCCGGAUCAAGGAGAUCGUCGCCGUCGUCAUCAUCAACCUUCUUCCCUCUCCAAUUCCAUGAAGCUCUUCAUCGUUCGUGAGUAAUCUAUUCGUAAGCUCGCUGGGCGGUGAUGAGAUCUAUCAUGAAAUCGAGUUAGUUUUGACGGGGAUUGAUCCCUAGUAUCCACUAUGUUCUAAGAUUGAUGUUGCUACUACUUUUCCAUGCUUAAUGCUUGUCACUAGGGCCCGAGUGCCAUGAAUUGAGAUCUGAAAUUAUUAUGGUUUCACCAAUAUAUGUGUGUUUUAGAUCCGAUCUUGCAAGUUUUAGUUACCUACUAUGUGUUAUGAUCCGGCAACCCCGGAGUGACAAUAACGAGAACCAUUCCCGGUGAUGACCAUAGUUUGCGGAGUUCAUGUGUUCACCAAGUGCUAAUGCGUUGGUCCGGUUCUUUAUUAAAAGGAGAACCUUAAUAUCCCGUAGUAUCCAUUUGGACCCCGCUGCCACGGGAGGGAUGGACAAUAGAUGUCAUGCAAGUUCUUUUCCCUAAGCAUGUAUGACUACACACGGAAUGCAUGCCUACAUCACAUUGACGAACGGAAGCUAGCCACAUAUCUCUCCGUGUUAUAACUGUUGCAUGAUGAAUGUCAUCCAACAAAUCACCGAUCCAUUGCGUACGAGUUUGUCCCACUUCUGCUAUUACUACUGUUGCUGUUACUUGCUUUGCUCUGCUACUGUUACUUGCUUUGCUCUGUUGCUGUUACUUGCUUUGCUCUACUGUUGUUACUACUGUUGCUGCUAUUGUUACUUGCUUUGUCCUGCUGCUGCUGUCACUACUAUUGCUACUGCUGUUAGUUGCUACUGCUGCUACUUGCUACUGCUGUCACUAUUGAUGUUCCUUGCCACUGUUGUUACUCGUUACACUGCUACUACCUACUACAAUACUUUUCUGGCGCCAUUAAUACUUCAGUUAGGAAUAAUUUGCCGUCAACAGAUUCUUUCCUAGCACCGUUGCUAUCAUACUACCUUUGCUGCUUAUAUCCUGCUUGCAGAUACUAAUCUUUCAGGUAUGGUUGAGCCGACAACUCAACUGCUAAUACUGGAGAAUAUCCUUUCACUACCAUCGUGUCGAACCAACAAAUUUGGGUUGAAUACUCUACCCUCGAAAACUGCCGCGAUCCCACACUCUAGUGGGCCAUUGCAACACAAUUGCUAAUUGUUGAGCAACUGGAAGCAGCUCUUUUCUGGCGCCGUUGCCGGGGAAGGGAAGCAGGGACCCCCGAGGGUGAUUCCUCUAAGCCCACCUUGACGGAUACAUCGUUCGUAAUCCAAUGAGGGUGAUACCUCGGAUUCCCCCCGGUGUUACAACCACACAGUUACUCGAUCAUGUUACUCGUAUCAUUGGUGAUUAGUUGUUAAGACGGGUGGAUUCCCGUGAGAUUGUGUCGAUGGCCUAAUUAAAAUGUUAAUAGAUUUGGGUAUUUGAUCUGGGUUCGUUGGAGACCUUUUCGCACUAACCGUCUGCGUGGGAAGAAUUAUGGGUACUCGACGUCGCAGUAUCAGCCGAAGCUCUUCAGACGUCAGCGAUGAAGCAGCGCGCGCCCCAGUGGUCCUGAGAUGCAUCGCGCUUGUGGUUAAAGGGUGCUAGGACUGACGUCGGCCUCCCUCGUAUCAUGUAGGAGCGCGGAGGGGACCUGGGCCCACGAACCCUCUAUGCUUAGGAUUAAGACCGGCGGGCUGGCCUCGUUGCUGAGCUUAGGUGGGGCUGCGACGUGUAGAUAUUCCAAGGCCGGGCAGGACCCAGAAAAGUGUGUCCGGCCAGAGUGUUAUCGAGCGCGUCGGUACAUGUGCUGCACCCCUGCAGAGAUGAAAAUUAGCUAUUCGAAUAGCCGUGUCCACGGUUACAGGACGACUUGGAGUUGUGCCCUGAUCUUUGAUACGUCUCCGUCGUAUCUACUUUUCCGAACUCUUUUGCCCUUGUUUUGGACUCUAAUUUGCAUGAUUUGAAUGGAAGUAACCCGGACUAACGCUGUUUUCAGCAAAAUUGCCAUGGUGUUGUUUUUGCACAGAAAUAAAAGUUCUCGGAAUGACCUGAAAAUUAACGGAGAAUUUUUCUGGAAUUAAUGAAAAAUACUGGCGCAAGAAUCAGCGGGAGAGGUGGAGCCGUGCGCCCACAAGCCCACCAUGCCCCCCCUGGCCGAGCCUGGCAGGCUUGUGGGGCCCACAAAGCUCCACCGCCUCUCAAUCCAGCUCUAUAUAGUCCGUUUCGUCCGGAAAAAAUUCAGAGAGAAGGAUUCAUCGCGUUUUACGAUACGGAGGUGCCGCCACCUCCUGUUCUUCAUCUGGAGGGCAGAUCUGGAGUCCGUUCUGGGCUCCGGAGAGGGGAGAUCGUCGCCAUCGUCAUCAUCAACCUUCCUCCAUCGCCAAUUCCAUGAUGCUCUUCACCGUUCGAGAGUAAUCUCAUCGUAGGCUUGCUGGACGGUGAUGGGUUGGAUGAGAUCUAUGAUGUAAUCGAGUUAGCUUUGACGGGGAUUGAUCCCUAGUAUCCACUAUGUUCUCAGAUUGAUGUUGCUACUAUUUGCCAUGCUUAAUGCUUGUCACUAGGGCCCAAGUGCCAUGAUUUUAGAUCUGAACCUAUUAUGUUGUCGCCAAAAUAUGUGUGUUUUAGAUCCUAUCUUGCAAGUUGUAGUCACCUACUAUGUGUUAUGACCCGGCAACCCCGGAGUGACAAUAGCCGAAACCACUCGUGGAGAUGACCAUAGUACGAGGAAUUCAUGUAUUCACCAAGUGUUAAUGCGUUGGUCCGGUUCUUUAUUAAAAGGAGAACCUUAAUAUCCCGUAGUUUCCAUUAGGACCCUGCUACCACGGGAGGGAUUGACAAUAGAUGUCAUGCAAGUUCUUUUCCCUAAGCACGUAUGACUACAUAUGGAAUACAUGCCUACAUUAGAUUGACGAAUGGGAGCUAGUUACAUAUAUCUCCGUGUUAUAGUUGUUACAUGAUGAAUUGCAUCCGGCAUAGUCAUCCAUCACCGAUCCAAUGCCUACGAGUCUCUUACUACUGGUCCUUGCUAUGUUACUUUGUCGCUACUACUGUCACUGCUGCUACUGUUACUCUGUUGCUAUUGUUCUUGCUUUGUUGCUACUGCUGUCACCUUGCUGCUACUGGUUACUGUUGCUACUGCUGCUAUGAUACUACUUUGCUACUGAUACUUUGCAGCAGACACUAAAUCUUUCAGGUGUGGUUGAAUUGACAACUCAACUGCUAAUACUUGAGAAUAUUCUUUCGCUUCCGCUUGAGUCGAAUCAAUAAAUUUGGGUUGAAUACUCUACCCUCGAAAACUGUUGCAAUCCUCUAUACUUGUGGGUUAUCAAGACCUUUUUCUGGCGCCAUUGCCAGGGAAGCACAACUAUAUUCUCUGAGUCACUUGGGAUUGACGUCUGCUGGUCACUAUGAGGAAUCCGAAAGAUCCAAGAAUAGAAAUCUUGCCCUCAACUACGAGGACAGGUAAGGAACUGCCAUCUAGCUCUGCACUUGAUUCACCUUCAGUUAUGAGUAAGUUUGCGACAUCGCCUCCUCCUAGAAAUCUUGAUAUGUUGCAUGUGCUUGAUGAUGCUACUUCUGCUGCCCAUGAUGCUUAUGAUGCUAUGCUUGAUACUGCUUUGCCUGAUGAUGCCAUGCUUGAUACUGCUUUGCCACUAGGUGCAUUCCUUGAUGCACAAACUGCUAGAUGUGAUGAUACUUCUGAAACUGCUGAUACUAUUGAAGUAGAACCUGCUAUUUUCCCUGUUAGAACUAGCUCUCCUAGACAUAAAUUGCUUGAUAAGCCUGAGCAUUAUGUUAUGGAGGGAGAGAUAGCUGAGGACUUUCUUGCGUGUAAGGAUAGCUAUGAUGUUGAGAAAUCACUGCUCAAGUGGAAAGAAAAAUCUCUAAACGCUAGGAUGAAAUACGACCCGAAGUUUGCUACUUCGCCUAUCUUUGUGACCGAUAAGGAUUAUGAAUUCUCUGUCGACCCUAAGUUAAUCACUCUGGUCAAAUCAGAUCCUUUUCACGGUUAUGAGUCUGAAACGGUUGUAGCCCAUCUUACCAAACUGCACGAUAUAGCCACCCUAUUCACUAGUGAGGAAAAGAUCCGCCACUAUCUAUAUCCUCAAGUUGUUUCCUUUCUCGCUAAAGGAUGAUGCUAAGACUUGGUUCACUUCUCCUAGUUGUGUGCGUAGCCCCCAGAAUAUGGUCUACUACUUCUCUGAAAAAUAUUUCCCUGCCCAUAAGAAGAAAGCUGCCUUGCAGGAAAUAUAUAACUUUGCUCAAGCUGAAGAAGAGAGUCUCCCACAAGCUUGGGGGAGGCUCGUCCAGCUACUGAAUGCUUUGCCUAAUCACCCUCUUGAGAAGAAUGAAAUACUUGAUAUCUUCUAUAAUGGACUUACCGAUGCUUCUAAAGACCACCUAGAUAGUUGUGUUGGUUUUGUUUUUAGGGAACGAACCGUAGAACAAGUUGAGAUCCUAUUGAAUAACAUAUUGUGCAAUGAGAAUGCUUGGACUAUUCCCGAACCACCUCCUAAGCCAACUCCGAAGAAAAGAGGUAUUCUAUUCCUCAGCCCUGAAGAUAUGCAAGAAGCUAAGAAAUCUAUGAAAGAGAAAGGCAUUAAAUCUGAAGAUGUCAAAAAUCUACCACCUAUCAAAGAGAUCCAUGGUCUUGAUAACCCUAUACAGGUAGUAGAAGUAAAUUCUCUGAGUAGGUUUGAUGAGAGUGAUAUUACUUUUGAUAAACCUGCUAACCUAUGCGUGGAUGAAUUUGAUAACUUUGUUGCCAAACAACAGAGUUUCAUUGAUUAUGUUAGCACACAAUUGGAAUAGAAUGCUCGUAUGCUUAGUCAUUUAAGUGCUUGUGUGGACAGAAACAUCAAUGAUCUUAAGCUCCUGAGUAAACAUGCCUCUAUGGUUACUACUCAGGUAGAACAAGUACUUAAAGCUCAGAAUGACUUGCUCAAUGAGUUGAAUGACUUGCUCAAUGAGUUGAAUGACAAUUCUGUCAGAGUUGUUACUAGAGGCGGUAGAAUGACCCAGGAACCUUUGUAUCCUGAGGGUCAUGCUAAGAGAAUUGAACAAGAUUCUCAAGGAGUUAGCACUGAUGCACCUAGUCAUCCUAGAAAGAAGAAGAAAGAUGAUAGGAACUUGCACGCUAGCAGCCCUGUUGCUGCUACACCUGAGAGUCCAAACGAUGCCUCUGUUUCCGAUGCUGAAACACAAUCUGGUGAUGAACAUGAGCCUAAUGAUAAUAUCAAUAGUGAUGUUCAUGAAGAUGCUCAACCUAGCAAUGAAAAGGAUGUGGAGAUUGAACCUGUUGAUCUUGAUAACCCACAACCUAAGAAUAGAAGAUAUGAUAAGAACGACUUCGCUGGUAGGAAGCAUGGUAAAGAAAGGGAACCAUGGGUUCAGAAACCCAUGCCCUUUCCUCCCAAACCAUCCAAGAAAAAGGAUGAUGAGGAUUUUGAGCGAUUUGUUGAAAUGAUUAGACUUGUCUUUCUACAAAUGCGUUUGACAGAUAUGCUCAAAAUGUCUAUGUAUGCUAAGUACAUGAAAGAUAUUGUGACUAAUAAGAGGAGGAUACCUGAGGUUGAGAUUUCCACCAUGCUUCUAACUAUGCCUUCAAGGGUGGAACUCCUAAGAAACUAGGUGAUCCCGGUGUGCCCACUAUACCUUGCUCCAUUAAAGGUAACUACGUUAGAACUACUUUAUGCGACCUUGGAGCCGGUGUUAGUGUUAUGCCUCUCUCUCUCUUUAUCGUAGACUUGAACUGGAUAAUCUGACACCCACUGAAAUCUCUCUGCAAAUGGACGACAAAUCAACUGCUUUCCCUAUCGGCAUUUGCGAGAAUGUGCCUCUUGUGGUUGCUAAUGUCACUAUCUUAACAGACUUUGUUAUCUUGGAUAUUCCCGAGGACGAUGCCAUGGCGGUCAUCCUCGGAAGACCCUUUCUUAACACUAAAGGGGUUGUUAUAGAUUGCAACAAAGGCAAUUUCACUUUCCAUGUUAACGGUAAUGAGCAUACGGUGCACUUUCCGAAGAAACAAUAUCGAGUACAUUGCAUCAAUGCUAUCGAAAAAACUUCAUCGAUUCUGAUAGGGAGCUUUGAAUGCCCUAUACCUCGUGUCAAGAUGAAGUAUGAUUUGCUUGUCGGGGAGAUACACAUACCCAUUGAGGUGACUUGGUGACUAUUCGAAAAUUCUCCGUUCUCUUUUGCAUUCGAAAAAGUUUGUCAAGGAGACUUGAUCAACCUCAUCGACGGAUUUCUUUCGAUGACCAUGAGAUGGACGAAUCGAGGAGUCACAAACCUCUGUUCCAAGCUUUCACCUUCGGUUGCUUAGAAGAAAAAUGAUAGGUUUAGUUUAGUUUUCCCUGUUUUCUGUUUUAGCGUCCGGUAGAAAAGUACCCCGAAAAUAAAAGUUCUCCGAACGUCCUGAAAAUCAAGUAUGACUUUUUCUAGAUUUUUUGAAAAAUACUAAGACAAAGAGCUUGUCUGGGGGCUGCACCAGUGGGCCACAAGCCCUUGAGGCGCGGGCACCCCCCUGGCCGUGCCGACCUGGCUUGUGGGGCCCACGUGCACCCCCUCCACUCAUUCUUGCUCUUAUCUGCUUCUCCUACCUCCAGAAAAAAUCGUUUCGCAGCUCAAACCCAUGUUCUUGCUCCUCUUGUUGGGAUUUUCGAUCUCUUUGCUCCAAGCACCAUUCUCCGAACUAUUUUGGGGAAAUUACUCCUUGGUAAGUGACCCCUCCAUUGGUCCAAUUAGUUUUUGCUCUAGUGCCUUAUACUUCGCGUAUUUUUGCUGCCUUGGUGACCAUGUUCUUGAGCUUUGCAUGCUAACUCUAGCUGGUCCCAAGUGGUUUUGAUGCGUAAUAUGGCCUCUAGGCACUUGUGGGAGUAGUUGCUAAGAGUUUCGUUGAGCCUUAUUCACUUUUCCUUAGAAUCACUAAAAAUUUCAGAAAUUUUCAAAGAUAGAAAAGGGAAAAGAUUAGGAGGUUCUUUAGAGGCUCUUCAAGCCGUGACCCCAAGGAUAAUGGAAGUGAGAAGAAGCCCAAGUAUCUGGUCCCUCGAGUCGCAGAAGUUCAAGCGUGCGAGUGGCCAAGCGACGUGUUCUUACGCGCCUCUAGACUUUAUGAGGACUUUUAUCACUUGGUGGAAAACGCAGGCCUUACUGCCUUAGUUGAAGAUAAGUGUCCGCAAUACCUCCUCCUCACUAAUAUCUUUGUACGAAGCUUUAACUUCUAUCCGAGGAAGAAUCCUCCUAUGGUUGAGUUCAAACUUUAUGAUAUCCCCGAGCGCAUGUCACUCCAGGAUUUUUGCAAUGUUUGCAAAUUACCUUACGUUGGGGAUAUUCAUGAACCUCGUCCACGGGACUUGGAAGCUUUCAUCGAUACAAUUGCUGUAGGAGAGGAGAAAGGAGUGUCUUGCGCUAGAGCUGCUAGCAUUCAUUUUCCCGAGGUUCGGUACUUCUCAUUAUUCGUUGGAAAAUGUUUGAUUGGUCGUGGGAAAGUUGGUUCACUUAGUUCCCCAGAUCUUGCGGUCUUGCGCGAAGCCCUUUAUAAUGAUAAAACUUAUAGCUUGGGCGCUAUAGUAGCUCAACGGUUGAACACGAACCAUUCUAAAGGCAUUGUCUAUGGAGGUAUCUAUGCUACUCGUCUUGCUAGACACUUUGAGAUACCUAUUAGACUAGAGGAGGAAGAAGAGAUUCUUCUUCCCGAGAGAUAUCUGGAUUACAAUAGCAUGGUUCGUCAUGACUUUCUUGAUAGAGAUAUAAAUAGAAGGAUGAUUUAUAACCUGGUAUUUAGUCAGGGUACUCGUGAGACUAUUACUUAUCCUGCUCCUUGUUUAUUCAAUCUUCAUGCAGGCAUGUACAUUAUUAUGCCCUCAGACAUCUACGCAUAUUGGGGCUUAGCCCAACCAAAGGUGCUCGUGCCCGAGCCACCAGUCGAGUACCAGACGCCAGUUUAUCAGUGGGAGCGAGAGGAGCUCACACAGCAGUGGCAUCCUCAGUCCACUCCGGAGUACCCCGGAUCUGGUUAUUUCCCUCCUUGGGAGUAGACCAACUUAGGCCAAAAGUCUAAGCUUGGGGGAGUACGUGUUUCUCACCGACUUUACAUUCUUGCUUAUGCUUUCACUUUGUUCGUCGGUGUUCACACUUUGCCACUGUAUCAUCCAUGCUAGUUUAUUUUCCUUUUUCUUGUUUUCUUUUUGUGUGUCUGUCUAGUUUGAGAAAACCCAAAAAGAUUUUCUUUUUCUUCUUUUGCUUGUUGGGAGCUUUCCCGUGUAAAUAGUUUUCUUUUUCUUUGGGUCAAGGUAGAAGAUCAUGGUUACAAUGUUUAGCAGCUCUCGCAUGCAUAUCUGUUUAUCUGUUAAAAGAGCCAUAUUACUUUGUCUUCUCCUUUGUGUUUGCCUUCAGGUUCCAGCUUUAGUCCAAUGCAUGAGCACGCUUAUUAUUGUUCACAUCGUUCGGUCGUGCAAGUGAAAGGCAAUAAUGACGAUAUAUGAUGAAGUGACUGAGCCUGGAAAACCUGGUAUGAACUCGAUCUAUUUUGUUUUUGUAAAUAUGACUAGCUCAUCGUGCUUGAUUCAGCUUUGUUGUGAGAGAAACAUGUUUGUAAUGACAACUUAGAGAUCAUAGUUGCUUAUGCCAUGCUUACUUAGCUAGGAGCUUAUAAUGGGCUGUCUUGGAUACCCACAUGAAUAUUGAGAUGACUAUGAUGUGGUAUGAUAGGAUGGUAUCCUCCUUUGAAUGAUUCAAGUGGCUUGACUUGGUGCAUGUUCAUGCAUGUAGUUGAAACAAAAUCAUAAUAGCCUCUAUGAUGUUCAUGUUCAUGGUGAUUUAUGUUCUACUCAUGCUUGCACUCAGUGUUAGUUAAUCUCAAUGCAUUUUGAUGACUGUUGUCGCUCUCUAGUUUGUCGCUUCCCAGUCUUUUGCUAGCCUUCACUUGUACUAAGCGGGAAUACUGCUUGUGCAUCCAUCUCCAUAAACCCAAAGUUGUUCCAUAUGAGUCCACCAUACCAACCUAUAUGCGGUAUCUACCUGCCGUUCCAAGUAAAUUUGCAUGUGCCACUCUCUAAACCUUCAAGAAAUAAUCUGUUUUGCAUGCCCGAACCGCUCAUGUGGUGACAGGGAGCUAUCAGUAUCUUCCAUGCUAGGCGUGUUAUCCUUGAUAUGUGUUUAUUCACUAUCAUUCACGAGAAAGGGGUCGGUAAUUGGAAUUCCCAGUUCCAUGUUCAAAUCGAAAAGAUAAUUGCAAACAAAACUCCCCCUGGAUUGAUGUUGGUAUGGACGGCACCCGAGUAUUCGGCUAGUCGUGGAGUGUGAUUGAUUGGUGAUGGGGGAGUCAAAACUUUACUUUUCUGUUUGGGAACCACCUAUAGCAUGUGUAGCAUGGAAGAUGGUGAGAACUCUUAGUCAUUGUGUUGACGAUGAAAGCAUGCCACCCAAAAUUAUUAUCUCUGUUUUCAAAGCUUGAGCUCUGGCACCUGUGCAAAUCAAUGCUUCCCUCUGCGAAGGGCAUGUCUAUUUAUGUUCAUGUUGAGUCAUCCUCCUCUUAUAAAAGCACCAAUUAGAGAGCACCUCUGUCAUUUUUAUGCUUUGCUUUUAAUUGUGUUGAGUAUGACUGUGACUGGAUCUUCUUUGCCAUGAAUUACAAUGUUUAGUCAGCCCUUGGUCUUUGAAGAUGCUCUGCAUUUAUGUUUUGCGGUCUCAGAAAGAGCUAGCGGGAUACCAUAUGUUCAUACUGCUUCAUGAUUGUUUUGAUUGAAGUGUUGAAGUUUGAGACUUAUUAUUAUUUGCUUGAUAGUUGAUUAUGCCAUUGAUAUGAGUUUACCGUGAGAUCUAGAUGUCAUUUGCUUAUGUGGUUAGCUUGUGAUCUUGCUGAAAUUCUGGUUAUGAGUUAGACAUAGUUGGAACAAUAAGAUCAAACAGAGUUCAUCAAAGUUUUUCUUUUGUCUCUUUCAAUUUGUCAACUAAAUUGCUUGAGGACAAGAAAGGCUUUAAGCUUGGGGGAGUUGAUACGUCUCCGUCGUAUCUACUUUUUCGAACUCUUUUGCCCUUGUUUUGGACUCUAAUUUGCAUGAUUUGAAUGGAACUAACCCAGACUAACGUUGUUUUUAGCAGAAUUGACAUGGUGUUGUUUUUGCGCACAAAUAAAAGUUCUCGGAAUGACCUGAAAUUUUACGGAGAAUUUUUCUGGAAUUAAUGAAAAAUACUGGCGCAAGAAUCAGCGGGAGAGGUGGAGCCGUGAGCCCACAAGCCCNNNNNNNNNNNNNNNNNNNNNNNNNNNNNNNNNNNNNNNNNNNNNNNNNNNNNNNNNNNNNNNNNNNNNNNNNNNNNNNNNNNNNNNNNNNNNNACCAGGCGCGCCCCCCCCCCCCCGCCCCCCCCCCCCCCNNNNNNNNNNCCCCCCAGGCCCCCCCCCCCCCCCCCUGGCCGCGCCUGGCAGGCUUGUGGGGCCCACAAAGCUCCACCGCCUCUCAAUCCAACUCUAUAUAGUCUGUUUCGUCCGGAAAAAAAUCAAAGAGAAGGAUUCAUUGCGUUUUACGAUACGGAGGCGCCGCCACCUCUUGUUCUUCAUCUGGAGGGCAGAUCUGGAGUCCGUUCUGGGCUCCGGAGAGGGGAGAUCGUCGCCAUCGUCAUCCGCAACCUUCCUCCAUCGNNNNNNNNNNNNNNNNNNNNNNNNNNNNNNNNNNNNNNNNNNNNNNNNNNNNNNNNNNNNNNNNNNNNNNNNNNNNNNNNNNNNNNNNNNNNNNNNNNNNNNNNNNNNNNNNNNNNNNNNNNNNNNNNNNCAACCUUCCUCCAUCGCCAAUUCCAUGAUGCUCUUCACCGUUCGAGAGUAAUCUCAUCGUAGGCUUGCUGGACGGUGAUGGAUUGGAUGAGAUGUAUCAUGUAAUCGAGUUAGUUUUGACGGGGAUUGAUCCCUAGUAUCCACUAUGUUCUAAGAUUGAUGUUGCUACUACUUUGCCAUGCUUAAUGCUUGUCACUAGGGCCCGAGUGCCAUGAUUUCAGAUCUGAACCUAUUAUGUUGUCGCCAAUAUAUGUGUGUUUUAGAUCCUAUCUUGCAAGUUGUAGUCACCUACUAUGUGUUAUGACCCGGCAACCCCGGAGUGACAAUAGCCGGAAUCACUCCCGAAGAUGACCAUAGUAUGAGGAGUUCAUGUAUUCACCAAGUGUUAAUGCGUUGGUCCGGUUCUUUAUUAAAAGGAGAACCUCAAUAUCCUGUAGUUUCCAUUAGGACCCCUCUGCCAUGGGAGGGAUGGACAAUAGAUGUCAUGCAAGUUCUUUUCCCUAAGCACAUAUGACUACAUACAGAAAACAUGCAUACAUUAGAUUGACGAACGGGAGCUAGUUACAUAUCUCUCCGUGUUAGAGCUGUUACAUGAUGAAUUGCAUCCGGCAUAAUCAUCCAUCACCGAUCCAAUGCCUACGAGUCUCUUACUACUGGUCCUUGCUACGUUACUUUGCCACUACUGUUGUCACUGCUGCUACUGUUACUCUGUUGCUACUGUUGUUGCUUUGCUGCUACUUCUAUCACCUUGCUGCUACUGGUUACUGUUGUUACUGCUGCUAUCAUUCUACUUUGCUACUGAUACUUUGCUGCAGACACUAAAUCUUUCAGGUGUGGUUGAAUUGACAACUCAACUGCUAAUACUUGAGAAUAUUCUUUCGCUUCCCCUUGAGUCGAAUCAAUUAAUUUGGGUUGAAUACUCUACCCUCGAAAACUGUUGCGAUCCCCUAUACUUGUGGGUUAUCAAUCUUAUACAACUACAAUUGUUACUUAACUGGAAUUAGUUGCCUCGGGAUUGCUUCCUCGCAGGGAGUCAAGGGAGGAUCUUUGGGCGUGACCUCACUUUAAUAUUGCUGCAACAAUAUGACUAUUAAUGGUGUUACCUGUUCUACUCUCAUCUAUUGCUGCAAGACCCUGAAGAUGCUAGUCUUCGAUAGGACUAGGCCUUCUCUCUCUAUUCUCGCAUUGCUACAGCCAGUCCACAUAUAAACCCCCCUUCUUUGAUACUGAUGCAUACUUAGAAUAGUUGUGAUGUAAGACUUGCGAGUACUUUGGAUGAGUACUCACCGUUGCUUUGCUCCCCUUUUGUCCCCUUGAUCCGUUGCUGCGACCAGAUGAUGGAGCCCGGGAGAUGGAGUUUCCUGCCGAUGCCUGCCACCCCAAUGGUGAUUUCUACGUGGAGGCCGUUGAAGACCAAGAGUAGUUAGGAGGUUCCCACGCAGGAGGCCUCGCCUCGUUCGAUCGUUGUAUCUUUUGUGCUAGCCUUCUCUAAGGCACCCCCAUGUUUUAUGUCUGUACUCAGAUAUUGUUGCGUCCGUUGACUCAUGUGUUUAUCGAGCUUCUGUAUUCUAGCCCUCGAGGCCCCUAGCUUAUAAUAUAAAGCUUGUAUUAUUUUAUUUGUGUCUAGAGUUGUGUUGUGAUAUCUUCCCGUGAGUCCUUGGGUUUGAUCGUACGCAUUUGCGUGUAUGAUUAGCGUACGAUUAAACCGAUGGCGUCGCAAUUAGAGACAACUGCAUUCACUUUAAAUAGGGCACCAUAAAAAUAUGUUGAGACGACACCAUACGAACUGUGCUAUGGCAAAAGACCAAAGUUGUCGUUUCUUAAAGUUUGGGGAUGUGAUGCUUAUGUCAAAAAGCUUUAGCCUGAAAAGCUGGAACCCAAAGCGGAAAAGUGUGCCUUCAUAGGUUACCCAAAAGAGACAGUUGGGUAUACCUUCUAUCUCAAAUCUGAGGGCAAAGUGUUUGUUGCUAGAAACGGAGCUUUUCUUGAGAAGGAGUUUCUCUCGAAAGAAUUGAGUGGGAGGAAGAUAGAACUUGAUGAGGUUGUCGAACCUCUAAUCCCUCUAGAUGGUGGCGCAGGGGAAGGGGAAACCCUUGUCGUUGCGACGCCGGUUGAGGAGGAAGUUGAUGAUGAUGAUCAUGAAAGUUCGGAUCAAGUUCCUAUCGGACCUCGCAGGUCGACAAGAUCACGUACUGCUCCUGAGUGGUACGGUAAUCCUGUCUUAUCAAUUAUGUUGUUAGACAACAAUGAACCUGUGAAUUAUGAAGAAGCAAUGGUGGGCCCGGAUUCCAAGAAAUGGCUGGAGGCCAUGAAGUUCGAGAUAGGAUCCAUGUACGAGAACAAAGUGUGGACUUUGGAAGUACUACCUGAAGGCCGCAAGGCCAUUUAGAACAAAUGGAUCUUUAAGAAGAAGACGGACGCAGACGGUAAUGUGACCGUUUAUAAAGCUCGACUUGUGGCAAAGGGAUUUUCACAAGUUCAAGGAGUUGACUACGAUGAGACAUUCUCACGAGUAGCGAUGCUUAAGUCCGUCUGAAUCAUGUUAGCAAUAGCUGCCUUUUACGAUUAUGAAAUCUGGCAGAUGGAUGUCGAAACGGCGUUCCUUAACGGUUUUCUUAAGGAAGAGUUGUAUAUGAUGCAACCCGAAGGUUUUGUCGAUCGAAAGAAUGCUAACAAAGUAUGCAAGCUCCAGCGAUCCAUUUAUGGACUGGUGCAAGCAUCUCGGAGUUGGAAUAAGCGCUUUGAUGAGGUGAUGAAAGCAUUUGGAUUUAUACAAGUGGUUGGAGAAUCUUGACUUUACAAGAAAGUGAGUGGGAGCUCUGUGGCGUUUCUAAUCUUAUAUGUGGAAAAAAUAUUGCUGAUUGGAAAUAACGUGAAGAUUUUGGAGAGCAUAAAGGAUUACUUGAAUAAAAGUUUCUCUAUGAAGGACCUAGGAGAAGUUGCUUACAUUCUAGGCAUUAAGAUCUAUAGGGAUAGAUCGAGACGCCUGAUAGGACUUUCACAAAGUACAUACCUUGAUAAAGUUUUGAAGAAGUUCAAAAUGGAUCAGUCCAAGAAAGGGUUCUUGCCAGUAUUACAAGGUAUAAAAUUGAGUAAGACUCAGUGCCCAGCAACUGCGGAAGAUAGAGAACAAAUGAGUUCCGUCCCCUACGCUUCAGCCGUAGGUUCUAUCAUGUAUGCAAUGCUAUGCACUAGACCAAACAUCAGCUUGGACAUAAGUAUGGCAGGCAGGUUUCAGAGUAAUCCAGGAGUGGAUCACUCGACGGCAGUCAAGAAUAUUCUGAAGUACCUGAAAAGGACUAAGGAAAUGUUUCUCGUUUAUGGAGGUGACAAAGAGCUUGCCGUAAAAGGUUACGUCGACGCAAGUUUUGACACCGAUCCGGAUGGAUCUAAGUCACAAACCGGAUACGUAUUUAUUCUUAAUGGGGGUGCAGUAAGCUGGUGCAAUUCCAAGCAGAGCGUCGUAGAAGAUUCUACAUGUGAAGCGGAGUACAAGGCUGCCUCGGAGGCAACAAAGGAGGGUGUCUGGAUGAAGCAGUUCAUGACAGAUCUUGGAGUUAUGCCGAGCGCACUAAAUCCAUUAACUCUGUUAUGUGACAACACUAGUGCCAUUACCUUAGCAAAGGAACCAAGGUUUCACAAGAAGACCAGACACAUCAAACGACACUUCAACCUCAUCCGCGACUACGUCGAAGGAGAGGACGUGAAUACUUGAAAAGUGCACACGGAUCUGAAUGUAGCAGACCCGCUGACUAAACCUCUUCCACGGGAAAAACAUGAUCAACACCAGAACUGUAUGGGUGUUUGAUUUAUUACAAUGUAAAUCGCAUGGCGAUGUGAGGACUAGAUUAUUGACUCUAAUGCAAGGGGGAGACUGUUGGAAAUAUGCCCUAGAGGCAAUGAUAAAUAGUUAUUAUUAUAUUUCCUGUUUAAAGAUAAUCGUUUAUUAUCCAUGUUGUAAUUGUAUUGAAUGAAAACAUAGAUACAUGUGUGGAUGCAUAGACAAAACAAUGUCCCUAGCAAGCCUCUAGUUGGCUAGCCAGUUGAUCAAGGGUAGUCAAGGUUUUCUGGCUAUGUGCAAGUGUUGUCACUUGAUAACUGGAUCACAUCAUUAGGAGAAUCAUGUGAUGGACUAGACCCAAACUAUGAACGUAGCAUAUUAUCAUGUCAUUUUACUGCUAUUGUUUUCUGCGUGUCAAGUAUUUGUUCCUAUGACCAUGAGAUCAUAUAACUCACUGGCACCGGAGGAAUACCUUGUGUGCAUCAAACGUCACAACGUAACUGGGUGACUAUAAAGGUGCUCUACAUGUAUCUCUGAAGGUGUCAGUUGAGUUAGUAUGGAUCAAGACUGGGAUUUGUCACUCCGUGUGACAAAGAGGUAUCUCGGGGCCCACUCGGUAAUACAACAUCACACACAAGCCUUGCAAGCAAUGUGACUAAGUGUAAAUCACGGGAUCUUGUAUUACGAAACAAGUAAAGAGACUUGCCGGUAACGAGAUUGAAAUAGGUAUGCGGAUACCGACAAUCGAAUGUCGGGCAAGUAACAUACCGAAGGACAAAGGGAAUGACAUACGGGAUUAUAUGAAUCCUUGACACUGAGGUUCAACCGAUAAGAUCUUCGGAGAAUAUGUAGGAUCCAAUAUGGGUAUACAGGUCCCGCUACUGGAUAUUGACCGAGGGGUACCUCGGGGCAUGUCUACAUAGUUCUCGAACCCGCAGGGUCUGCACACUUAAGGUUCGAUGAUGUUUUAGUAUAGUUGAGUUAUAUGUGUGGUUACAGAAUGUUGUUCAGAGUCCCGGAUGAGAUCAUGGACGUCACGGGGGUUUCCAAAAUGGUCCGGAAACAAAGAUUGAUAUAUAGGAUGGUUUCAUUUGGUUACCGGAAAGUUUCGGGCAAUUCCGGCAGUGUACGGGGAGUGACGAAUGGGUUUCGGGAGUUCACCGGGAGGGGCCCACCCACCCGGGAAUGAGCCCAAGGUCAUAGGGUGGCACCACAAGUCCCUAGUGGGCUGGUGGAGUCAGCCCAAGGGGCCCAUGGCGCCACUUAAAGAAAUACCAAAAAGAAAAUAAAACGAAAAGGAAAAAAGGGGAGGUGGGAAGGAAGGGGAGGACUCCUCCUUCCCCAAACCGAAUUGGAGGAGGAGUCCUCCUCCUCCUUGGCCGAGCACCAAGGCAAGCCUCAUUCCCCUCCCUCCUAUAUUUAGUGGUGUUUUAGGGCUGCUUUGAGACAACUUUUGCCACGUGCAACUCAACCCUAGACCACAUAGUUCCACCUCUAGAUCGGAUUUCUACGGAGCUCGGACGGAGCGCUGCAGGAGUAGAUCAUCACCACCACCGGAGUGCCGUCACGCUGCCGUAGAACUCAUCUACUUCUCCUUCUUGCUUGCUGGAUCUAGAAGGCCGAGAUCAUCGUUGAGCUGUACGUGUGCUGAACGCGGAGGUGUCGUCCGUUCGGCACUAGAUCGGAACGGAUCGUGGGAAGGAUCGUGGGACGGUUCGUGGGGCGGUUCGUGGGGCGGAUCGAGGGAUGUGAAGACGUUCCACUACAUCAACCGCGUUUCUUAACGCUUCCUGUUGUGCGAUCUACAAGGGUACAUAGAUCCAAAUCUCCUCUCGUAGAUGGACAUCACCAUGAUAGGUCUUCGUGUGCGUAGGAAAAUUUUUGUUUCCCAUGCAACGUUCCCCAACACUUUCCAUAUCCAUUUUUCUAAGAGAGAGCCACAUACUCAUGUGUUGAGGUUAAGCUAUUCCAAUCCAUCCAUUUGAAACUUGAUAUCUAGCCUCCCCAAGUUGCUUUCCACACAAUGAAUCUCUUCUACACAUGCCAAAUCUGUGAGAGAGUGAUUGAGUGUUGAGAAGACUAUCUUUUGAAGCACAAGAGCAAGGAUUUUAUCGUACUACCGCAUCUAUUACCAUUUCGAGGGUGGUGCCUCCUAGAUUGGUUAGGUGUUUCUUGCGAGCCUCCUGCUUCGUAUUGUGGAGUUGAACCAAGAAGUUUGUAAGGGCAAGGAGAUCACCUACUUCGUGAAGAUCUACCCCAAGUAAGGCUAGUCCUUCGUGGACGUAAGCCAUGAUGGAAUAGACAAGGUUGCUUCUUCGUGGACCCUUCGUGGGUCAAGCCCUCUCUGGACUCGCGCGGCCGUUACCCUCCGUGUGUUGAAGUCUCCAUCAACGUGGACGUACGAUAGCACCACCUAUCGGAACCACGCCAAAAAUCACCUGUCAACCUUUGGGUUUGAUCUUCCUAUCCCUACCAUCUACUUACAUAUGCAGGUCAUUACUUUCCGCUUCUAUACUCUUAGACUUGCAUGUGUAGGGUAUGCUUCAAUUACCACAAUUGUUAAAACUUGCCCACAACUAAAAUUGAUAAAAUGCUAAGUUUUUAUUUCGUCAAGUAGUCUAAUCACCCCCCCCCCCUCUAGACAUACUCCAGAUCCUACAUCGUCGAACCAUGCCACCGCAACAUUAUUGAAGGCGUCGGAUUGUCAUCAUAUCAUCGUCGCGGUUGUCGAAGCACCCGUCGUGGCCGUCGCAACAACAUGGAAUAAGAUGGGUUGUGGUCGUACCAUCGCUGAAAGAGUCAUGCCAUCAUCCCAGAACUACCAUAGCCAGGAAGCACACCGUCACAAUACUCAGCCCUUCCUUUGAGCAUCGCCAUGACCAUCGAAGCACGAUGUCGUAGCAUCGAGGCAACCGUUUGAAGCAUUCCGCCGCCGCGGUUCGUCGCGCAUCAUUGCGGUCAUCAAAACAUGACGUCCCAACAUCAUCGAAUGGUCUGGGUUGCCAUUGUAGCAUCAUUACGGUUGUCGAAGCAUCUGCCAUGGGACGAGUUGUCAUCAUAGAAUCACCAAAACAACUGUGCCAUCAUCCCAAAAUUGCCAUGACCGGAAAGCAAGCCGUCACAAUAGUCGGACCUUCCUCGAAGCAUCGCCUCAAUCAUCGAAACAUGUCGUCAUGGCAUAGACAUGACCGUUUGAAGCAUGUCGCUGCCACGGUUAGCCACACAUCAUCACGGCCUCCCAAGAACGAUGCCACAACAUCAGUGAAGGGGCCAGGUUUCCAUUGUAGGAUCAUUACAGUUGUCGAAGCAACCAUUGCGGCCGUCACAACAUUAUUGAAGUAGACAAGUCGUCAUCGUGGCUCCAUCACAACCGUCAAAGCAUAUUGCCACCAUCAAAGCACGUCGCCGCGCCAUUGCAGCCACCGUCGAAGCCUGUUGUCGUAAACAUCUAUGAAAUGGUGUCUCGUAGCAUCGCUGCCAUCCAAAGAGUCAGGCUACCGGCAUAGAGGUUGUCGAGCCUCACAGCACUGCUUGUGCCCUCACGCUACACCGAAACAGCUAGACCACCCCCCACAACCUCGCCGUCUUGGAUUGCAGCGCGUCCGACCUCGUAUGCAGCAACCAAUCUCGUCGCUGGUCAAUUGAAGCAGCUCGUUUCGCUACAUGAUCAUGGAUGUUUUGCAUUUUUUAGGAAAUGGUUGACUUGCUACUUGACUCACACUAGAAAAGCAUAGAUCGCUUUGCUACUUACCUAAACUAGAAGCGCCUCUCUGCGUCACACGUUGAUACGCUAACCAAGUAGGCUGUGUGGAGUCGUUCGCUAUGUACGGCGUUAGUUAAACAGACUAGCCGCGGGUGGAUCAAACAGUUAAUGUGAUGGAUGGAUCGAACGAUGGAGUGGCUAGCUACCCGGUUGAUCCCAUGCGCGGAUCGACCGGAUGACGCUUAGCAUCCGCCUUUUUAUUUCUUCUCCGUAUUUCUUUUUUUGUUGACAUACUUUAGUUUUUCUCUUUCUUUUUUUCUCUUCGUUUCUUUCAUGGUUAGUAUUCAUUUUUCAUUUCUUUCUCAUUAUGUUCCUUUUUUCUUCGGUUUAUUGUUUUCUUUCUUAUUUUCAAUGUCAUUUGUGUUUAUUUAUUUAUUGGUCUUUACAUUUUAUUUUCUUUGUUUCUUGGUUUUAUUUUUCAUAGGUUUCUUUUUUAUUUCAUUUUUUAUUUUCCUUUUUUUCGUUUGGUUUUCAUGAUGUAUUUUUUGUAUGCAUUAAGAAAUAAUACAGUUUGGACAUUUUCUCAAUAUAAAUUUAGCAUUUUUAAUACAUGGUUACAUUUGUCUAUACACAUCUUCAACAUUUUUUAAAUGCUUGAUUAAUAUUUUAAAAUACAAAUUUAAUAUUUUUUGUAUACAUCGCCAAUAUUUUUCUAUACGCACUUUAAUUUUUUUAAAUACAAGGUCAAUUUUUAAUACAUAGUAAAAAAAUCUAUGAACUUUAACAAUUUCGAAUUGCUUUAUCAAUAUUUUUCAAAUGCAAGAUUAACAUUUUUUUAAUGCAUGGUCAACAUUUUUUCUAUAAACAUUAAUUUAACAUUUUUCAACCACUUGUUUAACGCAUUUGAAAUACAUGAUGAACUUUUUCACACCCAUUGUAUACUUUGUGUAUACAUUUUUCAUAUAAAUGAUUAACAUUUUUUUCUGUACACAUUCGACAUUUUCAAAUGCGCGACUAAUAUAUAUGUUUUGAAUUGUUGGAAGUGUAAGCAAAAGUAAAAAAUCAAAAAAGGAAACAAAAUGUAAAAAAAGAAGAGGUAGCAGCCUCAGACGAGCUGGACGACCCAUUUAGACUGUUACCUUCAGCGAGAGCUUCACUCUGCCAUUAGACUACCCACAAUGGGAGUAGCAUAGGUAGUAACAUGGAUGCCACCUAAGCAAGAAAUAUGAUGUGGCAACUAAUUAAUGAGAAGAGAGAGAAAUUGAGAACUUAGCAUGUUACUCAUACUAGGAGUAACAUAGCAGAUACCAAGACAAGAUGAGUUUAUAGGCUAAUAAAUAAAAGGCUCAAUGUUAUUACCCAUAUGUUACUAUCAAUUGUGGAGGUAGUAACUUAGACUAGUAACAUAUGUAUGUUACUCCCCAUUGUGAGUAGUCCUAGAAGAGUUGGAGAUGGGAAGUCAAUGAACAUAUAUCAACACAACUGGAUCCCAUGGGCUCGCACCAUGAGGCCCCUCACUUUGUUGUUACCCAAUCCACCACAGGUCGUGGCAGAUAUGAUUGAUUAUUUGUGUGCCUAAUGGAGAGAAGAUGUGAUCACAUAGACCUUUGUCCCGAUGGACUCUGAAGCUAUAUUGAGAAUUCCACAAGUGGAUGCUUUUUGGGCAUGGUCAGAGGACCCAAUUGAGAAGUGGAUGUUUCUAUAUGAGAACAACAUAUAAGAUGAUAUAUCGAAUCAAGAUGGGAAGGGAAGCAUGGCUAAAUAAAGUUGAACAUACAUCGAAUCUACAAGGGGGUGAAGAGCCGGUCAUCCGUGUAGAAGUUCCAGGUGUCGUCAAAAUUGAAGGUUUUUAUAUGGAGGCUCUCUCAACUUUCGCUACCCACUGGUGAUGUGCUCCAACACAGGAGUAUUGCAACAACUCGUCUAUGUGGAAUAUGUGGAGCACAAGAUAGCUGGCGUCACAGUUUACUUGAGUGCGCAAUGGCCUGGAGCACAUGGGCGUUAUCACAUGAGGAGAUGUGUGCAACACAUGUCUAUGAAUCAAGAUGAGAAUGCUAAGGAGUAGUUGUUUGCCAUGAUUGGGGCGAUAAUCAUGAUGUUUCUUAUGAUCUUGAUAAUUCUAAGCUUCAUGAUGAAUAUAUUAUUGAUUAUGAUAUUUGCAAUACUAAUAAAGGUGGGUUUGAGAGAGCAUCAACUUUAGGUAAUAAUGAUCCCACUACUUUGGAGAUUGAUGCAUCUUAUGAAAUUAUCGAUAAAAGUGGGUUUGAAGAGGUCAUGACUUUAGUUGAUGCUAAUCCCACUACCUUGGAAGAUUAUAAGACUUAUAUGCAUAUAGAUCAUAAAGAUGAUAUUUUACAUGAUAGUUAUAUUGUUGAGUUUGAUUAUGAUCCUACAUGCAAUUAUUAUUAGAGAGGCAAAUAUGGUUAUGGGAAUUUGCAUGUUACUCAAUUACCUCUCUUUAUAUUGAAAUUAUUAAUGUUUCACUCUUCCUAUUUUGCAUACGCUUGAUAUCACUUGUCUUGAUAAUUUGUUUUUUUAUAAGAUGCCUAUGCAUAGGAAGUAUGUUAGACUUAGAUGUGUUUUUUCACAUAAUUUAUGAUGCUCUGUUUGUGCUUCAAUUCUUGUCUAUUACGUGAGCACCAUCAUUAUCCCAAACCUAUCUUAAUGGCUAUAAAGAAAGAGCUUGUUGGGAGACAACCUAAUACUUUCUGUUAUUUUGAGUUGAGAUGAUUAUUGCUACUUUAAUGAUUGUGUUUUUAUGUUUAGUUUAGUGUUUGUGCCAAGUAAAGCCUUUGAGAUGAUUUGGAUGAUAAGUAGAAUUGAUACGGUGCAAAAAACAAAAACUUUUACGUCUAGUGCAGAAUUUAUAUGAUUUUACUGGACCGUCUUUUUAUCUGAAUUUUUUACACUGUAUUGGUAUACAAAUUCCCUAGUUUGUCUUAAUUUUUCAGAAUUUUCGGAGUUACAGAAGUAUGGUUUAAGUGUUGAUCACCACAAACUGUCCUGUUUUAGACAGAUUAUGUUGUUUACUUGCAUAGUUUGCUUGAUUUGAUGAUGUUAUGGGUUGUAUCAGGGGUAUAAGCCAUGUAGAAGUUAAAAUACAAUACCUUAUGCAAUAAUUAAAUAUGAACAUAGUACUAACGGAUCUUACGAGGUUUCUGUUAAGUUUUGUGUGCUGAAGUUUUUAAGUUUUGGGUGCGAUCACGAUGUAUUAAGGAAUAAAGAGUAGCAAGAUCUUAAGCUUGGGGAUGUCCAAGGCAUCCCAAGGCAAUAUCCAAGAAAGACUGGAGUGUCUAAGCUUGUGGAUACCCGGAAAGCACCCCCCCCCUCUUUCAUCUUCAUUCCAUCGGUAUGUCACUUGAAGCUAUAUUUAUUCAUCACAUAAUAUGUGUUUUGCUUGGAGUGUCGUGUGUUAGAGUUUGUUUUUGUUUUUGUUUUCACAAUCAUUGUUUGCUGGACACACCUAUUUGGAAGAGACACAUAUUCAUCAUGAUUUAUUAAAAUACUUUAUAUGCUUCAUUUAUAUCUUUUAAGCUAAAUAGUUGCUCUAGUGCUUCACGUAUAUCUCAUGAUUUAUUAAAAUACUUUAUAUGCUUCAUUUAUAUCUUUUAAGCUAAAUAGUUGCUCUAGUGCUUCACGUAUAUCUUUCUAAGUACGGUGACGUGUAGAUUUUAUAAAAAUAACUAUACUUUCGUUCUUUAUUUAUAUUUGUUUGAAUGUCUAAUAGGGCAACGGUAAUUUGCAUGGGUGAUCAGAUGAGGAGGGGGGAGGGGGUAGAAAAAGCUAGCAGAUGCUGCUGAACAAGUGAAGAUGGUGAGAGAUGCAAUGCACUAAUUUUCAUAGCACGAUAUAAAUAUUACAAGCAUGCACGCAGCACGCGUACAAAUUUACAUUUUACACCCACCCUCGCAUAUAUACCGCUCGCGCGCUCACGUUUCCCACGACGACAGACGGGUACCAUGCACAGGACGACGAUGCUCGGAUUUCGCCUAGUGGAACUUGAGGCUGGUGAGGAUGUUGUUGUUGACGGGGUCGGAGAGGUGGUCGAGGAGGUUCUGGAAGGGCCCGACGCCGGUGAAGAUGGCCUGCAGCGACAUGCCGAGGAAGGCGAGCAUGGCGAGACGGCCGUUCUUGAUCUCCUUGAGCUUGAGCUCCUUCAUCUCCUUCUCGCUCUUGGUGCCGAACCCGAGUGGGUUGAAGAUGGGCCCGCCGGGGUAGGCGGGGUCGCCGGAGCCGCCGAGGUACUUCUCGAGACCCAGGAAGUACUGCUUCCCCAUGGAACCCGGGUUGUACCAGUCCUGGAGCCGCCGGUGCUCUGCGAAGCCGAUCAGUGCCAUCUCGAACACGAAGAGCGUGUAGGGGUCGGCCCAGUACUGGUAGGUGCCUGCCGGCGGGAUGGCGCCCGCCUGGAACCACGGGAUCGCCGUCUCCGGGGGCACCAGACCCACCUUGCCCAGGGCCUCCGGGGCGAUCAUGCCCACCACCCCCAUCAUCGCCGUCCGGCCGUUGAAGAUCUCGCCGUAGGCCAGCCACCUGGGCUCGAUGAACCCGCCGGUGCCCUCCGGGUCGGACAGCCCCAAGGGGUCGAAGCCAAAGUCACCAGGCAGCCUGCAAGGCACAAAACCCAACACCUUCUAAGUCAGCUUCUCUUUGCCACACUGCCAACAUACAUACACCAGGUGUAAUAUGUUGCGCCGCGACUUACGUGCCGUCGAGGUAGGUGAGGGACUGCUUGGACGCGAACCACAGCUGCCUGUUGUCAUUU